rnacentral:lncRNA from 1 species
UUUUUUUUUUUUUUACUAAUGAUCAAACUUUUAAAAAUGUUGCUUUGUUUGUGUAUCAAAUUCGUUUUUUUAAAUGCAAAUGAUUUAUAGCUUAAGAGGUUAAGAGUAUUUACCAUGCAUUUGAAGUCCUAGGUUCAAUAUUCCGUUCUUCCAAUAUCGUUUAUGUUGGCAUGACUUAUGACUUUCCUUGCACACCAAGGAUUUCCAUAUUAAUUGUAAUUGAUUUCCCUUUGAUUUCGGAUUUCCUAUCGUAAAUAGAAUUAUGAGUUAUUACUAUCCUUCACCUUCAAGGUUUUAUUGUAUUGUAAAUAUGACCUCUUAUAAGGAGAAAAAUAUACAAAAAAUUCUCACAAAUAAUAUUCUCUCAUAGUUUCUCAUAUUUUAGCAUGGUAUAAAGCGGCGAUCUUGGGAUUGUUGCAAAACCUUAGCCAAACACACGCCGAUGCUGCCAUGGGGGAUCACGAUGUGAUCAUCCCCAUGGAGGUAGCACUACUGAUUCCUUUACCACCCAUACCAAGAAACUAGAAGAAUUGAAGACCCAGAUGACCUAAUUUUUGAAGAUCCAGAAUUAGACCCCCAACCAAGAACCUUGAAGAAUUUAGACCCAGAUACUAACCAAGACUUAGAUCCCGACCCAGACUCAAAUCCCGACCCCGAUCUUGACUCAGAUCCAGACCCAGAUAUCAACCCAGACUAUACCAUAUGAAUUUUUCGAUGCACAUAUUAUGACUUCUCGCAUAGUGCCCCAGACAAAUGGAAAAGAUUGCACAUACUGUGGCGAUCCUAGACACACUCGUGAGACUUGUUUCAAAUUCAAUGGCUACCCCAAUUGGUGAGAUGAACUUAAAGAUCGAAGACGACAUAAACCUGCAAGGAGUGGUUUUGGUUAUGUAUUCCGUACUUCAAAUACGAGUGAUUCCACGAGAUGGAUCAUUGACUCCGACUCAAUCGAUCAUAUGACAUUUGGUCCUAAUGACCAGAUGAACUAGUAUUGCUAACGCCAAUGGAGUUACUUAUCUUGUGACAUGGGCUGACACGGUUGCUCUCUCAUCCUCUAUAUCAUUUCCUAACACUUUACUUGUUCAAUCUCUAUCCAAUAAGUUGAUGUUAGUUGGUCAGGUUACUGAAUAAUUGAAUUAUUAUGUACUAAUCUAUCAGACUUUUUGUUUGCUUCAGGAUAUUCACACUAAGGAGAUUAUUGGUCGUGGUAUUAAAAGAUGAGGGCUAUAUUAUGUAGAUGCCUUCAGCACAUGCAUGGUUAACAGUGUGACGCAUUCCUCUGAUAGCAAACAAAGGCAAAUCUGGUUGUGGCACCGCGUUUGGGACAUCCAUCCUUUAGUUAUAUGAACCAGAUUUAUUCUCAGGUUUCAAAGACUCCGACUUCAAAUGUGACACUUGUAUUUUGCCAAGAGUCACCGUGUGCCCUAUCCAUUGAGUACGAGCAAGUGUACUACUCCGUUAUAUUAAUUCACUCUAAUGUCUAGAGACCUUAACAUAUCACUACUUCGUUUGGAAUUCUAUGGUUUGUCACGUUCGUAGACGAUUGUACCCGGAUGACAUGAUUUUAUUUCAUGAAGAAUAAAAAAGAAGUGUUUUCACGGUUUCAAUUCUUCCACAAACAGAUGAAAACUCACUUCAAUGCUCAAAUACAGAUUCUUCGCUCUGACAAUAGUGGAUAAUUUGUCAAUCAUGACUUUCAAAUACCACAACAACAUGAAAUUAUCCAUGAGACGACUUGUCCAGAUACCAUAACAAAAUAAUGUUACUGAAUGAAAGAAUCGACAUCUUCUUGAAAUAGCCUGAGCAUUUCUGAUUGGUGCUCAUGUUCCUCUCAAUCACUGGGAUGAUGUUAUUGUCACCGCAGUUCAUCAUGCUUUCCAGUGUCUUGAACUUUAAAACUCCCUUACAAGUUCUUGCACAACUUGGGCCAUUGCCCUAUAUUUUGGUGCUCACACCUGAAUCUUUCAAUGUGUGGCCUUCGUUCAUCUCCACAUAAAUCAUCGCAGCAAAUUUUAUCUUUGUGCGCUUCGUUGUGUUUUUGUAGGAUAUUCCACUCAUCAGAAAGGUUACCGAUGUUAUCACCCAACUACACAGCGUACCUAUGUCACUUUGGAUGUGACCAUUUUGGAAGCUGAGAUGUUCUUCCAUGACCCAACAUCCAAUUCUACGCUUUGGGGGGAUAAGGAGUGAAGAGCACAAUUAGAGCAACCUGGAAGAUGGAGGAAUUCGUUUCUGCCUAGAAAUGAUCGAUCGUUGCCACCCCGAAAAUCGAUCGCUUCGGAGUCCUAAAGAUUAUACUCCUCUCGGCCAGAAAAUGAUUGAUCGUCUAGACCCUGACGAUCUAUCGCUUUCCACCAAUGAAGAUAUUUCAUAUUUGGGUCUCGCUCUUGAAGACGAUCCAGAACCGCCAGCAGUACCUAUUAAUCAAUUUUCUGAAAAUAUCCUUGAAGUAAAUGCUCCUACGACACCUACAAAUUUGGUUGAUAAUUAUAUUGGAUAUAAAUUAUCUUUCAGGGAAAACCGUGGAAAACUACCAAAUCGGUAUUCCUCAGAGAUUGGCAAAAUAUCGAAGCAUCCGAUUGCCAAUCAUUUAUCCACUCAGAGACUACCUGAACCACUCAAGGUUUUUGUGCAUUAGUUGUCUGAUAUCCAUAUCCCAACCAAGAUAACUGAGGCAUUGAAAGAUCUUAAGUGGGUUCAAGCUAUAAAGGAAGAGAUGAAGGCUCUCGAAAAGAAUCAGACAUAGACAAUGGAACCUUUACCACAAGGGAAAAGGACCGUUAGUUGUAGAUGGGUGUUCACUGUAAAUCACAAUGUUGGUGGAUAUAUCGAAUGAUAUAAGGCAAGGCUUGUGACAAAGUAGUACACACAAACCUACGGUAUAGACUAUGAAGAGACCUUUGCUCCAUUAGCAAAGUUAAACACCGUUAGAGUCUUACUGUCUCUUGCACCUAAUUUGAAUUGGUCAUUACAAUAGUUUGAUGUAAAAAAUGCUUUCUUGCAUGGAGAACUCACAAAAGAGGUAUACAUGGACAUUCCAAUACAUUUUAUGUCUUGCCUUAAAAAUGUGGCCUAAGAGCCAAUACAUUUAAUGUAAUCUCCUUAGAAUACAUUUCGUAUAUGAUAAAUAAAAGGCAAGUUUAUUUUGUUAUCAUUUUCUUUGUGUAAAGAAACAAAUGUCCACAAUAUGCUAAAUAAGAGAUAAAGUAAUUUGAAGAAGAUUAGAUUUGGGAGGCCUUUAAUCUCGAACUGUAGUUUCUCAAAUGUUCCUAAUCAUAGGAUUAUCAAAUGAGCAUUGAUAAACCGUUAAGAUUAGCACAUACUAUGUAUGCUCAAUUAGGAGGAUGGUUAGUCUCAAACCAUUUGUGUAGAUGAGACUAAUACAAGUAUGUGGGUGCUCAUUUGUGAAUAAGUACAUUGAACGCGAUCAACCGAAGUUCUCGUAUGGAGUUUUAUCAACAUGUCAAAUGAGAACUCAUAAAUGCAAUAAUGCAAAUUAAUCCUUAGACCUAAGGCAUCAUGGUUGUCUUAUGAUACGUUAUUGAUCUUUGAUAGCUCGCAAAGGCAAGUCGUAAAAGAUUUUCCUUAUAUGUUAUUGGGAUCUCUUAAUUCAUUAUGGGGCCAUGUAAAUGUACAAUAAGGAAUCUCUAUCUCUGAUAAAAAAGAAGAAUGUUUUAAGAUAUGAUUAAGUGAAUCUUCGGUCGAAGUACCUGAGCAUGAUUUAGAAAAUGGUUCGUAAUCAUGUUCUAUUGAAUCACAUGAGGUUAAUCAUAUUAGGGGUUUGACAUAACCAAUCCGUACCCUAAUAAUAUGAUUUGAAACAUUGUAUUAGGGAAUGACCGUAUUGCAUUGCAAUUUCAACAGAAUAGGUUCUUCAACUAUUCUAAUUAGCUUGGGUAACCUAUAUUGCUAGAUAUCACUCUUGGCUCAUGGAAGUCCUAGGAUUAAUUGUGAUCGAUCCAUAUAAAGGAUGAAUUAAAAAGAAGUUUUAAUACCAGUUGAUUAGAAAGAGUUCUAAUAUUUUCCCACUACCUUGCUAAUUAAAACAUAAUAGAUCGCACACCUUAAUGGUUUCUUUGAGAAAUACAUUUGAAAUUGUGGAAAUAAAUUUGAUCGAUUUGAUGCAGAUGAUUUACAACGUGUAAAAGUGUAUUUGGGCUUCGAUAAUAGUUAACGGGAAGCUCAAAUGGUUGGGUAACGAGCCCAAGGGCUUAAGACACCUAAAUACUAUGAUUUAAGUGUCAUAAGGCCCAAAAUUGGAAGCCCAAAGGGUUUGGCCAAAAAUGCAUAAGUAAUUGUGUAUGGAAAUUGUUUCAACAAACUCAUUAACACACAAACACAAUCCAACAUCAACCAAAUAGGUGAGAGAAAAAAGAGAGUUUUCAAGAGUGAAACACUUUCAUAUUUCAAGGGGUUUAGAUUGAAAUCAAGUAAAUCUCUCAUCUCAAGGUUCCAUUGGCACUGGCGAACUGAGGAAUUUUUCAGCGGAGGUGCAAUUUUGAAAGGCUAAAAACUCUUUGUGGAUUGAACAUCUAAGGUUUUUUUUAUACCUAGAUUGACCUUAGGUCCCUUCAUGCAUUCAUAUAAUUACAUUGUAAACUUAAGUAAAUAGAGUAAUAUAAAAAUAAAUGAAAGUAAAAUGAUAAAGACAUUUACUUAAAUGCUGAAAGUGGAAAUAAGGUAAUCUGUACACAUGGAAUGCACCACCACCAGUUGAGCAGCGAGGCAAUUUGAAGUACUUACAAUAGUUUUUUUGGUGAAGGGAGGUACAACUGCACCUUCUUACACCUUAAUAGGUCCGCCAUUGUCCAUUGUGUGGAGACUUAGAGGCCAUAUCCUUUUGUGGCUCACAAGAACGAGAAAAAUAAAAAAGGAGAUCAACAAAAAAAAGUCAUCAAGAGAAUACCCAAAUACAACUUGGUUCAUAUUAUAGCUUCAAAGGUAAUUAGAACUUAUCUUUUUCUCUUGUACUUUCACUUUUAUGGAAACAUAUCAAUGUUCAUGGUUUAAGAUACUAGGAAGAAGUUUUGGUUUUUGAAUUUAAACAACCACCAUAUACUUCCGUUGCAAUUAAUUUGAUUAAAUGCACUUUAAUAUUCAAAUGAACUUCUUAGAAAUGUUUAAAACUAAAAAUUGGUAUCAGAGCCAUAGGUAAUGAACUUGAUAUGUUUCUAGAGUUUAGAGAUGCGUAUAUGGGUUGUAAAUUCAUUUAAAAGUAUAAUGGUUAUACUUGAUUUAUUUUGAUAGGAUUAAAUGAAAAUCAAAUUGAGUGAAAGAGGUUGCUUGGGAUUUUAAAUUUCCGGAUUUAUGUUUUGAUGAUUGAUGCUCUCUUUGUAUGCAUAUGUGUAUGUAUGAACUUAGAGCAUAGUUGCAUCAAAACCCUAUGAUUUUAUGAGAUGGUUAAAAUGGAAUAUGGAUUUUUCCAGAAAUAGCAUGAACAUUCAUAUUAGUUCAUAUGUAUGUUGUUGGUGUCCUUGUGAUGAGAUCUUUUUGAUCCAUAAGUUAGGUAACUAAUUUUGAUGAUUGUGCUAGUGAAUAUUUCUACCAAGAUAGGUCAUAAAGAUGAUGACUGUGGGAGUGAUUUUCGUCCCACAAGAAUAUUCGCUUAAGAUUCCUUCGUCUUCUUCGCUUCUCUUUCUCCCUGCAAAACAAAUCGGAGUAAAGGGACCACUCCAGGGGGGUGUUGGCCAAAGGCCCUCCAAUGCCUAAGUUAGUUCGAUUGAUUCGUAGAGAAACAAUAGCUAAAAUGAGUACAAAGCUCUCGUGGGGAGAACCGGGUGGCCAGAGCCAUGUGUGGUGAUUGGAGCCUUGUGUGAGAGAGAGAAAGAGUAUAGGGGCUAGGGUUGUGAGGGAUAAUUUUUGCAGAGUUUUAGAUAAGAAUUUAGACGUACCUCAACCCUUGUGCAUAGUCAUCUAUUUAUAGGGGUCUCGGAGGCUAGGGUUUCAGAAGAAUAAUUCCGUAGAUGAAAAGAAAUUAUUCUAAUUAGGGAUUAAAGGGAUUUGAUUUAAUCCCUAAUUAAGGUAGGAAUCAAAUCAAUCACAAUUCAAUCAGGUAACUCCCAAUUAAAUUGAGUAACUCCUAAUUAAAUUAAGUAACUCCCAAUUAGGUCAAAUAAUCCCCAAAUGGAAGGAAAUAUUUGACAUAGGGUUUGGCUAGAAUUUGGUUCCCACAAUGAUGGUGAUUUGUCAAAAAUAUAGAAAGUUCGUUGUUUCCGCUCAAUAAACCUUUACCUAUCACAUGAAAUUAAUAAGAUUAUUUUUUAUGAAUGUGCAAAAUCUAGAUGUUGAUAAUGGUGAUAUGAUACAAAACGCAAAAGUUGAUCAAUUUAUUCCUAUCACUUAUUCACCCAUCACACUAAAAUUAAUUAUGAUUACUUUGGUGAGUGUAGUUGGCCUACGUAGUCAUAUUCAUGAUUAUUUACCUAGUUGGAAUAAUCAUGAUCGCCACUUUGUAUUAAAUAAAUGUAUGAUUUAACCCCUCACCCUAGUGGAUUAACAUUGGAUCCAUUAUUAAUUGUUGAAUAAUUUUUAAUUUACUUGCAAUAUAUGAUAAGUGGAACUAUGCCUAAAAGAUUUUCACAAUUGAUUUUGUUAUUGUAGUAAAACGUUUUCACUCCCUGGUAAAUUCAUUAUGAAUAUGGUUACCACUAUAAUUAAACCCAUAUAUGUAUGCACUCCAAGAGCAUGUAUUUACAUUGCCAGUGUAAUUGUUUAAAGGGUUUGUAUAAUUAAAGGAUAGUUAUGGACUUAGACCAAACAAUUGAGCUAUAUGAUUGGCCGCUUAUUGGAUUUGUAUUCGAUUUUGAUUGGUUAUGUAAUAAUGAAAUGACUUUCAUGUCUAAUUUAUUUUUAUGCAUGAGUAAUUAAAAUGAAUCACCAUCCAAGACUAUGAUCCAAUAAGUUGGCUCGUAUUGAUCACCAAGAAAGUCCAUAAUCAUCCUAUAACCCCAAUGCAAUUGGAAUGUUCGGUAAUGAUAAUAAUUAAUCAAUUAGUAGUAUCAUGUACUCCCACUAUCUCAAGUAAAUGAUUUCUAAAACAUUUAGUGGGAGUAUUAUGUGCUACUAAUAUGUUGUACCGGGAACCAUUUAAUAAGAUUAGAUAGGUAAUUUUAAUAGAAUUAAAAUUGGAUUAAAAUGAGACCAAUUUAACUACCAUAAAAGAAAUAUUAAAUAGAUAAGAGAAAUGACACUCUGAAUGCUAUUUUGUGACCUUCCACCGUGGUAGUCUCUUAUUGGGUGGCACAUAUACACUUUGUUGUACCUCACUGAGGCAACAUCCAGUACUUGUAACCAUCCAAGGGAAGCCUAUUAAACAUACUUGAUGUAGUGUCGAUAGAUAACGAGUAUGGCCAACAAAUCGUAAGGAUGAUGACAUACUGGAAACCCUAUGCCCACAAUCAUUGUGUGAAUAACUUAACUAAGACGAACAAAACGAACAAACUGUUAGGUUGAGGUCUAGUUUUAUAAGGCCAUUGUGAUGGGUAUUCACAUUAAUAAUGUGAUUGGAUAAGAGUAUUAUCUAAUUAGUAACAUAUCAAUCAAACAAACUAUUAGGUUGCGAAAAACUAUGUGAAAAUGAGACUUCCGUCCCCACUAAAAGUUUCAACGGAAACUCUUGGAUUUCAAGAAGGAUAAGAAAUUUACCAAAAAUAGUGGGAGCUACCAUUAUGACUUAAUGACCUUAAGUCCUUGAUAGAAGAUUAAUCUAAACUAAACUUUGUUUACGUUGUUGCAUAAUCUUCAAAUGGACUUUGAAAACCCAAUCUCAUCGAUACUUAACAAUUACAUCCUUGAUGGCACGAACUAUCCGGCCUAGCUUCAUAAAGUGAAACUUGUCCUUACAAUGGAUGAAAUUGAUUAUGUGUUAACAGAUGCCCACCACAUAUUCCUCCAAACCCAACAGCUACUCAGAAAUAAAGAACUGCUUAUGAGAUGCAUGUUAAGGAUGAUAGUAGAGGUUAAAGUUACUUACUAGCAUCCAUGAACGAUGAGCUACUUAAACAACAUGAAGAUAUGGAUGAUUGUACUUUCAUAUUGCUUUACCUCAAAAACCUUUAUGAUGAAGUUACUCGUAGCUUGUGUUACAAUAUAAUAUGUGGACUUGUCAAUACAAAGAUGACAAGAGUGACUCAAGUUAAUCAGCAUGGUCUUAAGAUAAUAUCAUUGCUUAAGUUUGGCAAAAAGUUAUCUAUCAUCUUGAGACCAUGUUGAUUAACCGGAGUCCCUCUUGUCAUCUUUGCAUUGACAAGUUCACAUAUUGUAUUGUAAUGCAAGUUACGAGUAACUUCAUCAUAAAUUUUUUUGAGGUGAAACAAUAUGGAAGCACAAUCAUCCAUAUCUUCAUGUUGUUUAAGUAGCUCAUCGUUCAUGGAUGCUAGUAAGUAACAUUUACCUCUACUAUCAUCCUUGACAUGCUUCUCAUAAGGAGUUCUUUGUUUCUGAGUAGAUGUUGGGUCGAGAGGAAUAUGUGAUGGGGCUUGUGUAGCUUCCACUAUUUUUAGCAAAUUUCAUGUCCUUCUUGAAAUCCGAGAGUUUCCUUGAAACUCUUAGUGGGGAUGGGAGUCUAAUUUUCACAUAGUUUUCCACAACUUAACAGUUUGUUGGAUUGCUAUGUUACUAUCAGAGGAUACUCUUAUCCAAUCACACCAUUAAUGUGAAUACUCAUCACUAUGGCCUCUAGAGAACUAGACCUCAACCUAACAGUUUGUUGGUUUCGUUCGUCUUAGUUAAGUUAUUCCCACAAUGCUUGUGGGUAUAGGGUUUCAAGUAUGUUCUCAACCUAACGAUUUGUUGGCCAUACUUGUUAUCUAUCUGCACUACAUCAAGUAUGUUUAACAAGCUUCCUUGGGAUGGUUACAAGUAUUGGAUGUUGCCUCACUGAGGUACAACAAAGUGUAUAUGUGCCACCCAAUAAGAGACUACCACAGUGGAAGGCAACAAAAUAGCAUUCAAAGUGCCAUUUCACUUAACAACUUAAUAUUGCUUUGAGGGUAGUUAAAUUCGUCUCAUUUUAAUCCAAUUUUAAUCCAAUUAAAAUUACUUAUUUAAUCUCAUUAAAUAGUUCCCAAUGGAACAUAUUAGUAGCAUAUAAUACUCCCACUAAAUGUUUUAGAAACUGUUUGCUUAAUAUAGUGAGAAUACAUAAUACUACUAAUUGAUUAAUUAUCACAAUUACCGAACAUUCCAAUUGCAUUGGGAUUAUAGGAUGAUUAUGGACUUUUUUGGUGACCCAAUUGAGCCACUAUGUUGGAUCAUGGUCUUGGAGGGGGAUUCAUUUUAAUUACGCGUGCAUAAAAUAGCUAAUCAAAAUCACAUACAAAUCCAAUAGGCAGCAAAUCACAUAGCUCAAUUGUUUGGUCUAAGUCCAUAAUUACCCUUUAAUCAUAGUGGUAACCAUAUUCAAAAUGAAUUUACCAUGGAGUGAAAACGUUUUUCUACAAUAGCAAAAGCAAUUGUAAAAAUCUUUUUGUGGGCAUAGUUACACUUAUCAUAUAUUGCAAGUGUAGGGGGCUUUUUAUUCCGACAGCUGUAAAUUGGAUGGGCUGUCGUGAAGGGCGGAUUGAUGAAAUUGUCCCCUGUGUCUGAAUUCGAAAAUCAAGCCGCAAAAAUACUUCGAAAGGGCAAUAGAGCUUUAGGAAGCAUCUUAGUUACCUUCACCAACUAAAAUAACAGCAGCUUAUGAUGAUUUCUUAAUGCUUACAGAUAAAUUUUCUAGCUUGGCAUGAGAGGUUUGUGGCAUGGAAGCAAAAUCGACAUGAGUUUAGCACUGAAGAGAAAAUUAUGCUUUCUUGGGAAAAAAAGGAGUGUUAAGGUAAGAAAUGAAAUGUUUGCAAGAAGAUUUGGCUGAGAAGAGAGAAAGAAAGAACAAUUUUCUUUCUGGCAGCUUGACAGAGAUUCUGAAAGUGGUCUGCUAGAAGAGGAAAAUGGAGAAGAAGGGUGAAUAGUGCACGAAAUUGCUGGGUUUUGCAGGCAAGAGAGGAAGCUUGCUCUCUGGAUGUGGGUUCGUUUUGUUGGGUAAAAGAGGCCUCAUUUUAUAGUCGCUGGAAACCAUCCUUUCCCAAGAAACCCUAAUGGUUUCUACCUAAUUUGGCAAAGCUUUUCCCUUCCUUUCUCCUCUCCUCCCUUGAAUUUUCCUAUCUUGGUGAAAUUUCCUCUGCCUAUUUGCACAAAAUCAGGGAUUUUUGGGAGCUCAAGGCCCCUUUCCCGCAGCUGUUUCAGUGGGAGACUUCUCAUUCUCAACUAUUUUUUCUUAUUCUUUCCUUCCUCCUUCCAUGGCUAGAUCUGAUGAAGGAAAACAAAUGGAUGUACAUGCUGGUUCGAAGGGUGCUUCUCCUCCUGGCAGCUUGCGCUUUAUAUCCCUUGGUUCCUUGAAUGUUUUUUGUUUGAAACUUGCUCCCCCAUGUGCUGGAACCUCCCAGCAGCUUUGUUCAAUGAACCUUCAGACCUCCCCUUCAUGGCUUUUGUUUUUCCAGCCAGAUGCUGGGGCCUUUGUAGUUCAUUAUGGUAAUUGUUUGGGCCAAGGUGGUUCAUUAAGUAAGUGGGCUAUUUUUAUUAAAUGUUGGGCUUUUGGUUGAGUCAAUAGGCUAUUCUGAUUGUGCUAUUUUUGAUUGGGCUAUUUUUUUCCUCUUUUGUGCUCACCCACAUGUUGGGCUUAAGAAAUGAGCUUGAGUCCCGAUGCUCCCAAGCAACCCGAGACUUCCAUUUGUCGGCCUAUCAAUGGGCCUCAUGUCGAUUUAUCACUAUCCAUACCACAACCCACUCAAGCAAGCCCCGAGCAUUUGAGUGGCUUGGGCCCACUUAGGCUUGUAGCGUGGCAUGUUGCUCAUUUGUUUGGCGUGGCAUGUGUGUAAGUGCAUAUGACGAACAUUGGCAUGCCCAAAUCGGGUUUCUUAUUGGUAAGGUAUCACAUUGGGCCUGAAAUAUAUUUGGGCAGAACCGUGGAUUCUUUGGAUCUCAAAAGCAAGUACGUUCAAAAUUAUUCAACAAUUAAUAAUGGAUCCAAUGUUAAUACACUAAGCUGUGGGGGUUAAAUCAUGAUUUGUUUAACACAAAUGGUGAUCAUGAUUAGUCCAACUAGGUGAAUAAUCAUGAGUGUGACUAGGUAGGCCAACUACACUUACCAAAGUAAUCAUAAUUAAUUUUACUGUGGGGGGUGAAUAAGUGAUAGGAAUAAUUUGAUCAACUUUUGCAUUUUAUAUCAUAUGACCAUUAUCAACAUCUGGAUAUUCCUUACACAUUCACAAAAAAUAAUCUUAUUAAUUUAGUGUGGUGGGUAAAGGUUUUUUUUGAGUGGAAACACUUUGACCAACUUUCUAGAUUUAUGACAAAACAUCAUCAUCAUCUUUAUAACCUAUCUUGGUGGAAAAAUCCACUAACACAAUCAUUAAAAUUAGUCACCUAACUUAUGGAUCAAAAAGAUCCCAUAACACGAACAUCAAGAACACCAACAAAAAACAUAUGAACUAAUAUGAAUAUUCAUGCUAUUUUCGAAAAAAUCCAUAUUCCAUUUUAACCAUCUCAUGCUAUUAAUCAUAUUUUCAUGAAGUUAAAAUCAUGGGGUUUUGAUGCAACUAUGCUCUAAUGUUCGUACAUACACAUAUGCAUACAAAUGGAGCAUCAAUCAUUAAAACAUAAAUCCAAAAAUUUAAAAUCCCAAGCAACCUAUUUCACUCCAUUUGAUUUUCAUUUAAUCCUAUGAAAAUAAAUCAAGUAUAACCAUUAUACUUUUAAAUGCAUUUCCAACCCAUAUAUGCAUCUCUAAACCCUAAAAAUAUAUCAAGUUCAUGACCUGUGGCUUUGAUACCAAUUUUUUAUUUUAAAAUAUUUUUACGAAGUUCAUUUGAAUAUUAAACGUGCAUUUAAUCAAAUUAAUCACAGCGGAAGUAUAUGGUGGUUGUUUAAAUUCAAAAACCAAAACUUCUUCCAAGUAUCUUAAAUCAUGAACAUUGAUAUGUUUUCAUAAAAGUGAAAGUACAAGAGAAAAUGAUAAGUUCUAAUUACCCUUGAAGCUAUAAUAUGAACCAAACUGUGGUUUGGUCUUCUCUUGAUGACUUUCCUUUGUCGAUCUCCUCUUUGAUCUUUCUCCUUCUUGUGAACCACAAAAGGAUAUGGCCUCUAAGUCUCCACACCAAUGGAACCUUGAGAUGAGAGAGAAGAAUCUUGGGAAUUCAAGGAUGCUAGUGCAAGAUCCUAAAGACUUGGGUUUCAAUCUAAACCCCUUGAAAGAUGAAAGUGUUUCACUCUUAAAAACUCUUUUUUCUCUCUCUCUCUCUCUCUCUCUCUCUCUCUCUUUGAUCUCCUAAACCUAUUUGGUUGAUGUUGGAUUGUGUUUGUGUGUUAAUGAGCUUGUUGAAACAAUUUCCAUACACAAUUACUUAUGCAAUUUCGGCCAAACCCUUUUGGGCUUCCAAUUUUGGGCCUUAUGACACUUAAAUCAUAGUAUUUAGGUGUCUUAAGCCCUUGUGCUUGUUACCUAACCAUUUGGGCUUCCUGUUAACUAUUACUGAGGCCCAAACACACUUUUACACGUAGUAAAUCAUUCGCAUCAAAUUGAUCAAAUUAAUUUCUACAAUUUCAAAUGUAUUUCUCAAAGAUAACUAUUUAUGGUGUGCGAUUCAUUAGGUUCUAAUUAGUAAGGCAGUGGAAAAAUAUUAGAAAUCUUUCUAAUCAUCUGGAAUUAAAACCCCUUUUUAGUUCUUCCUUUAUAUGGAUCGAUCACAAUCAAUCGUGGGACUUCGAUUAGCCAAGAAUGACAUCUAGCAAUAUAUAUCAAGGCCACCCAAGCUAACCAAAAUAGUUGAAGAACCUAUUUAGUUGGAAUUGCAAUACAAUACGGUCCUUCGCUAAUACAAUAUUUUAAAUCAUAUUAUUAGUGUACGGAUUGAUUAUGUUAAACCCCUAAUAUGAUUAACCUCAUGUGAUUCAAUAGAACAUGAUUACGAACCACUUUAUAAAUCAUGCUCAAGAACUUCGGCCGAAGAUUCAUUGAAUCAUAUCUUGAAACAUUCUCCUUCUUUAUCAAAGGUAGAGAUUCCUUAUUGUACAUUCACAUGCCCCCAUAAUGAGAGAUCCCAAUAACACAUAAGGAAAAUUUCUUACGACUUGCCUUUGCGAGCUAUCAAAGAUCAAUAACGCAUCACAAGACAACCAUGAUGCCUCACGUCUAAGGACUAGUUUGCGUUAUUGCAACUAGUAGUCCUCGUUUGACAUGUAGAUAAAACUCCAUAUGAGAACUUCAGUUGAUCGUGUUCAGUGUACUCAUUCACCAAUGAACACCCACAUACUUGUAUUAGUUUCAUCUACACAAAUGGUUUAAGACUAAUCAUCCUCCUAACUGAGCAUACAUAGUAUGUGCUAUUCUUGACGGUUUAUCAAUGCCCAUUUUGAUAAUCCUAUGAUUAGGAAUAUUUGGGACACUAUAGUUAUAGAUUAAAGGUCUCCCGGAUCUAAUCUUUUUUAGAUUAGUUUAUUUUUUAUUUAGCAUACCUUGGACAUUUUUCUUUUACACGGUGCAAAAGAUAACAAGAUAAACUUGCCCUUUAUUUAUCAUAUACGAAAUGUAUUCUAAGGAGAUUACAUCAAAUGUAUUGGCUCUUAGGGAACAUUUCUAACAUAACUCACAAAAGAGGUAUGCAUGGACAUUCCACCCAGAUAUACCACUUCUACUCAGACUGGAACGAUGAGCAAGUUGUGAAAGGCUUUGUACGGAUCUAAACAGUCACCUCGUGAAUGGUUUGGAUGGUUCACCAUGGCAAUGAAGAACAAUGGUUUCUGGCAGAAUAACUCAGAUCAUUCUUUGUUCUUGAAAAGGGAAGGUAACAACUUUAAAAAUCUAUGUUGACAAUAUAAUUAUUACUUGGAAUGAUGAACAUGAAAUAUCUUAGUUAUAAGACUAUUUGGCUACUGAAUUUGAGAUGAAGAAUCUAGGUGGACUCAAAUAUUUCUUGGGGAUUGAGGUGGCUUGAUCAAAGUAAUGCAUAUUUCUCUCUCAAAGGAAAUGUCUUGGACUUGUUGACAGACACUGGAAUGUUAGAUUGCAAAUCUGCAGACAUUUCUAUUAUUCAAAAUCAUCAUCUUGGAGAAUACCUGGAUCAAGUUCCAUCUAACAAAGAAAGAUACUAAAAGCUAGUAGGAAGACUGAACUAUUUGUCACAUACUCGACUAAACAUUGCUUAUGCUAUGAGCGUAGUUAGUCAGUUUAUGCAUUCUCCAAGUGAAGACCCCAUGAAUACAAUUGUUCAAAUACUUAGAUAUUUGAAGUCUGCACUCAGAAAAAGACUUAUGUUCCCAAAACAUGAUCAUAUGAAUAUUGAUGGUUAUAUAGAUGCAGAUUGGGCAGGUAGUGUAACAGAUAGAAGAUCCACAUUUGGUUACUUCACAUUCGUGGGAGGUAAUUUGGUGACAUGGAGGAGCAAGAAACAGAAGGUAGUGGCUUUAACUAGUGCAGAAGCUGAGUUCAGAGGUAUGACUAAAGGAAUUUGUGAGCUCAUUUGGUUAAGGAAGUUGCUUAUUGAACUUGGGUAUGAACCUAUAUCCAUAAUGAAUCUAUUUUGUGACAACAAAGCUGCAAUAGUCAUUGCACAAAAUUCAGUUCAACAUGAUUUCAACAAACAUGUUGAGGUGGAUCAACACUUCAUCUUACAGAAGUUUGAGGCUAAAGUGAUUCAGCUCCUUUUCAUGGAGUUCGAGGAUCAAUUGGCAGAUAUUUUGACAAAAGAGAUUUCCUGUAAAGCAUUCUAUACGUCACUGGAUAAGUUGGGUAUUGUCGACAUCUAUGCACCAACUUGAGAGGGAGUGAUGGUGUGACUUGUGACUUGUGACUUUCCUUGCACACCAAGGAGUCCCAUAUUAAUUGUAUUUGAUUUCAUUUUUAUUUCUGAUUUACUACCAUAAAUAGAAUUAAGAAUUAUUACUUUCCUUGGCCUUCAAGGUUUUAUUGUACUAUAAAUAUGGCCUCUUACAAGGAGAAGAAAACACACAAAAAUUCCAGAAAAAAUAUUCUCUUAUAGUUUCUCAUAUUUUAGCAGUUUAUAUAUCAACUAACCAACCAAAAAAAAAACAUUUAUAUUAAAUUUAAAAUUUAAAAAAAAAAAGAAAAAAAAAGGGGUCAGGCUAGUAGCUACAGGCUAUUGGCAAGGUGUAUUUGAUUCGGCAGGGGCAAAGAUUGUGUUAUUUUUCAUACCUAUAAAAGUCAUGUCGUACUUGAAAAUCCUAGUUUAUCCAGAGUUGCCUGGAACUGGAUUCGACGGAUAGCAAACAAAGCAUCUAAUGCUCUUCAAAUUUGUUCUUGAAAAUUGGGAUUAUAAUAAGUCAUUAGAGGUCUAAGUCCAGGGUUUGCAGGAAGAUUAGCCAAUAUUUCAUCCAACUCAGUGACCUCCAAUUUUGUUGGACUAUUCGAAUUAUUCAAGGAAGGAUGUGAAUUACCCGGAUUAUUUGAAGGAGGAUUUGAACUAGCCGGAUUAUGUGAAGGAUGGUUGGAACUAGCCGGAUUAUUUGAAGGAGAAUUUGAACUACCCAGAUUAUUUGAAGGAGGAUUUAAACUCUUUUUCUUAAAGUACCGUUCCAUAACUGUAUAACUAAAAUAAAAUAAGGGUUUUAUAUCUAUAACUAUGACUAAUUGACUAUAGUUUAUCAAUUAAAUAAACAAAUAAAAAUUAAUUAUACCUCGAAUCGUGUGUCACGCAGCCUCUUCCUCCUCGAAUUUGAUACUGAUCUUACUAAUAGAGAAAGAGCUAAAUAAGAAAAAAAAUUAUUAAUAAAAUGAAUAAACAAAAUUGGCAUUUGCUCAAGAAGAAAAAAAAUAUGCAUCCAACUUACUUUGGAUUGGCGUACUCAAGAAGGAAAAAUAAAUUAAAAAACCGUAGGAUUCUUGUGAUGCAUGUACACUUUGAUAAAAUUGGGUGAUAUUAAAUUUGUCCUUUAUAAAGAGAAUUCUUAAUCCCACUUAAUAAAGAAUUGUGCAAGCCCUAUUAAAGCCCAAUUAAAUAAAAAGAACACCCAAUCCUAUUUAAAUAAGAAAUUGUAGAGGUCCUAUUGAAAUGAAGGAAGCGUACUAUAAUUAUAAGGUUUUAUAGCAUUAUAUUUCAACUAAUAUUACAACAGGUGUUUAAAAGUUACUACAGACCUGUAUGUGGCUCUGCUCCUGUGACGUGGUUGUUGGUGCUACGUCGUAUUCUAUUUGGCUCUGAAUCCACUGUCGCAUUUUAUUAUCUCCACUUCUAGUUUGCUAUAUUUCUUUGCUUUUGUUGUACUUCUAGUUUUUUCACCAAUGUCGCAUUUGGUCUUUCCUGGUUUAGACUAGACUUUUCCCUCUGUUGUAUGCUCUUUGGGGUUCUCCCUGUCUAAUUGAGUUGCACUUUUAGGAAAAAACAAAAACAAAAAGAGUGCAUAAGCAUAUGUUUCUAUGGCACUGUAGUGACAGUGAGUGGCUUGUUGACUGAUAAUUACAAUGCGCUAUUAUUAGCUCAGUGCCCGAGCACAGUGGAAUUGUAGUCAACUUGACACUGAAUUAGUGGGGCACUCGUAUUUGAAACAAAAGCGGUUGUAGUCAUUAAAUCGUUUCAAUUAGGUAUAGAUUAAUCACAGUCCAAUGCAACGCAUUCCCUGUAUGAAUUCGCUGGCAUUGAAGAUGCACCCCAACGCCUUCAUCUUUUGUAGCCCUCUUUCCUUGAGGCUGUUAGGUGGCUGUCAAAACCAAACUACGGAUGUAGCAGACGGUACAAUCUUAGACAAAGUCCACGUUAUAUAGUCAAGAGGUAGUUGUUGGUAGGUAGGGAGUUGAAGCAUCACAUAUAUGUGAUCAAGGCAGAGACGAAAUGCUUAUAAAUAAAAUUUUGGAAGCUCACUGAUGACAACCCUAGGGGUAGAGCUUUGAUUCAUCAAUGCAAAAUUCAGAAGUCUUUGGCCAAUUGGUCAAUUUUAACUGGCAUAUAAGAGGUGUUGUGGAAGCAGCUUAAUUGCAGCUUGAUUUAGCCAACGGUCCAUAAUUUAGUGGUAAGAGUAUUUGCUUACAGAUUAGUUGGCUCAAGUUCGAACCCUCUCCUCCCCUUCAAAACCUUGACCAAAAAAAAAUAAUAAUAAAUGCAGCCUGAUAUAGACGCUGCCUGCUUGAGCAUGUUAAUUUUGACCCUGAAGAUAUAUAAUGCUUUUGAAAAGUCUGCUGGAGGUUGAUGUUAUUUGGCUCCACAACUAAUCAUAAUUUCAUCAUUAAAAACUCUAUGACAAAAAAGAUUUAUCAGAUUUUUAAUUAUUUUAGUAAUUGGGUCUGAAAUACCUUGUGGAAAUGUCUAGAUUGAGGAGGGUCAAAAGAAAAGUCUCAUUCCCACCGUUAGCUUAAAACCUGCAGCUUUAUCUAACAUUACUUUUCCAAAGGCCAAAGCCACAGGCCUAAGAACAAUCCGUAUCUUUCGUUCUCAGGCAGAAAAUUGUUUUCGUUUUUAAAACUAUCAUUGUCACAGUGUGUACUAAACAAAGUCCAUUUAGGUGAUGCUUAAGUGCUUUUCACCAAUCAAAUCCAAUCGCCGAAAGCUUAUCUGCUUUAGGAACUGAAUGUGAAUCGGUACCAUCUGUGGUUUCAAUGUUAAGCUGUCUAUUAAAAUUGGACCAGAAGCCAUACUGUUAGUUGACUGGUUAGGUUCUUUUCAGCUGGAGCCACAAUCUUCUGCUAGAAUGCUUCUCCUUUCAAAGGUGCUUGGUCAAGUUGUUGGCUUUUGUGUCUGCAUUUUCAGGGCACAUGGAGUUUGGCUUUUGCAUUAAGUGGAUGUUUUCAUAAAGAAGUGGUGGAUCCAGUAUAUGAGAAGAAAGGAUUUGGGCUAAUGGGAAGAUUCCACAUAUCAUCAGUUACCUUCAAUUGGGGGAGAAUGAUUCUCAUGGAUGUUUCAGAUUAUUAGAUUAAAUUAUGGGUUUUCAACAAUGAUGUUCACAAAUAGGCCUAAUGAUUUUAGGGUUCAAGACCAUGAGGAAAUUUUUACUUCAAAUUUUUACUAUAGUGACUUAUGUUCUACUUUGAAAAGUGACUUUUUUGUUAGACUCUUUAAAGGCAAAUAUUCUAUUUUCUUUUUCUGCUUUUAUUUUUGCAGCUUUUGGGUUUUUCCUCCUUUUCACUUGUAUUAUGUUGUUCGGGUUAAUGAAUGAAAUCCGGCUACCUCAAUUAUAAAAAGACAUCCAUUUGGUGGUAAAGUUCUAUAGUUUUUAUAUAAUUAAGUUCAAAAGAUAAUGAGCCAAUGUUGCACGGCAUUUCUAACAAGUGGAGAGCAGCUCUCUAGUUUGGUAGUUGUUCCAUAGAAAAUGAGUAAUGCUACACGCACCAGUUCUUUUAAUUUUUCACAUAGAAUAUGCCGUAUAUAGAUCACUUGAUUUUAUAAUCUCAUGAAUCUUAUAUCAUGUAAGAAAGUUGUAAUAAGAGUGGGGAUAAUGUUAUUAUAGAGACAACUUAUUCCAUAUGACUCAACAAAAAACAACCAACAAUCAGUGGCGAAGCCACGAUUUCAUGUGUCUGGGGGCCUCUUACAAAAUAUAAAUAAUAAAAACUUCAACACCAUAAUGAUGGGCUGAGCUUUACGUUUUGGUCCCCCUCCACUGGAAAAAAUAUAAUCCAUUUUAAGAAUUUCAAUAUGAUACUUGCCACAAAAGAAAGAAACUUGAUCAAGUAAAGAAUCCCAACCAUUAUCUCUCAUACUUUGCAAACUAUGUGUUUGGUAGCCUGUUUUGGAAGUGUUAUUACCAACGGUUAUGGAGGCACCAAGUGAGUUCUUCUAGGUGCCUACUUCAUCAUUUUUAAAAUGGGUAGUUCCAAUUCAAUUAAUGGGAGGAGAAUAUUUAUUGACACUUAUAGUGGUAUGCAACCAUUUGACAGGGACAGAAAAACUAAAAAUGAUGCUAAGUAUAUUGGAAUUAUGUGGAUUGCAAAACAGAAAGAUUAUAUAAGACAAAUAUAUGACAAAGGUAACCUAAAGAAAAUCCCAUUAGAUCCGGGCAGGUUAUUCUCCACUUAACUUUUUCUAACACAUUUUCUAUUCUGUUAAUCUCAAAUCCAUCCAAAAAAGAGCUUCCUAAUCGACUUCUAAGAUUGGGGACUAGGGAGACAUACAUGCUUGAAAGUAAUGGGUGAAAUAGUUACACAAGACGUACAUUCUCUAAGUUUGUUCGGUGUGUUUAGGUUAGUCUGAAUUUGAGAAGAUCACUGAAAUCCGGAACCCUUUCGUAAACUCCAAGCUUUGUAAAGACCAAGCUAAAAAGUUCUUAAUCAUUGCUUCGUCAAUUUUGUUCCAUGCUGACCCAACUUUGAUAUCAUAUUAUGAUUAAUUAAUCUAAUCUUUGUCAGCAACAUUGUCUUAAUAAGUCUACUGAAAUCCAAUUACCUUGUCCAAAGUCUACUCGAAUUCAAUCAGACUAUCGGUCCACUCAAUCACCUGAAAGUUCACCACUUUCUCCUCUCCUUUCAUUAUUAUUAUUAUUAUUAAAUCUUUUUUUCUUUCUCCAUAAUGAUGCAGGCUUCUCACUUUCGGUUAUUUUGGUUCUAUUUGUUUCACUUUUCUUCAAAAAGAAACUUAAGAAAGGGGGAGAAAAGUGGUAUCAGAUUGAUCAGUGCCCAAUGGUACCCCAAAGCUAUUUUCUUUUGGUCAUGUUUGGGAUCUCCAUUCAGUCAUUGAAAUGGAGACGUCUACUUGGUAAUUGGUACAUCUUAGCUGUGUCGAUUAUGAUCUGCAAUCAUAAAUUUAACAUAAAAAGUUGGCCAUUUGUAUAUUAUUUUGUUGUUCCCUUCUGUUUAUGAUAAUUUAUUGUCCAAUAUUGUUAAGAGCCGUUGGAUAGAGCGAAAUCAGCUUGUAAAGGAAAAAUGGUCAAGAGCUAAUAUGAGCAAUAAACUAUCAAUAAAUAAAAAAAAGCCUACUCAAAAUGGAUCAUCCAUUGCUAAUAACUAUAACGUACAAAUAGUAUUUGUGAGAUAGCACCGAUCAAAAGCUGGAAUAGCUCAGUUGGUUAGAGCGUGUGGCUGUUAACCACAAGGUCGGAGGUUCAAGCCCUCCUUCUAGCGCAACAAAUGUCAGUUUUUUUAAUCUUUACACGUUCUGAGAUACAAUAAGAUGUUUCCUUCUUUUUCUUUUUUCUUUUUUAAUUUUUAUUUAUUUAUAGAAGAUGUUUGUAAUUAUAAAUAUUUGUAUGAAAUUCGUUCCAGCUUAAAAUCGUAUGAAGAAGACAUCUGCCAAUAUAAAUACCGCUCUUGAAUCAACGGGUGUUAUUUAGAUUGGCUCAGAUUUUUGGUGUGCUUUCAAGUGGUUUUGGGUUCAAAUCAUCAUGGUACUCGUGGGUGUGUGAAUUUUUCCCACUUUCUAAGGCUGACAAUGAGUCGUGUCGUGUCAGUAUCAUAUACGUGUCAAGAACAAUCAACCUAAACACGACCUGUUUAAUAAACGUAUCGUGUCGGAUUGACUAGUUAAUUUUUCGUGCGGGGUUUUGAGUCGGGUAUUAGGUUGAGUCACUAAGUGGUAGCAACUAAAAGAACUAAAAACAAUUAGAAAAAUUAAGAAAAAUUAAGAAUAAACAAAGAAACAGGUUAGCGGGUUGACGGGUUACACGAGUAUUUUAGCGGGUUGGCGAGUUGACUUGUUUAAUAAAAGGGUUACAUAGUUAUUUUAGCGGGUUGGCGAGUCGACUCCAAACUCACAUGUUUAUUAAACGGAUCAUGAAGAGUUGACCCAAAAAUGACUCAAAAAUUUAAUCGUGCGGGUUGACUCGCUAAUUUUCCUUGUGGGUUUUGAGUCGUGUAUCAGACAACAACAAAAAAAGAAUGGUUUAGAUCAUGGAAUAAACUAAAAGAACUAUCUGAUUGUUUUCACCCAUUCCACACCAUCAUCUCAUGAUCCGAACAAUUUAUUUUUAGGUCAUUAUACAAAAUUCACUCAUGCCCAAAAACAAAACCAAAAAAAAAAAAACUAAAUCAGACAACAUUUAGUCAUCUAACUUCAGUCAAAUAAAUAGACGACUCACAAUACUAAUCAUAAAUAGGGAAAAUAUUCACAAUAGUAAUCAAAUAGUUAAACAAUUUACAAUUCGAUUAUUAUUAACUAAAUAUUCACGAUAAUAAUUAAAAGGUUAAAAUUACAUAAACUUCAAUUGUAUUUUGAAAAAAAAAAAAAUUUAAUCCAACCAUCGUGGUCACCCACCAUGAAACUUUGUUCUUUCAACUUGAUUUACCUCUUCAAUAUUUCCUUAUGCAUAGUACUACUAAAGGCACAUUUGCUAUGUGCUUGGUAUUGUACUUUUGAGUAUGAUGAUCAAAAGUAUCUUGAUUCCUUUUUUGAGUACGCGAAAGUAGGCCCAAAGUGUCCCGAAGAAGAAGUAAGUCCUAGGAACCUUGGUUCCUAUAGCUCUUGGGUCUCUUAGGUGGCUUUUGAAAUGCUUGAAAGUGAUUUGGCCGCUGCAAGUGCUUUCCGAUCACUCAAAAUGAUUCACACCGCUCUUCAAAAUGAUCAGGUUGUUCUUGAAAUGCUUACAGCCACUCCUUAAUUGAAAACAACAAUGAUGAUGUUGAAGAACAAUAGAAGAUUGUAAUGUGAGACAUAGCUGGAGAGUGUGUGGCGAGUCAACAUUAUACCAACGGUGGAUGAUUCCCAAAAAUCUUAUCUGAGUGAUGUUGCUGAUGAUGUUACUUAUCCAAUUAUAUUGUAACUAAUAUCGUACAAGUAUAAACUCUGUUGAAGAAUAUGAGUCGCACAUUAAAAACUUGACUAAAUAAAAUACAAAAUAUAAUGAAUGGUUCUACUACUAAUAACACCGAGGCUUUUUGUGAUAAAACCCCACACUUACUGGGCAUUGUAGGUGGUUAAGUUGGUGACAAUAUCAGUGUUGUUAGUAGUGGCCUGCUAGUCCGUCACUUUGAAUUUAACAAAUUCGUCAAUGACAUUAUAACAUGUGAUAAUAUUACAACUACAAACAAAACAUUUCCACUCGAAUUAGUUUGAAGAGGUUUCAAAUUAAAUUUUUUGUAGCAGAAUAAAAAAAGUGCUUUUAAGCAAUCUUUCUUUAAUUAUAAAAUCAACUAACAAAUGAAGUUUCAUGCCUAGAUGUGCCAGUGGCACCACCAACAAUGAGCAGGCGGAAUCAGUAGUUGGUGCCAAUUGGAUGAAGGUGGUUGGUUAUAUUACAAGCCGUUGCUCACUAAAAAGGCCUUACAACUUACUCUCUCAUCUCAAGUGGUGAUGAAUCCACCAAAAGUUCUCAAAAGGGCAUAAAGUAAAGCUAACAAAAAAAGGGAGGACCCAAAAGGGAAGCUAAGUUUGAAUGGCGAUAUAGCAUAUUGGAUGGUGGUGGUGGAGGAGAUGGAGAGAUGGAGAGAUGAAGAGAGAUGGUGAUGGUGGUGAAUUGGUGAUUGGGAUGGAGAGUGGGUGACAGACCCACGUGACUGACCCACCACCACCACUAAUAGGAAGAAAACCUCUCCCUCUCUCUCACCUCUCUCUCUCUCUCUCUCUCUCUCUCUCUAAUAUGAAGAAGGAAUAGGAGGAGGAGGGCCAGUGGAUGUCUUGGUUGGCUUCAUAUCAACGCUAACAGCCAAAAUAACCCAACCACAACAAUAAAACCAAUAUACCCACAAUCACAUAACACCACCACCACCCCAAAAAGUGAAAAAGAAAAGUUAACAGGUUCACAUCAUUAACUCAUUUGACAAAAGUGAUCCCAUUUUCCUUGGUUGCCUUGCCCACUAACAUUAAGCCUUUCCUUUCUCCUUUCUCCUUUCUUCUCCCCCUCAUGCUAUAGUCAGCAGCUAGUGGGUACUCUCUCUCUCUCUCUCUCUCUCUCUCUCUCUCUCUCUUUGAUCUUUUAUUUUCGGUUGGUCAUUUCUACUUACUACCCAUUAUUCUUUUUCUCGCUAAAAUGCUAGUGGUUCUCCUCCCUCUUCACAAUUUCUUGUGCUUAAACUUGUUUGGUGGCUUCAAGAUGUUAGCAGCUUAAGCCCACAAAAGGGUAAAACUUAUUGAAGCAUUAGGGGAGAGAGAGAGAGAGAGAAAGAGAGAGAGAAAGAGAGAUGGACAACGAAACUAACCAAGAAAACCCAUCUCUCCCCCCAAACAAUUACACCUCCACAACCAAGGAAUUAGAGUCUCCAAGAUCAAAACCCCAACAACCUCUUGGUGUUGGUGGCAGCAGUGACAGGCUAAAAAGAGAUGAGUGGAGUGAAGGAGCAGUUUCUAGCCUCCUUGAGGCCUAUGAGACCAAAUGGGUUCUCAGAAACAGAGCAAAACUCAAAGGCCAUGAUUGGGAAGAUGUUGCAAGACAUGUCUCGUCUCGUGCCAAUUGUACCAAGUCCCCCAAGACUCAAACCCAGUGCAAGAACAAGAUUGAGUCCAUGAAGAAACGAUACCGUUCUGAGUCUGCCACUGCUGAUGGUUCAUCAUGGCCUCUCUAUCCACGGCUUGAUCUUCUGCUACGUGGCAGUGGGCCAUCCCCAACAGCAGCAUCAGCAGCAGCAACUGUAACAGCUGCAGCUAUACCACCACCACCACCACCACCACCACUGCCAGUACAAUUGCCUCCUCCGCCGCCUCAGAACAAUCAUCCUUUGAUGCUACUGGAGCCAUCAGUGUCGCUGCCGCCACAGCCACCACCUACUGCUCCUCCUCAACCUAUAGGAACUGCCCAAAAUUCAUAUGGAUCCAAUGGUGUUGAUCAUAGGGUGGCCAAGGUCAGUCUACAUGACCCCCCACCUCUGUUUUGUUUUUUCACACCUAUUUCCUUUUGUUUUUUGAAUUUUCAAUUGAAAUUAACCAGAUAAACACUUCUUGUUACCUGGAGAUUGUUGUCUUUUAGCCCUCACAAUUUUUUCUGGAGAUAAUUGGGUAUUAAAUUGUUUCCCUACCCUAGUCAUAGUAUGUUCUUGGAACCCAAUAUGUCCUACAUGAAUGCCUUGGUGGUCUCACAGAUAAACAUUUUUCAAGCUUAACAUUGUUAUUUCUGAUCAUAUUGUGACAUUGAAUUCAUCAUAGUUCAAUAUGAAUGAAGAUUUCAGAUGCUUUGUCCAAAUGCAGUGAAAUUACUGAAUCAUGUGCAGAAGCCCUUCAUAAAAUCAAAAUUGAACAGACAGAGGAAUUUACUAUCUCUGUUUUGGAAUAUAAGUUAAGAAGGGUUAGUUGGCAUUAAUUUAGACAUUAAUUUCACUUCACCUAACAUAAGGAUGCAUCAUGUUUGGCAUCUGAAUUUCAAUGAAGGUACAAGCUUUGCAGUAAUUGUACAGAAAAAAUUGUAAUACAAACACUUGAGGUUAAAGUUCCAAUUAUUGUAGUGCAAUUGUACACACAUUUGAGGUAAACAAUUGAAGUUACAAUGCACUCUAGAAGGUCCAAGUAAACCAAUUGUACUCCCCAAGAUUUUCUUAGACAACUCUAGUCUAGAGAAAAAAAAUAUUAAUGUGUAUGUGAUUGUUUGUAAAUCUUACUAAGUUAAUUUAACCUGCAGUCAUGUUAACAUGCAGGAAGAUGGAAUGGGGAUGAAAUUGUCAGAUCAUGCAUCAGACAAGAACCCUUUGGAGAUAGACAGUAGCACCCCAGCUCUUUACAGUGACAAGGAAAAAUUAAGGUCCAAGAGAAUGAAGAGGAAGAUAGAGAAAAAGAAGCGGCGAAGACGGGAGGAAGUAGAGAUAGCAGAGAGCAUAAGAUGGUUAGCAGAGGUUGUGGUGAGAUCAGAGCAAGCAAGAAUGGACACAAUGAGAGAGAUAGAGAGGAUGAGAGUUGAGGCAGAGGCUAAGAGAGGAGAAAUGGAUCUCAAGCGCACAGAAAUUAUUGCCAAUACACAGUUGGAGAUUGCAAGGCUCUUUGCAGCUGGUGUUGGCAAAGGGGUUGAUUCUUCUUUAAGAAUUGGAAGAAGUUGAGGAACAAUAAUCGUGAGGUUUGUGAGUAAGUAUGAUAUAUAAUGUAUAGAAUUUAUGUAGUAUGUAACACUGAGAGAAAAGAAAGGAGAACCUUUUGGAAGCAAAGGUGAGGAAGAGUCAACUAAUUAACAUGUAAUAUAUAAUGCGAAUUAAGUAGUUAUUGUAGGUACAAUAACAUAUCUACCUCAUUGUAAUGUACAUGUUCUCUCUUUCAGCAAGCAAUAUCAGUGUUUAGACCUAGAAAAACUUGCCUAUCCCAUGUUUCACGCAAUGAGAGAUAUAGAGAAAAGUGUAUGAAAGAUGUUAAAUGGAAGUUUUACGAGAGGAAGAGGACGGCCUUUGAGUCCACCUAACUUCUAAGUGUUGAGGAAUCUAGAUACUUGCUCCGUGAUGAUUUGGUACUGUAAGUUUUACGAGAGGAAGAUGGGAGUGUAUGUAUGCCAAGUAAGUUUUUUUAAUUUGCAUUUAGUUUUUUUCUAUUAUUUGAUCAUGGUUCCUAGUUAAUCUAUAUCAUCAGUUUGCUCAAGCUUCCCAUGAGAUGCUCUAGCGUCUAAAGAGUUAGGUUUCCAAAAUGGAUAAUGCACCUAAUCGCCUAAAUUUGCAUGAAUUGGUCUAUUGAUCUUCGCUUAUUCUACGUCGGGGGAAAAAUGUGUGGCUUAGUUAUCUAAAUGAAGUUGUAUCUUCAAAUUCAAAUUUCAAUCUUUAAAUCAUGUGGGGAAUGAAUCUCUCCAAUAGUAUGUAAAGACCUUGGUAUACCCUGAAAUUGAGAUAAAAAGGCAAGGUUAGUCCUUAGACACAUCGGUGUGAUGUGAGCCAAAGAGCCUCCGAUAUCAAAGUCGUAAGCUUUAAGCAAAGUAGGGUUUUUCAAAUCAAGGAACGUUUACCUUCUCCAGGAGAUGGUGGUGGUUUAAAUAUGACUCUUUGUUGGGUGGUUUAUCGCCUUGAGAAGAUGCAUGUUCAACGUUGAUUGGGGGUGUUAAGUCUCAUUGAUUGGAACGUCAAUUUGAUUAGCCGUUUGACUUGGGACAUGUGAGAUAUUUACUCAAAGUGGGUGACUGUAGUCCCCUUAGUUCUUGUUGCUGUAAUUGAUAAGGAGAUCUUAGGAUUUGCGCUGAUUUUGCCAGAGGCGUGCUGUCCUUGCAAGGCACUUGUGCCUGUGCUGGGAUGACUUCUUCGUAAGCCUUGCUCGGUCAGAGGCAUUGCUAGGCCUUCUUGUAUCAUGUGGGCUCAAGCGGAGCCCACACUUCUUAUUACCCUGGCAGAGAAUAGGAGGUUUCGUAAGGCUAGGCCGUAGAAAAACCUCCCAGCCACCACCCCCGUUUUGGGGUGGGUGGCUUCCUCCCCUCUUUCCUCUCUUAAUCCUUCCCCUCACUCUAUUCUUUGUUGAUAGUAUUUGUCCCACAUUGAAAAGUUAAGGGAUCUAGUCUAGAUUUAUAAGAAGUUGGACUACUUUCCUAUUGCCAAUUGGUUUUGAGGUAGAACCUCAACUUACUUCACUCUUCCCAUUGCUUUGCUUCCCCUUUGGCUUCUUGUUGAUGUUUUCCCCUUUUGGUUAGUUUGUUGGGUGUGUUUGGUUGUUUUUGUUUGUUUUCUUUUUGCAGAUUUGGAGCUUCUGCACUAGACUUCAGAUCUUUGUGUUCGAGAUAGACAAGGGUUUUGGGUGGCUAGUGGUAGUGCUCUCUAUCUCGGCGGAGGCAGCGACGUCAACGUCAGUAAUAAUGCUUACUGCUCUUGAUUAAUGCAUGAUACAAUGCAUUCCACUUUCUCCUAUCCUAAUUAGAAGAAAUUUAAUUCGUGUGGUCAUCUUGAUGGCCACGUGGUGUCGUGUUAUUGACACGUAAAUUUUUGCUCCCACAAUUAACUCUCACUUCACUUGAACUUGAAUCAACACGUAAACUUCACACUUCAAAGACUAGGUACCCAAGUUUAACCUACAGAAACCCUAACUCCUAAAAUUAUUAUUCUUCUUCUUCCUCAAGUCAACAUCGUUCAAUUUUUAGCCUAAAAGUGGAGCUCCCUAACUCCGGUCUAACUCUACUUUACUUAUGGAAGAAAAAAGGUGCUCUUUACUUGAAACAGAAGAAGAAGAAAAAAAAAAAAAGAGGUGCAUAAACAACUUUUUUAAGUAUAUACAUGGCAUCCCAUUCUGAUAGUAGUACGAAGCAUAGAUGGCAUCAAAAUGUCUCCUAAUCUUUGAGACCAUCUCUGUUAGUGGAACGAAUAUUUUCUGAAAGCAGCAUGUUCUCAUAUUAUUCAUCGAACAAGUUGAUGUAAGGGCAACACAGCAUGAGGUCAAAUUCAUAAGUGGACAGGUUGUAGUUAUGCUCAGUGUGCCAUAACUACAUCAGUGAAAUGAUAAGAUGUAUCUAAGUCAUGAAGUAGGCAAGGAUUCUUUGUUUUAUGUAUUUAUUUAAGUUUUGAACUGAUGUAGGCUAAGGACCAUAAAUAUGAAAGUUGGUAAUGUGUAUUGGAAACAACUCCAAACACGUCAUUUUUGUUCCUAUUUCUUCAAUUCUAUUUAUGUCCCCGUUAUUAUGCCAUACAUCAAUGUCAUAUUCGAUAUCAAAUUCGUUGAAUUUUCUGUUAUCAAAAGCGGUGAUCAACUUUUAAAGGGCAAAUUUGUAUUAACACUUCCACCUACAACUCCCCAUCCCCGCACCUGUCCCUGCCCCAAUCCCCAUUAAGAAAUUUCGGGGAAUCCCUAUCCUCGUCUCCGUCGGGAGGUUGUCUCCCAAACCAGCCCCAAAUCCCCGGUUUUUAUUAUCAAAAAUAUACUACACUCAAUUUUGACCAAAAAAUAAACUCAAUUACAUUCAAUUAAACCCUAAAAUUCAACUUAACUACUUAAAAUCAUCUAAACAAUUUAACAAACUAAUAGAAAUCAUAUAUUCCAUAGCAAAACUAAAAAUUUUGUCUCAAAAUUCUUAUUUUAUUGCUAAAAUUAAGAACAACAAAACACAUUAAAGACAUACGAAAAUAAAAGAUCAAAAAAAUAGGUAGCACUAUAGCACCAACACCGUAGCUUCAUCAGACAAAAUGGAAUGGAAGGAGGUUCUAAUAACGAAGGGAGAACACAUUAAAAAACAAUUUCCAUAUGUUUCUUGGUCAACCAAUACCAUCCUCGGCCCAUCUCCAACCGGGGAUUUUUAAGGAUCCCCAUAACACUGCCGCCACACCCAACCCCCUAGCGAUUUACCCCAAAUCUUCACCCGUUAGGGGCAGGUACCCAAUUUUUGUCAUCCUUACUCACACUCAUAAGCGAAGCCAGAAUUUUAUAUUAUCGGAAGCCUCGACGCAUAAGAAAACAGAUAGGUCGACCUAUCCCGAACAAGCAUAAUGUCCUCUUGAAUUCUUAAUGGCCGGUUGAUGGAACUAGACUAACUACUAGAGAUAUUCGUGUUACUACGUCUGCACUAAUUUGUACACGAAUGCGUGAAUUAUACCGACUACUCAAUAAAUUAUAGACCACUUCAAAUCUUCGUUUUCGAGAAGGAUGAUCAACUCCGCAAAUAUCGAUUGAAACUUGAACCCUUGUAUAGGUAUCAUUUGGUUGCAUACUCGUUCUGUCCUAAUAAAGCUAUUACCCACUAAAGUACCAAGUGGAAGAAGAAUGGUUUGUGCAGUAUUAUAUAUUCAUGUCACCUUGUAAAUUUACACUAUAUAUUCAUGUCAAAAUGUGACUUUGUAAAAUAUUUAUUGCUGGCUAGGAGGGCAUAAGUUUAAGAAUGGUAAUUUUGCACUAUAAUCAUGAAGAAAAGAAGAUCGAGCUAAGUCCGUGCCACUUCUAGCAUGUACUUGGCUCUGUCCUUAUUCUCACAUGAUUAAUUCACGUCAAGAAUGACAUUGAUUUACAGGAAGAUAUAGAUAGAUAUACAUGACAUUAAUGGACUUAGGGGCAAAAAUAAUAUAUUCAAAGUGAUACAGAGACUACUCGCGAUUAAAAAAAAAUCAAUAAAAGAAUGUGCAAAUAGGCUUUUAUGUGGGCUUAAUUCUCAACUUAUAGUCCACAGGAAUCAAACCCAAAAGAAAUUUUAUGCGCUUUGGCGAUGGAUUUUGAAGCUUCAAAAGCCCAGUCACUAUAUCUACAACCAGAUUGCCUUUUUUGUUUAUCUGGGAUUUACGAAAAGAUUACUUUGAUUGCUUUCGCUCUGUAAAAAGAUGGCUCUCUUCCAAACCCAAACAGCUCCUCCUAUCCAUAGCUAUGGCUUUAGCUCGAAAACCCAUAGUCAUUCUCCCAUGGUCUUAUCAUUUCAUUUUCCUCCACCUUCUCGCCUUGUUACUCACUUCUCCGUGAAAACCCAUCAGCAAAAUUCACUAUUUUCUAUCCAGAACACACCGCUUUCACUCUCAACAGUUACAAGGAAGUUGCUUUGCAGACCCCCUCAAGGGAAACAUGUCAGAGAAGACUAUCUUGUGGUAAGUUCUCCCUAGAAAUGCUUAUUUUCUUUAGCAUUGCAAUUACCCAUUACUUGUUGGUUUUUUUUUUCCUUUAAUUCAUAUGUUUUUCCUCCUUGAUAUAGUAAUGAUUUUAUGGGUCAGUUUGUAUAUUCAAAUUAUUUAUCUGAUUGGUGAGAAAAUGUAGGAAACGUGAAAGGAUUACAGUUUAUUGAAUUGAUAUUCUGGGAUUUACCUCUGUAUGGGAAGGGAAAGCAUGGAACUUUUCUUUUGAUUUGGCUUAGUUUGAAAGCCAACUUGGGAUAUAGAGUUUUACUUUAUUAUUUUCCUUUUAUCAGUUAUGGAGGCAUCUGAUAGAAGCAAGCAAGCAUAGUUAUUAGUAGUGAGAUUGAAACAAAACAAUUAUUGGUUUUAGGAAUUCUCUGAUCUUUCUUUAUUUUUAAAUUAUAAAUUUGAGCUUAUUUAUUUCUUUUUUUGGGGAGCGCAGAAGAAGGUGUCGGCCCAGGAGGUUCAGGAACUGGUAAAAGGAGAAAGAAAUGUACCCCUUGUCGUUGAUUUCUUUGCAACAUGGUGUGGACCUUGUAUAUUGAUGGCUCAAGAACUUGAAAUGGUAUGCUUUACACAUAUGCAUACUACUUUUAGCGACGCUACUCUGUAUUCAUAUAUGGCUUUUUUUUUUCUUUUGAAGUUUUGAUGGUUCAUCUGUGCAAUUUGAUAAAAUACUUGUAUUUAGUACUUUGAUAUGGAUUUCAAACUGGUUGUUAGAGAAAUUCUGUUUUACUGCCUUUCUAGACCUUCCUAAUCUUUUGUGUGUGGAAAGAUCUUUUAAGGGGGAAAUUUGAAAAUUUGAACUGCACACAGUAUGCAUGCCCACUAUGUUUUAAACCAUUGUCACUUGUAUGUUUUAGUACUGUAGAAAGAAAACCACUCUCACUUGUAUGUCUUAAUCGUGUCUGUAGAAAGAAAACCACUCUCACUUGUAUGUAUUAGUAUUGACUGUAGAACGAGAACCACUCUCACUUGUAAGUUUUAGUCUUGACUAACAACAACCCAAUAUCACUUCUCGUAGAUUAGGACUUUCAUAUGCUGCCCAAUUGUAGGGGUCCAUUUCUUGUAUGGUGGCUGUUUGAUCAUGAUUGGACGAUUUUGAGUGUUUCUGAAAAGCAAGAAAUAUUAUUAAAGGUACCCCACCUUUUUUUAAAACAUUCAUGGCUGGCUGUAAAAAUGAUGUUGAUUAUAUGAAUGAGAUUUUAGAAGUGUUCCUCUUCAAGUGGGUGGUAAAUGGAGAAAAUCCUGAUCCAACAUGUUUUAAUUGAUGACAACAUCUUCAAGACGAGUGUACCUUAGUUAGCGUUUUAAUCUCAUCUGAAAUGCUGUAAUAUGACUGAAUGAAGUGCGAACCGCAAGUGUAUUUCCUGGAUAGAAGUUUCUAAAAAGCUGAAAGUGAAAUAUAAUACGUGAGAAAUGUGGUGUCUUUAGAUGUGUGAGGUACAUUAUUUGCACAAGCUAUUUCUGAACAUUAGCUAGUAUAUGUCUUUGACAUGUGAUUAACAUUUACUUUUAAGAUGCUUACUGAGUGCUAGUUACAACGGUGAUUAGAUUAAGACUCUUUCCAUGCUGCCAAAUGUGGAUGCCCAUUUCGUGUAAAACAUUAAAUAUAAUAAAAGUUGGCCAAACUUUUUGUAAAACAUUUCUUGCCUGUCCAGUUGUUCAUAUGCAUAUUGUGAUCUGUGAUUCUGCAUGUUUUACUUUAUUACAAAAUCUUCAGAAGGAGAGUACCAUUGUUGUUGGUUACUGGAGGGGAUCUAUGGUCUUAUGGUAGUGAUGCUAGCUUUUUAUUCUAUCAAAUGCUAGAAUAUGAGAUGAAUGAAGUGUGAGAUGCAAGUCUAUGCACCACGAUUGCAUUUGCAAACUUAGCUUUAUAUUUUCUUGUACCAUUCCCAUACUGUAGAACUGCUGCAUAGUGCAUUUGGGGAAAGUGCAUCUUGUAAAGUAGAAAAGGUAUUGAAAUAUGUCGGAUAAUGUUGUGCUUGCAUUAUGAAAUCCUAUUUACUUGGUAAUAGACAUCAACAAAAGUGAAAGAAAUAACAUGGUUCUCUUUUUUCUAAUUAAUGUCUGCCAUUUCAAGGAAAUAAACUGGAGGCAUUAAAUUUAUUCAGCUCAUGUUGUAUGAAUCCUCAAAAGGGUAUUUGAGCAUGACAUUUUCACUUGUUUCACCAAAAGCUUUGAUAAACUUGUGUUCUUAUUGUCCUGGUUCAUAUCUUUAUGUAAGCCAAAAGAUAUAUGAAUAACUAAGUCAAUUGACCCAAUUGUGAACAGUUUGAUAGUAAACCCAAUGUUCCACUUGUUAUAAGAUUAGGAAACCCAGGUAACUCAAAGCCAUAUCCAUGAUGCAGUCUUACAGUAGUUAGCUUAAUUGAAAACUAAGCUAAGGGUUAUUUUAGAACUUUUCAGAGCAAACUUCUGAUCUAUAAACGAUGGGCUAUCAAUCAGAUAGGCAAAAAUCAAAUAUGAGUAUUUAUCCUACUAUCUUUACCAAUCCAAAAUAAAAAUACCCAUGUAUGCAGAUUUCUUUUGAAAGUGAAUGUAAUGGUAAAAGUCUUUAUAUUCCAAGUGUUAGCUAACAUAUAAAUUAUAUUCCGUAUUAGGAUUCUAAUGUUAAUCAAAUUGAAUCUACCCUGUUCAGAAUUUGAUUAAAAAAAACUUGGUUUGUAAGUAUAUGAGUAACGUUGAAAUUUGAAUUUUCGUAACAGCUUGCUGUGGAGUAUGAGAGCAAUGUUAAAAUUAUUAAGGUUGAUACAGAUGAUGAGUACGAGUUUGCACGUGACAUGCAGGUAAUUGCAUUUCUUUUUUACCUUUUAUUUUUAUAGUUUUAUUUUGUCUCUAUUCUCUCAGCUUCUUCCAUUCUCUCAAGCCCUACUUGUUGCACUGAAAUUUCUUUAUGGAAUUUAUGGCAUUUAGUACUCUACGUUUUAUGCCUCUUAAGAAUUUAUGUGUUUUUAGCUAGAUAUUUUUCAUAGAAAAUCACAGAUUUUAUAUUAGUCUCAGUGAUAAAUAUUCUGGAUAAACAUAAACUGGGUGGAUAUAUUGCUUUGACUAAUAUCACUGGUUGAAGAGAUCUAGAUUUAUUGGUAUACAAUGUCACUGUUGGAAAAGUUUUAUGCAACAGAUGAAGCAUUGUAAACUCUUAUUGCUAAUAUCUUGGAGUUUGAAUGGCAAUUAACUAGGGAAAUAAUACCUCCUAAACUCUUUCAAAUCAGGUUCGAGGAUUGCCGACAUUGCUCUUUGUCAGUCCAGAUCCAAGUAAAGAUGCCAUCCGGACUGAAGGGCUCAUCCCAUUACAGAUGAUGCGGGAUAUCAUUGAUAACGAAAUGUGAAGGAGUCCGGGAAAAUGAUUUGGUUAUUGCUCCAUACAAUUGGGGGGCCAUGGUUCUGUUUGGUGAUGGUACAAGCAUUAUCAUUGCUUGUUGAGGUUUGUAAUGUCCUAAUUUACUAAUUGGAAUAUUUCCUUGGAGUCAACAAUUUUGUAGCCAUAUGAUAUCUAAUAGAUGCGGUUUGUAGGUGUGUUUAGAUAUAUGAUGUGUCUGUCGUACAUCCUUGCACGAUUACGAUUCCUUUUACUGUUUAAAUUAUAAGGAUGUUUGGUGAUGCUACAAGCCUUAGGGCAUGGAAAAUAUAUUAACCAGGUCUGAUUGCGGAGCUUCUAUGGCUGACAUUUGGUGUCAUGCUUCCCUACAACAUGCACAAUUAGGGUUGCAUUUGGAAGUGAAUGAAUACAAGGAGGCUUGUGAUCUGGAUGUUAUACUUCGUUUAUAUCUGCACUAGAAACCCCCAAAUUUUCUUUUUCCGUUUUAAAGUAAAAAGAAUAAGAUAAGAGUAAAAGUUGAUGACGCAGUGGAAACAGAAUCGCGUAGAUGCUUGAUAUUAUACUUCUUUUAGAAAGACAAAAGUCCGUAUAUAACUUACUAAAAGCAUAGCUACAAACUCAUGGUAAAGACUUCAAUUAUGCCUCACUUGACUUCUUAAAAGCUUAUGCGAUCUGGAAGGCACUUGGAUUUAACAGAUCAACCAACCACUUGAUUUUUUUUUACUAAUUUCUAUCGAAUUAUGAGUGCCUUGCUGGAUUUCUCACAUUUUAUUUUAUUUAUCAUAGUUUCUCGCUUUUUAUUUAUUUCAUUCUUAGUCAAAAGACCGACUGGUAUAGUGGUUUAGAGCAAUUUGACAUAUCGGAGAGAUCACACAAAUUUACAGUGACUAGUUCUAUACUUUUGUGCCUGUGUCAAAAAUUAAAAUGACAAGUACCAAAGUGAAACAUGAACCGAACCACAUGGACCAAAAAUGUGAUUCGGCAUAUAAUUUGUUUGUACUUCCCAAAAAUGGGAAAGAUAUUUGAGAUGUACAAGAGCCAACCACCUGGAAAAUGUUAACAAAAAAGUUUGCUAGUUUGCAUAUGAGAGAGUUUACAUCUCCAUUGACGGUCCUCCGCUUCUGAUAAAGGGAAAGAGACACAGAAGUUUACAUGUGAACCACCACUACAUUAGAAAGUUAUUUAAAAUGAAGCUAAUAUUAGAUAACGGGGUCUAGUCUAGUGCAAAAUAGCAUUGAUUUGUAAAUUAGUAGUCUCAGUUUCUAACCCCCAUAACACAUUGAUAGUAUAUGGGUGAGAAAACCACCAUCCUGCAGUAUCGCUUGCAUCACCAAAAAAAAAAAAAAAAACUAAUAUUAAAUAUGUAUGCUUAUUUUCACAAAUAGUCCCUGAAGUUCACGAAAUUAUCAUAUUUGAUCAUUUAUGUUUUUUUUUGUGACAUAAUUGGUUAAGGUUACUCUUGGUACAUCAAGUUGGUCCUUGUCGUGAGGUUCUGUCAAAAUUAAGGACCAACUUGAUGUACCAAGAGUAACCUUAAAGACCAACUAUGGCACAAAAAAAACCUAAAAAACCAAUGUGACAAUUUCGUGAACCUCAAGAACCAUUUGUAAAAAUAAGCCAAAUAUAUAUUAAACCCACACAAAAAAUAUCAAAUCCAAAUUUUACAUUCUCAUAUUAUAGCAAAAAAUUACAUUUACAUCUUCCGAAAAUAUAAAGUGGGAUGCAAAAGUAGUUUUACGUCUCCAAAUUUACAUUUUUUUAACACCUAAAGAUCACCUCCAAGUCUUCCAUUCCCUUUUUAUGGUACCAAAAUUUCUUGGUUCGAAGCUUCUAUACAUCCUUUUCCAUUUCUUUCUCACCUCACUUCCCUUUCUCCUAUAUUUUCCCUUCAACCUUUCGUUUUCUUCCCGAGUAUUCUUUGAACUUAGGCGAGAGGUCACAACACAACAUUAAUUGAACAUGAUCACCUAUAUAGCAAAAGUAGAAUAAGCCACAAUUCUUCUUCGUAUUCACACAUCCCUUUCAUUAUCUUUCUUUCCUUUCAGUUCACCUUUUUUUCCAUCCACGGAAAUAAUCAGACUUCUACGCCAACCAAAUGUGUUAAAUGUUAUUUUCGUGAAACUUCUUUCCUUUCUCACUAGGGACAAAAUUUAAAUGACUUGCCACCACCCUACGCGUUUCUUCUUGGUUUACAUUGGAGUUGUAUGGGUUCCAACUAGGGUGCCGUAGGGGGUAGAAAAACUUGUAUUAAAUAGAGAUAGUACUGUUUUGCUAUCCUCAAUAAUUAUAUACUGUCAUAAAAAAAAGUUAUCACAAAUAGUGAGUUUGUAACUCAAAUAGUUAACAUACCGUAAUUAAAUAGAGAAACACUUACCGUAAUUAAUACCCCCGUUUUAUGUAAGUGUUUCUCUAUGGUGGGAACUAUUGGCACUCCCUACGUAUAUUUCAUUUGACUAAAACACGAUGAAUAGUGAGUUUGUAACUCAAAUAGUUAAAAACAGUUGCCCUUACACUUAAGGUACUAUGCAUGAACCUCCUCUCGCUCAAUAUUACUGGUGUCGAAUGCUUAUGUAUAGUUUUAUAAAUUGGCCCUUAGUGAAAAAUCAUAAUAAUAAAUUGAAUCGUAUUUGAGACUCAUGUAAGGUUCAUUUAUUUGAGAUCGAGAAAGAAAAUGUUGGGUUUUAUAACAUCGUCUUCCAACAACUAAGCACUUAUGUUCAUAAAAGCUUUUUUCAAAAGCGCUUUUAUUAAAACCGCGAAAAACACCUUUAUAACCUAGAAAAACUUUUAAAUGUAAGUUUUAUAACCUAAUAAAAAAGUUUUUGAUUGUCAGAAAACCAUUCUGAAAGCAGUACCAAUGUGUGUCUUCAAUGACUAGAAAGAUUAAAUAUCAACUCUCAUUGAUUGCAUUCAAGAAACUACUAAAAAUACUCAAAGCACAGCACUUACAAAUGUAUCCACUACAUUAAAUACAAGCCCAAUUUGGCAAGAAGCACAGCUCAUAGCUAGCGAGAUGGAUCUAAUCUAUUAGCCAAGCAAUAAUCUUUAGACAGAAUAAUGAACGACUCCGUUUCCGGCUGUCUCGGCGGGUGAGAAUGCAAGAAACAUGAGAGCGGCCAUUAUGCCAACGGGAAAGAACAAGAGCAUCAACGGCGGAGGAGGCAGCGGAGGCAGCAACAACGGCAGAACCACCAUGAACAACGCUAGACCCGCCAACACCAGAACAGAACCCAAGCUCAUACACUGCACCAUGACCACCUACGACCUCCGACGAACAUUUCUCUCCCUCCCCAAACGACAAUGCCAGGUCAGCAAACGACAACAGCGAGCACCAGCAAGAAUGGCAACGAAUUUAUGAAAAGGCUUUGACAGUGGAUUAACGGCUUGUAUUGGUUGGUAUAUAUAUAGGGAUGGCGGAUGUGUUGGAGUUGUGAUCUGGUGGGUGAGGGUGUAUGGAGAUGUGAUGUGGCCGGUGAGAUCAGGACCGUUGGCUUGGAGAUUUUAAAAUGGUGUGUGGGGACCAGGGAGUGGAUUUUUGUUCGGUUUUUAUUGGGAGAAAAUCCAGUUUGGGGUGAUGGUCCGAAUCGGCCAGAAUCGGAGCGCCAGAUCCCGAGAUAUUCGGCUGAUACGUUUCAGCAACUUCUACUGUAAAUUUGAUUUAGUUCAUUUUUAAAUCUUGGGUUAGGUGCGGUCUUUAUUUAUUUUUUUCAAAAGUAAAUUAUUCUACAUGUCCUCUUGGUAUUACGAAUAUAUUAAAAUUAUAACUCGUAGAGAAUUAUUAAUAUUAUCAUAAAUCCAACAUGAUACAUCAACAAUUACAUAUGUUAUUUCCCAAAAAAAAAAAAAAAGGGUUAUACAUACUACUUGCCUCCUUACCUGCAAAUGACCGUUUAAUAUAUAUGCAAAAAUAAUUCAUUAAAAACACACAUGUCAUACAGCUAUUGGCAGGAAUGUAGGAACUCUUACUUACUUGGUAAAAAGUGAAGUAUUUUUCAUGUUAUAAUAUAAUUUUAUGUUUAUUUACCUAGAAUGAGCAUUUGAAUUAUUCUGAUUCUUCAGUUUUCUUAUAUUGACUAAUGCGCAUGUAUUUGAAUUUUGCAUAAUAUGCAAAAAAGAAUCAAAAUUUACAUGGCAUUUGCAUUAAAACUAUAUAGUCCUGAUCUUUUGGACCACAGGGGUCUAAGAAAUUUGUGGUCACUCACUGUUGGAUGUAAAUUCAACGGUUCACUCACUCUUGCACUAAUUUUAAUAAACUUUUUUAUACCAUUAGAUUAAUAUCCAACGGUGGGUGACCACAAUCUCUUGGACUCCUGUGGUCCAAGAGAUCGGGACUGUAAAACUAUUAGUCCUGAAAAAUUAAAAAUUAUUUUGAAUAAGGAGAGUAAUUAAUCUCAUAAUUAUUCAUUCUCAUUUAUAUUCCUAAUUUCCCCAAAUUCAUGACAGUUUUAAGUAACAAAAUUGUAACUCAUCAAGUACCAAAUUGUGCAAGACUGCAAAGUGUCCCCCUCAUGACAUUUUUGAAAAUGAAUUUCAAGCCGACUGCACACUAGUUGGUCUAAAUUAUGGGCUUAUGGUAGGUCACAUGUGACUAAAUAAAGUAAUGUCAGUCAGUUAGGGGGCACCUUAAUGCACAUGUCAAAAGUUUACACUCUUUUGAAACUUCAUUCAUGUUUUACCAUGUCUUUGGAUUGGAUGGUAACUAAUUUAACCAUUGGUUUUGACCAUGCCCAAUGGGGUCUAAUCAUAUUAAUUACAAUAUUACAUAGUCGUUAGUCCAAUAUCUUACAAUAAUUUCUCGUCAAUUACACUUUUCACUCAAGUAGUUCGAGGCCUAUUAAAGUUGUUUUUAUAAAACUCUUAAAAUUUCAAAUAAAAGACGUGCAAAAUCUAAUUUAUAAUUUAUAAGUUAACAUCUUUUAAUAAUAGAAUUUUACAUUUGAUGAAUGUUAAGAUUUUAAAAAAACGAAACCGGCUAUUAAUAACGAUACUAAGGCAAUUGAGUUGUAUAGAAAAUGUUUUGAUAUGAUCAGUAGUAAUAUUAUUUAUUAUAUAUUAUAUAUUUUAUUUAGUCAAAUUUUUGAUUCAUCGUUUGAUUUGAUGAGCGUAAACAUUUCCAACCCAGUUACCCAUGCACGAGAAGAUAUGAUGAUAAACCUUGAACAGAAUGACGAUAAAGAAAAAAAAGAUUCAAAGAUGCUUCCCGAAAUCCAAGAAUGCUGUUGUUGCAACGCAUAUCAUUAUAGAGUCAAACAAUGGCCGUGUGGGACUCUGAAAUUCGCAUUUGCCCAUUUUGGCACACACACAGUUAUGUCUCAGUUCAAUGCAUGAACAUCAACCAAACGUCAACAACACUUUUUUCUUCCCAAAAAUUAUUUGAUUAGUUGCAUGAGUAGUUUAUGUCAUAAAAAAGAUUUUUAAGUAAGUAAUUUAUGUUAAGGAUUGGUUAUAUAUUUUUAAUAUCGAUCGUUGAAUUGUAUGUAUAUUGCAUAUUAAAUUUAUCUAUACAAACACAUAUAAUGAAUGCAAUUCAACGACCUAUAUAAGAAAUAUAUAACUAAUUGUUAACUUAAAUACUUAUUGAAAAAUUCCCCGUAACAAAGGCAAACCCAAUAUUGACUGUCAAGUUCGUGUUACAAAAUCACUAAUAUUUUUGCAUGCAUACCAUAUUAAUAUAUAAAUAAAUAAUGUCACUGAUUAUUUUAAUUUCAUUUUACAGCUUGAAUGAACAUAUUGGGAUGAUGGUCCACGAAGUACCCAAGAAACCGUAUAAUAAAAAAUAUUUAUAUAUCUUGUUAUUAUAAAGAACUUUAACAAAUAAAUCAAAUAAAUUUCUACUUUUACGUUUGUUAUUAUAUAAAAAAGAAUAAAAAAAAUUUCACUGUUUUCAUUUUCUGAAGAAAAAUGAGUAGUAGCUCUACAAGAGUAACUUCAUUUUCAGUUCACACUUUCACUUCCUUUCCUCCUAUCAAUGAAUCCACUUUCAUCUCAUAUGUAAUCCUGCUCUGUGUACGUAAGACAUAUGUUCCUUAUAAAAAGAAAAAAAAAAAGAAAAAAAAAAGGAAUAUGGGUGCCGGUUGAUCAACAAGUGCCAAUGAUGCCAGAUUAGUAUAAUUUUGUUCAAACCAAUCAAAACCGGCACCAGUCAAAUGUACACCUACUAUGAGUUUCAUUAUUUCUAAUAAGUAAGAUAUGGAUUGACGUAUAAUUUGAUUGAAAUGAAGAAAGAAGAUGAGUGUGUUGUUAGAUUUCUAUAUAAGUGUCUAUGAUAUUUCACACAACCUGAAAUACAUAGAAGACAUAUCUGACGUCAUUUUCUUUGAGUAUUCGAUCUCUGAACUCAUUCAAUUGCAGCAGCAUUAACACAAACAAAAGACAUGAACGUCUUAAGACUUCUGCUCUCUCUCAGAAACUGUUUCAGCUCUCUUCUUAUGAUGAAAUUAGGUUUAGAGAACAUGUCUAAUGAGAGCAGGAUCUUAAGCUUAUAUAUGGCUAGGUCAAGUAGCCUCUAUUCAUCACCAAGAGUCGACUCGACUAACAAUCUAAAUGGAAAUGUAACAUGUGCGGCAUUAUUGAUAUCACGAAGGAAUGUCCAUUGCAGAAAAGUGCCCAUACACAGAUAUACAAUGCAUGUACGUGAUGUUCUCUUAGCCUGAGCUAGUUGAUAUAAAAUUAUGAAUAUUCAUGGCUUUGAGUCCAAAAUACAGGAGCGUCGGAAGAAAGAGGAUUUGAUAUGAUGACGAUGAUAUUGAUGGGGAUGGAUGAUAUGCUGUUGCUGUGCAAAUGUGCAUGAGAAAUGAAAUGAAAGAACAUGUGCAAGUUGGUGCAUUCCCACUUUCACUUUUGGUCAUGUGCAAUGUAUCUGACUGAGCUAACCCUAUGACACGCACGCGCCUACCAUUCCUUUUCCAACACGCAAUAAUCUACAAAUCCAAUUAAUACUCUACCACUCCACCUAUUCUUUGCCUUUGCCCAAUCUCACCUGUUUUCUUGCAAUUUUGCACUUGAAAAAGAAAUGUUUUGAAUCACCUAGCCUUCUUGAUUAAAAUGCUAGUUGCAAUCCGUCUUUAUACUGGUAAAUUAGCAGGUGUGAGGUUUUAUACAGAAAUAACAUUGAUGCUAUUAAUAGUAGAAUCACUCAUUAUAUGUUAUAUUUAUAUUUUGUUAAGUUUCCGAUAUGGAAUUUUACGCUAACAAUAUUCAUAUUACAAACAUCAAACUACUAUUGAAAAAAGGUCACUGGCAAAAUAAUACACAAGUUCUUGAACUAAGUGGCACAUUGUAACAUCAUUUUAAUUGAGCUGGAAAAUCAACACAAUUUUUUCUAAGAAGUUCAAAUUGCAAACAAUCUCUAAAAUUUAAAGUGGCAUUAGUCUAAGAGAUUUUCCUUUUACCUUCAUUCAAAUUCUUUUUGUAAUAGGUGAUGCUUAUGUGGUUCUUUUAUCUUGAUUCUGAUGGUUGUAAAGUUGGAAGAACAAGGAGAUUGUGGUAAAAGGCUGCAAACCCAAUCAAGAUCGAGAUCAAGAUCUCGGGUUUGGUUUUCUUUUCGAUUUCGUUCUCACACUUCCGUCUCCCUUGCAAAUCCUGGACAACGUAACAUGCAUUUUCUGUUUGUGUUGGACUUUGGGCUCUCUUUGACUGGAACAGCACAGGCCUACUAUCUGAACAUAGCAUAGUGUUAGAACACUUCCAUCUAUAUUUGAUCACAAGAAUUAAAGGCAAGUAAGGGGUGAUUAUUAUUUACGUGUAUAGUAUCCGUCAUAGCAAUUUUUUAAAAUUUUUUUACCCAUUGACACGAUAAUUCAAUAGCAAUUACUAUGCACAUGAGAUUAAUUUCAUUUAUAUGUAUGAGAUUAAUUACAAAAAAUUUGCUAGGUAUCUAUAAUUUUUUAUAUUAAAUUUUGUGGUAAUUUUUCAGAAUUUUUGUCAAUUUUUUUCCAAUUUUUUUCUUCAUUGACGUCAGUGUCUUUAGGCACCAGCUUGGGCUGGUCUUGCCUUUGGGCCUGCCCAGUCUUGGUAGAGCUCAUGUCCUGCCCGUGCUAGAAUUCAUUGGUUGAGGGGUUUAUUCAGCCCAGGGGGCCUUUUGCCAUGGCAAAACCCCAUGGGUGGACAUGCUCUUAAGAACCCAUGGAUAGAACUUGCCCUCAAAAAUCGGCUUGUAAGGAAAGGGUGCCCAUGAGCUCUUAAACCAAUCUAUGAUAUGCUAUAUAUCCAAUGUGGGAUCUUGAGUCAUAACAUUCAACCAGUCUUCCGUAUCCAACGUCCUCGUUGGCCCAUUCUAUAGACCCUUCACUCAACUACCAGUAUUCAAUGACUUGAUUUAUUCUUAAUCUAACCAAAUGUUAAGAAACCUAGGGUAGAAAUUUAUCCUAAAAACUGGUUUGUAAGAGAAGAGUGCCCAUGAACAUUUAAACCACUCUAUGAUAUGAUAUUUUUCCAAUAUGAGAUCUUAAGUCAUAACACAUACUUUAAAAAAAUUAGGAGAAUAAUUAGUAUUAAGAUCAGGAUAAAACUUUUUUUAUUUAUUAAUAUCCUAGCAACAACAUGAGCAAGAUAGAAGAAAACGUAAUACACUACUCGUCUCUACAAAUUAUCAACAAUGAAAUCCAAAUUCUGAGGAGCGUUAAAUUAAUUAUUCAUGAUAUCUGACAUAUGCUAUAACAAGUCUCUUUGGGGGCGUGUGGUACAUAGGAUUGGACUGGACAAGACUAAAUUCAAGUAUUUGCUUUGGCUUGAACUUAGUCUUCUUCUCCUAUGUUUGGUGUGUGUCUGGACCUAUAUUUGGUGCAAUUAUAAAUUGGACUAAAUAUUAAUUUCAAGAUUAUUUAAUAACUUUUUAUUUAUCUUAUAAGAACUUAAAACAAUUAUUUUAGUAAAUCAAUUAGCAUCCAAUAUAUCAAGUGGAAGCAAUAAUUUUAAGAGAGCUUCACUAUUAGGCCUAAUAUAAGGGGCUCGAAUUAUAACAAAACCCUAUAUGAAAUGGAGUAAAUAUACCCAAAGUCCAUUUACAACAUAACAAAGAGACUUCGAAGUUACGAGACACAUAAAGAGAUACACCAUAGCGACUACAACCAUCCCAGUGCUGCAUCAGGCAGGGGAGAAGGAGGUCAUUGCCCCUCCUCCCCUCUCCCCCUUAUUCCCUCUUCCUUUCUCACUCCUUCACUCCUUUCUCUUUCCAAUUUUUUUCUUGGUAACUUGUUUGGGUUGUUGCUUUCGCACAUUUGAGGCUAAAUGCCUCCUUCAAUUUUCAUUAGCCGAGAUCUACACAAUCUUAUCUCUCUAUGUGUAGCCCCUACAAAAUCUCUCUCCCUCUAUGAUCUGCUCUCACCUUUUGGAUACAUCAUACAAUCUUAAAUGCGAGUUUUCGAGUACCACUGGGAAGAUGUAUAGAGCUCUUGCUCAAGUGCUUGCACCACCUCCUUUCUUCCUCAGGUUGCUUAUUCGUUUGGCUAUGAGUUUUGUUUUCCCAUGGCUGUUUUUUGAUUGCUUGCUACGUUUGUAUGGGUGCUUAGGUGGUUUUGACUCUUCUAGAGGUGAUGAAUUUGGAUUGUUGGCUUUUGUGUAUUGUUGUGAAUUUUAGACAACCUGAAAAAUGGAGAUUAUAAAGAUUAGUCUAAACACAAAUUAUACUCACAAGUGCACAAGGUCAAUCGUAAUUUAGUAUGGCAAAUACAAGGUCAUUCCCACGAGGAUUGAGUUCAACUUCCAAUUAGUCUAACCUAAUUUACUUCACAAAUACUUUAACUACUCUAAUUAUAUAAACAAGAAAUUAAACACGUAGCAUACUCAUGUAAACACAAAAGGGUUUUUUUUUGAAAGAAUGAUUUAAUUAACAACGAAAUUAAAAGACAAAACAAGUAGAAAGUCAUGAAACACAAGGAUGAGAAAUUCAAAUUGAUAGAAGCACUAGGACAAUGGAUUUACCAUUAGUAAUCCGAUCUAUCCUCUUAUUCACCUACCUAUUAACUAACCAUUUGAUGUCAUCGCUUAGUUUUCCUUUUUCAUGAAGCAUCUAUGGUAUUUAGGCUAACUUGUAUAUUCCUACAUUCAAUUCGACUAUGGUAUUUAGGUCAAAUAUCAACACAUAGAAACUCAUUAAGAUCAGUGAAAACCACCAACAAACAUGUGAACCCUAAGAGUAUGGUAUUUACCCUAAACGAAUUACAAAUCCUAAUCACAAAAAGCAAGCCUCAAAUUAAGUAUGGUAUUUACUCUAAUUUGCAUCCGAUUAACUCAAUUAAAAGUCUAGAUGGUGAUCAAGCAUCAAGAUAAUUAACCAAGUUAUUAAGCACAGUGAUUAAGAAUCCAACAUCAAACGACAAUCAAUAGAUAGGUAAAAUAAGAAAACUAGAUUAUCAUACUAAGGCUACAUCAUGCCCUAGCAACAGAAAAUUAGUUACACACAAUCAUAGAAUUCGGCAUAAGCAAAAACAUAAGGAAGAAAAAAAUAAAACGUAGCCAAUUGCGUUACUCUUCCGGUGUCUCCAAUUUCUCCUAGUCUUUGCGUGCGUCCAAAGGAGUUGUUUCUCAUGCUUAAGUAAAAUACUACACGUCUAUUCCUACCAUAGCUGGACUUUUACAACAACCCAAAAAUAAAGAAAAACCUAAUUAAAACAUAAAUCCAAAAUGGGUAAGUAAUUAACUCAUCUUCCUACUUGAAUUGGGAUAACACGUUAGUUACUUUGCAUGCACGUUUGGGAUUGUUUCUCCCCCAAGAAAUUUCGCAAAAAAUAUGUAAAUUGUAGAUCUUUGUCUUAUCUUUCUAUCCAUAUAUCGUACGCCUUGAGAAAAAAUUAGGAAAGUCUUCAAAUAAUCAUUAUUCCACAACAGCACAGUUUUGACGGGAUUGCACCUUAUGUUGACUUAAUUUCAAAGAUUGCUCUCAUUGGCUGCUCUGAAAAUUCUAGAAAAAUUCCACAAUCAUCUUCAAGAUCGUAACUUUCAUUUCCAACUGGUCUUGUACUAAAACUCUACCAAAAAUUCAUAUUUUCGUUGAAAACCAAUUACUUGCUCGGGAAAGCUGAAAAUUGAGAAAAUAAAGUAAUAAGUCUUUUUUUAAAUCAAAUUCUCCUACAAAAACAAAGUAUAAAGAGUACAUAAAUCUGUAAAUUUGUGGACUUAUCAUGUAUAUUUAUGUAUGUUUUUGAGUGAUGGUAGUUCCUGCACUCAACCUUGCCCAAGAUGGUGAUGUCCCUCUCUUUAUGCUGGCGGCAACAUUGGCGCCAACGAGUGGGCUUUAUGUCUGGAAUGGGCUUUACGCCUGGCUUGGGCUUUAUGACUUGUUUGGCCUUUGGUUAGUUGUUGGUUGGGUCUAUGACCUUUUUGUUUUUGAUGAGCUCACCAUUUGUGAUUGGGUCAUGCUAGGGAAAUCAUCUUUAGAUACCAACUUAUGUACAAUCUCUCUAAUAGAGAGGUAGAGCCCACCAAUACAUUAGGUUUCACCUCUAUUAGAGAGAUGAUACACAAGUUGGUAUCUAAAAUUAGUCUCCCUAGUUGGUAUCUAAUUAGACUGACUUGCAACCAUCCAUAAUUGGAAGGAGUGUUGCCAGAUUUUGUGUUGGCAUGUGUGCCAAACAGUUUUUUUAUACCUUAAAUUAUAUAUUAUAUUCAUAUAUUUAUUAUAAUAAUAUUAUGUUUAUUAUUUUGGAAUACCACCAACUUGGUUUGGUUAAACCGAUGAUUCUCACCAUCAAGGACCGAAACCAAAUUAUAGACAAUGGUUUGGUUCGGUUUCAAAUCGGAGACAAAGAAUAAAAAAUAAAAACCAAACCAAACCAGAUCAACGAUUUUGUUUGGGCUGUUCGACCGAGUUUUCGAUUCAUAUGCCCACCCCUAAAAGCAUCAUAUUUUUUUUUGGCUUGGGGGGGGGGGGGGGGGGGGGGGGGGGGGGGUAAUUUUUCUUUUUAAAUAUACCAAGGCUAGAGAAAUUAAAGCGUGUGGGGGCAUNNNNNNNNNNNNNNNNNNNNNNNNNNNNNNNNNNNNNNNNNNNNNNNNNNNNNNNNNNNNNNNNNNNNNNNNNNNNNNNNNNNNNNNNNNNNNNNNNNNNCUUUCUCCACUCAGAUUUGACAAUUUCUGUGUGUGUGUUUUGGCGUCGCCAUGCGUGUGUGCGUGUGUGUUUUUGUGGGGGUGGGGGUGGGUGGUGUGGUGGUGUUGUAUAAAGCUAUGUGUAUGCUAAAUAUACACACUUUGUUGCCAGAAUCACCUACAAUGGGCAGGUAAAAAUGGUUGUAAAAAUGCAUAGCCGUGGAGAUGCAAAAUUAGAUGCACAUGUGCAUCCUUUUUUUUACAUCCUUUGCAGGUGGUACCCACAGAAGAAAAAGAGAGAGAGAAUGUUGGAAUCACUCUUCAGCCACCAUACAAAAUGAUGUAGAUGACGUGAGCACAUCAAGUGGUGCAUGGAAAUCUUCAACAGCUCUAUGAUGAACGACUGCGAUGGAUUGGAAUUCAAAAUGGAAGGCCUAGAUUUCAUGCAAUUUGCAUUGCACUUCCAAUAGUUGAAAAUAUUAGAAAAAAAAUACCUUAAAAUGUUUAAAAUAUAUUAUAAUUUUCUACAUAUAUAUCUUUAAGUUAGUUUGUAAGUAAAAUCAUGUGUUCUCCAAAUUUAAAUUUUUUAAAGUCCAUUUGUAAAAAUAAAAUAAACCAAACAUACACAAAAUUAAUUUUAAAAAGUUCAAAAAAGAAAAAAGAAAAAAGAAAAAAGAAAAAAGAAAAAGAAUCAUCACAAACAAAUCGAGUAUACGUCUUUGAAUUUAUAUAUUUCCCCAUUAAUUGUAGCAAAAAAUGCAUUUACUCCCUUUGGAAGUGUAAAUGGAAUAUAAAAGUAAUUUUACACUCCCAAAAAUACAUCACCCACUGAUGAUGCUGUAACUUAAGUAAAUUGCGUUUGCAGAUGGAACGAGGGAGAGAGAGAGAGAGUAGAUAUGCUAUAGAAGACACAGUUAUAGGUUUGUAAGUGUUUAAACUAAAAUGAAAAAAAGAGGGCGAAUAAACUAGCCACUCCACUUUUUUGUCCAAUCCAAUAAACUAGCCACUCCACAGUUCUUGGUUACAAAGAAACUAGGUCUUUCGAAUAACAACACUUCAACUAAGCUGUCACUUCUAUUACGUACUGAUGAAUGACCUAGUGACACAUCUUCUCAGCCUCAGGGUGUCCUUGACAUAUUGGAUUUGAUGCCCAGCUGGAGGAUUUGAUUGUGGGAUGUGGAGGUUAUCUUAUGACAAAAAGGGUUUAAUGAUGGAUACAUUACUUGGCAAAUUUCGGAUUACUGACUUAGUUGUCGAUAAUUAGAGUGUUAGGUGCAAUCAAUUUUCAAGGGAAAAAAAAAAAGAGUUAACAGGUUUCACACGUAACCGUAUAUUUUUUUAUUUAUAUAUAAGCAAUAUUUGGAGUGGUAAAUUCAAACAUAGGAGUUCAAAUAAAAAGUAAAUGCUCAUAAUUACUUGAGUUAUAAGUUUAUUCACCAUGUAACUACAGGAGUUUGUUGAUGAUUUAGCAUGCAUCAUACAUGUAAUUGCUGGUGUAGGGGAAUUUCUAAAACCUUAUUGACUUUGUUGGUGAAAAAGAAUGGUGUGCCUGAUUUGACCAUGGUUGAUCUCCCUGGAAUCACUAGGGUUCCUGUUCAUGGCCAGCCUGAGAAUAUUUAUGACCAAAUUAAGGAUAUGAUCAUGGAGUAUAUAAAACCUGAACAGAGCAUCAUUUUAAAUGUGUUGUCUGCGACUGUGGAUUUUACUACUUGUGAAUCGAUUAGGAUGUCACAGAGUGUGGAUAAAACUGGUGAGAGGACUCUGGCUGUGGUUACAAUGGUUGAUAAAGCACCAGAGGGACUGCUAGAGAAGGUUACAACUGAUGAAGUCAAUAUUGGUCUUGGUUAUGUCUGCGUAAGGAACCGGAUUGGAGCUGAGACGUAUAAGGAAGCUCUAGCUAUUUCUGACCAACUAUUUCAAACUCAUCCUCUGCUUUCCAGGAUUGACGAAUCUAUAGUUGGAAUUCAUGUUUUGGCCCAAAAGUUGGUUCAAAUUCAAGCCUCUAGCAUAGCUAGAAACUUGCCGGAUAUUGUUAAGAAGAUUAAUGACAAGCUGAGUUCCUGCCUUUCAGAGCUCGACAAAAUGCCAAAGAAAUUGUCAUCUGUUGCUGAUGCCAUGACAGCUUUCAUCAACAUCAUUGGAGUGUCCAAAGAAUCACUUAGUAAAAUUCUUAUUAGAGGAGAAUUUGACGAGUACCAAAAUGAAAAGCACAUGCAUUGCACGGCCAGGCUUGUAGAAAUGCUCAAUCAGUAUGCUGAUGAACUUCAUAAGGCCAAUGAAAGUGAUCCCAAAAGUAACUUCUUAACGGAGGAGAUUAAGGUUUUGGAAGAAGCGAAAGGUAUUAGUCUCCCAAUUUUCUUCCCCACAAUGUCUUUCUUUCUAUUUUGCAGGGAAAAGUGAGGGGAAUUUCAAGUAUACCCAUUAGGUUUGUUGAGCAGGUGUGGAGUUAUAUUGGGGAUGUGGUGAUUUCUGUGUUAAUGCAUGACACACAAGGCUAUUAUCAUCUUCAUAUGGCUACCAGAAGAGCUGGCCAUAAUCUUAUAUCCAAGAUGAAAGAAAGGUCAAACAGCUGGAUCUUGGAGAUUGUGGAAAUGGAGAAACGUACAGAUUUCACGUGUAAUCCUGAAUAUGUAUCUGAAUGGAAUAGGCUCAUGAACAAACAGAACGCAUUCAUAGAUGGAGUCUUGAAGGAUGAGCAACGGCCCUCUAAGAUGGACAUAGAGGGUAUUGGGAGAUUGAAUUUGAAGGUCUAAGGAAGCACACUCAUGUUGAUCUAUCUCAAGCUUUUGACUUGAAAAUGCGGAUGACUGCGUAUUGGAAGGUUGUUCUGAGAAGGUUGGUUGAUUGCAUGGCCUUGCAUUUGCAGCUGACUGUUGCAAACCUUGUGAACAAAGAAAUGGAGUUGGAGAUUGGUUGUGAGUUAAUGGGAGCAAAUCACGGCGUUGGGAUUGAGAGGAUGCUGGAGGAAGCUCCAUCAGUUGCAGUCAAGCGCGAGAAGCUCAACAAGAGCAUCAAAAAGCUCAAGGAUUCUAAGGAGGUGGUUGGUAAGAUCUUGGAUACUUAUGCUGGUUAACUUGUGGGAUAGCUAUAAUGAUCAAUGUUCUGUUAAUUUCUAGUUAUUAGUAUGUAGUUAAAUGAUGGCCACUUUCUAGUUACAGCAGACAUUUUGUGAGUCCUGUGUGGAUGAUCUGUUUCUGCUUAACUAAGGGCACAUUUUGUUUAUCAUGUGCCUGGUUGCUCAUCCUGUGUGUAACAUAUCUGUUUCUACGUAAUUAAGAUCGCGUUUUGCUUAUAAUCUUGUGGAUGCUGAUUUUGUUUCUACUCAGUUAAGAACACAUUUUGUUUUUAAGUGGCUUCUUGUUGAAAUAUAAUCCUGCAGCAGAUUUCUUAGAGCUGAAGCUAUUCUCUAUUUGUUCUGUUUUUGGUCAGCUCAUUUAAAUGAUGUAAGGAGAGCCAUUAGAUCAUAGUCUAGGUGGAUUCUCUAGCUUAGAUUUACUAUGACAGGUGUAAGAAUCUAAUAGGAUGACAGCUGUAAUUCUGUUAGAAGAGAAUCACAUUUCUCUCCUAGCAGUCACACUAUGUAAGCUGCAGUUUUGCAGAAAUCAAUAGAACAAUGCAUUUUUCAUAUUCUCCUAUUCAUUCUCUCUAGCUAAAUGCUCUAGAAGAGUACCUCUUCCUAAUCUGAGAAAGAGAUAAACUCAGAAUGAUAACAUGGCCUCAGAGCCUAGUUUUGAUUGUUUAUUGGGCGUGAAUCUGUGAAGAAGGAGCUGGUGCUUGGCUGAGCUGACGAUUGAGCUCACUCAAAACUUCACGAAGCUUGUCUAGCUGCGUUUGAUGUCUAAUAUGGCAGGAUCAAGCUCUUCUGAGCUUCGUACACCAGUAUUCAAUGGAGAAAACUAUGAGUUUUGGAGCAUUCGAUUGAAGACCAUUCUGAAAUCUCAUGGACUGUGGGAUUUAGUUGAACAUGGCUUUGAUGCUUCAGAUCCAACGAAGGAAGAAGGAAAGGAAGAGGGAUCUAAAGCUGCUGAAGAAGAGAAAUCUGUAUCAGCUGAGACCUUGAUGAAAGAUGCUCGUGCACUUGGACUGAUCCAAGGUGCAGUCUCAGACCAAAUUUUUCCCAGAAUAGUGAAUGAAGAAACCUCAAAAGGUGCAUGGGAUAUCCUGAAGCAGGAGUUUAGAGGUGAUAAACAGGUAAGAAGUGUGAAACUACAACGCUUACGUAGAGAGUUUGAAUACACUCGUAUGAAGGAUAGUGAAUCAUUUUCUGUUUAUGCUGCUAAACUGUUUGAUCUGAUCAAUCAAAUGAAGAAUUAUGGUGAAGAGUUACCUAGAGAAAGAGUUGUGCAGAAAUUGCUUAUUAGUUUGCCUAGAUCUUAUGAUUCUAUAUGUUCUGUGAUUGAGCAUUCAAAGGAUCUUGACACUCUUGAAAUUCAAGAAGUGGUUGCAUCUCUCAAGAACUUUGAGCUCAGACUAGACAGGCACAAUGAAAAUUCAACAGAAAAGGCUUUCACUAGUCUGAACAUUGAGAGUAAAAGCUCUAAGAAUGGAAGUUCUUCUGGAGGUAACAAGUCUCAGAAGAACUGGAAGGAAAAUGGGAAGAAUUGGAAUAACAAGUCCAAUUCAAAUACCAAACCAAAUGCAUCAAAUGAUGGAACUAAAACACCCUGCAAGCACUGUGAAAAACUGCACUAUGGCAAGUGCUGGUUUGAAGGAAAACCAAAAUGCAGAGGAUGUGGAAAGUUUGGUCACAUGGUUAGAAAUUGCCAUGACAAUCAAUCUGUGCAGAAGGUGAACUAUGCCAAUCAGGUUGAAGAAACUGGAACAUUGUUUUAUGCAUGCAAUGCUGUGACAGAUGUGAAAAUGAGCAACUCUUGGUAUGUGGACAGUGGCUGUAGCAACCAUAUGACUGGAGAUGAAAGGCUACUGAUAGACAUUCGAAGGGAUGUAACUUCCAAGGUGAAAAUGGGGACUGGAGAGACAAUUCAAGUUGCAGGAAAAGGUACUCUUGUGAUAGAAACCAAAUCAGGCAGAAAACACAUUCAAGAAGUGAUGUUGGUGCCUGGUUUAGAAGAGAACUUGCUAAGUGUUGGUCAGAUGAUGGAACAUGGGUAUUGUUUAGUAUUUGGAAAGGGAAUGGGGACAAUUUUUGAUGAUUGGUCACUGCAAAACUCUAUAGCUAAGGUUCCAAUCACUAGCAAUAGGUGUUUCUCUCUCACAAUGGUACCUGCUACUCAGUUGGUGCUGAGAGCAAGUGUGACUCACAGUUUGCAGACUUGGCAUAAAAGGCUGGGUCAUCUUAAUGAUCAAAGCAUCAAGAUGCUAGCAAAUCAAGACAUGGUUCAUGGACUGCCUAGUCUGGAGAAGGAUUUAGCAGUGUGUGAAGGCUGCAAGCUGGGAAAGCAGCAUAGAGACUCAUUUCCUGCAAAAUCUACUUGGAGAGCUCAGUCUCCACUAGAAUUAGUUCACACUGACAUCUGUGGUCCAAUGCAGACUGCAUCAAUGUCAGAAAACAGAUAUUUCCUGUUAUUCAUUGAUGACCAUACAAGAAUGGCUUGGGUUUAUUUUCUCAGAAAUAAAUCUAAUGCUUUUGAAUGUUUCAAGAAGUUCAAAGCAAUGACAGAAUUGCAGAGUGGACACAAAGUGAAGUCACUUAGAAGUGAUAGAGGUGGAGAAUUCAUGUCAAAUGAAUUCCUUGCAUACUGCAGUGAGGCUGGAAUACAAAGGCAGCUGACAGUGGCAUAUUCUCCUCAGCAAAAUGGAGUUGCUGAGAGGAAGAACAUGACAGUAAUUGAGAUGGCAAAGUCUAUGCUACAUGAAAAGAAUCUUCCUUAUGAAUUUUGGGCAGAAGCUGUUCAUACAGCAGUCUACCUUCUCAACAGAUGUCCUUCUAAAUCUCUUGAGAAAAUGACACCAUUUGAGGCCUACACAGGAAGAAAGCCAGGUAUUGCACACUUGAAAGUGUUUGGAUGCCUAUGUUAUGUGCUUAUUCCUUCUGUUUUGAGACACAAGUUGGAAGAAAAUAGUCACAAAUGCAUUUUUGUGGGCUAUGGAUUGUGUGAAAAAGACUAUAGACUGUAUGAUCCUAAGACAAGAAAGAUUAUCUUGUCUAGGGAUGUCUAUUUUGAUGAAGAAGCCUCAUGGAAAUGGGAGAAUCCUAGCAAUGCAGAUGUGGGAAUACCUAUGCCAGAUGGAAAUCAAGAUACUGCAGAAACUGAACAGAGGGUAUUAGAUGAUCACUCUCAGUUCUUGGAUACUCAAAUGCAGAUGGAAGAAGAAAUUGCACCUCAAGGGGAAGAAAUGCUUGAAGAGACUCAAAGGUUUGAUCAUACACCUCACAAGUGGAGGAAUAUUAAUGACAUCAUGGCACAAUGCAACAUGUGCAUUGUAGAACCUGACAGCUUUGAAGAAGUAGAUUUGGAUGAAUCAUGGAGAUGUGCAAUGGAGGCUGAAUUGGAGAUGAUUGAGAAGAAAAAUACUUGGAAAUUAGUUGACAGGCCAUCUAACAAACCAGUAAUAGGUGUUAAGUGGGUCUACAAGGUCAAACUGAACCUAGAUGGUACUGUGCAGAAGAAUAAAGCUAGGCUUGUGGCUAAAGGCUAUUCACAGAAACCUGGAAUCGACUAGAAUGAGACAUUUGCCCCUGUGGCAAGACUUGACACCAUCAGAACUUUGAUAGCUCUUGCAGCACAAAAGGAAUGGAACCUAUUUCAAUUGGAUGUGAAGUCUGCUUUUCUCAAUGGCAUUCUAAAGAAGGAAGUUUAUGUUGAACAACCUCAAGGAUAUGUUCAAGAAAGCAAGGAAACCAAGGUGUUCAGGUUGAACAAGGCUCUAUAUGGACUGAAGCAAGCCCCAAGGGCCUGGUAUGAUGAAAUAGAUGCCUAUUUCAACACUGCAGGUUUCAAGAAAAGCUUAAGUGAAGCUACUCUCUAUAUCAAAACUGGUGACACCUCAGGUAUUAUCAUUGUCUCCCUCUAUGUAGAUGACAUUAUAUAUACUGGAAGCUGUCCUAAAAUGCUUGAAGAAUUUAAACAAGAUAUGAUGCAACACUAUGAGAUGACAGACUUGGGUCUGUUGCAUCAUUUUCUUGGCAUGGGAGUGGAACAAACUGACAAGCAUAUUUUCAUUCAUCAAAAGAAAUAUGCCAUGAAAAUUCUUGAGAAGUUUGGAAUGAGAGAUUGCAAGUCAGUGGCAAUUCCAUUAGUGGUGAAUGAGAAAUUGUGUAGAGAAGAUGGGAGUGAAGCAGCAGAUGAAAGUGAAUUCAGACAGAUUGUAGGAAGUCUCCUUUAUCUGACUGCCACAAGACCAGAUGUCAUGUUUGCAUCUAGCUUGCUUGCUAGAUUUAUGCACAAUCCCUCAAAGAAACACAUGGGAAUUGCUAAAAGGGUGCUGAGAUACAUUCAAGGCACAUUGGAUUUUGGAAUUGAGUUUGCAAAAGGGAAGACAGCUACUCUAAUUGGGUACUGUGAUAGUGACUGGGCUGGGAGUGAAGAUGAUAUGAGGAGCACCUCAGGAUAUGCCUUCACACUAGGCUCAGGCAUGUUCUCUUGGGCUUCCAUCAAGCAAAACACAGUUGCUCUAUCUACAGCCGAAGCUGAAUAUGUGAGUGCUGCAGAAGCAACUUCACAAGCUAAGUGGCUGAGAUUUGUGCUUGAAGAUUUUGGUGAAGAACAGAUAGAAGGGACUCAGAUUCUAUGUGAUAACACCUCAGCAAUUGCAAUGGCAAGGAAUCCAGUCCAUCACCAAAAGACAAGACACAUCAGCAGAAAAUUUCAUUUUAUCAGAGAAGCCAUUCAAGCAAAAGAAAUUGAACUGAUAUACUGCAAAACAGAAGAUCAGAUAGCAGACAUCUUGACUAAAGCUCUACCUAAGGAUCGGUUUGUGAGGCUGAGAAGCUUGCUUGGUGUGAAAUCAGCUAAAGGAUUAGAAGGGAGUGUUGAAAUAUAAUCCUGCAGCAGAUUUCUUAGAGCUGAAGCUAUUCUCUAUUUGUUCUGUUUUUGGUCAGCUCAUUUAAAUGAUGUAAGGAGAGCCAUUAGAUCAUAGUCUAGGUGGAUUCUCUAGCUUAGAUUUGCUAUGACAGGUGUAAGAAUCUAAUAGGAUGACAGCUGUAAUUCUGUUAGAAGAGAAUCACAUUUCUCUCCUAGCAGUCACACUAUGUAAGCUGCAGUUUUGCAGAAAUCAAUAGAACAGUGCAUUUUUCAUAUUCUCCUAUUCAUUCUCUCUAGCUAAAUGCUCUAGAAGAGUACCUCUUCCUAAUCUGAGAAAGAGAUAAACUCAGAAUGCACUACUACAAAAAAGCAAAAAGACGACGGUAAAUCACCGUCGUGUAUUUGGUUUUUCAAUGGUCGUGGAAUCCACCGUCAUCUUUUCCCUCAUAAACCACGACGCUAAAUAACCGUCGUUGUUAAACAAUACAACGUCAUCAAAAAAUACAAAACGACGUCUUUGUACUGCAAAAAGAUCUAAAAAAAGCAAUCGAUGAUGAUAAUAGACGACCAAUUCUCUAAAAAGACCGUCGUUAAAAAGGGAAAAUAUGACACAUAUUAAGAGAACAAGGCCGCAAGAUAGACAUACAACGACGACAAUAAAAAUACGCCGACGUUAAAUAUAAUUUUCACGACAAUAAAAAAUAUGACGUCUUUAAAUACAUUAGAAGACGACGUUAUUGAUACCUACUACGUCGCACAUAUAAACACAACCGUCGUACAAUUAAUUUUCCACUUCGAUUUUUUGAUAAAAGAUGACGUGGAAAUAGUUGUCAGUGUCAUUAUUUACGACGUAUGUGUUUCUAUAGUAGACGUUGAAAAACUAAACAACGUCAGUUACAAAUAUAUGAGAGUCGUAUUAAAAAAUUUAUACGUCCUAUUUUCAGAAACAAACAACGACCAUAAAUAUUAGACGUUGUUAAAUACAACAACGUCGGAAAACAAUAAAAACAGACGUGUUUAGUCUGCUAAAGUUCUACAACGUCUCUUAUUUACAAAAAACCGUCGUGAAAUAAAUUUUCCACUUCGAUUUUAUCUAAAAAAGAUGACGUGGAAAUAGUUGUCAGUGUCAUUAUUUACGACGUAUACAUUUAUAUAGUCGACGUUGUAUUUAUAUGUAUUCAUUACUCACGACGCACUUAAUAAUAUAGACGACGUUGAACGUCUAAACAACGUCGGUUCCAAAUAAAUGAGAGCCGUAUUACAGAACAUAUAGACGGCGUAGAUUAUGAUGGGAGCCGUAUUACAAAUAACGUCGUUUAAUUGUUAUUAGACGGCGGUUAUAAUGAAUUUCCGUCGGAAUUAAUUUCGUUCCUCUUCGUUUAUAAAAGAACUUGCGACGUGGAAAAUGUAUGAUGACGUCGUAUUUUUUAACGUUCAGAUUACAUAUCUCGUUUUUUAGACGUCGGUAUUAUGGGAUUGGAGUCGUGUUAUUUUGAAUUACAUGGCGGUUCUUUAUCCUUCACCGACGUGAUAUCCUGAAUAAUUGCUUCACAAUAGCGUCGUGGUUCUUCAUUGUUACGUUGCUUUAAGACGUCGGUAAAUAUGCUGAAUAACUGAUUCACAAUAACGUCGUGUUUUAUUUGAACGUAGAAAGUGAAGAAAUCACAUUACAAUAUAUUACAAAAUUAAUGUCAUACACUGCCAAUUACAUAAGCAUCAUUCAAUCCAUAUAUCUUCACACCAAAAUCACCAAAAUCAUUAUCAUCCAUAUCAAUUUCUUCAGACACAAAACUGUACCUACUAUGGCCAUCAUCUUCUUCAACAUUUCUGCUAGCAUUAGUAGUUGCUUCCCAAGGUUCUCCGUGAAAUGUCCAAUUCUUAUAGCUUUGGUCAAUUCCAUUAAAGUAUAAGUGAUCCCUUAUAAUUCCAACCCCAAACAACUUCAAAUUAACACAUUUAACACAUGGACAACGGAUAUGUGUUGUAGUUAGAAGAUUUUCUACAGCAAAGUUCAAAAAUGCUUCCACCCCAAACUCAUAUGCCUUCGAUCUUCUAUCCGAGUGCAUCCAUGACUUAUCCAUCUCCGACACUAUAACCUAUUAUCUAUAAUAAAGUGAAAAUACAGGCAAUGACCAUCACUAUAGCAGAUUAUACAAUGAUCUAAUCGCAAGUAAUAAACAACAGAGACGACGGGUUUUAAUCAAAAACAGACGUAUUUGGCAUAUAUAGACGACGGAUUUUCAACAGACGUCGUCUAUUAUACGUAAUACAAACGACGGUUUAUGAAAAAACCGUCGUGUAUAAGUAAUACAACGACGGUAGUUUAAAAACACCGUCGUGUAAUCGUCGUCGUACGCCUUAAAAUUCGUCGUGUCUCAGUUUAUUUUCAAGAACACAAAACCCAUUAAGAACACAACAUAUAUAUGAAACCAAGCAAGAAACCAACAUAUACAUGAAACCAAGCAUGAAAACAAUAAAUCCAUUCCCAAUUCAACAUAACAUAGGGUGAUUAAAAGAUACGACAAAAUUAAAUCCAUUCCCAAUUCAACAUAACAGAUAAUGUAAUCCAUGAACCCAUUAAACAGAAAAUCCAUGAACCCAUACCUAUAAGCAUUGGUGCACUUUGCACCUUCUCCAGAGCGGAAAAUGACAAGAUCAAAUAAAGGUGUCCUUUUGCUGGAAAUCAUUUGGAAGUUGGUGAUGUGUCUUUUUGUGUUGAUUUCCAGCAAAAGUACACCUUUAUUUGAUCUUGUCAUGAACCCAUUAAACAGAAAAUCCAUGAACCCAUACCUAUAAGCACAUUAUUAACAGAUCGCAAAGCAUAUACCUAAAACCCUUUAACAAAACAACCUAAUAUCAUUCAAUGAAUUUACAAGGGGAAGAUAGGGUUUGUACUUACAGGUUGGACGAGCUCACAGAUUCGACGAGCCUGGAGAGUGCAACUUUUAAUUAGAGCAGAAGUGAGAGAGCGAAAUGUUAUGUCGCGUGAAAUCUGAAAUUUUAGGUUUCAGGGAUCAAAGUAUAAGACUAAGAGCCAAAUCUAAAAAAAUUUAGGUCGCGCGAAAAUUUUUAGAGCGCGCGCGUUAUAAAACGUCGAAAGAAAAACCAAGGCGAAAGUUCUACAAGUACCGACGUAAAUUUAAUAUUCCACGACGGAAACUUCAUUUUUCGGAUUAAGAACGUAAGGCCGUUCAUUUUUCGGAUUAAUUUUAAAUUUAUUUUGAAUUUUUUAUAUAACGACGACUGAAAAACCACGUCGGUGUUAAGAAAUUAAAGACGUUGUAAAUUAUAUAAACCGACUUACAUAUUAAAAUAACGUCGUUUAAAGCGUAAACCAUGUCGUAUGUUUUACUGUACGACGUAAAAUAUGUAUUCCACGACCCAACCACCGUCGUUAAAAAUUAAUACACUAAACCCAUAAAAUUAAAUUAUACAAUUUAAAAAAUUAAGUUUAUAAAAGGUUUUAUGGUUUUAAAGCCUAACAUAUAACAUAGACUACCCAAAAAUUAUACUUUAAAAAUAAACCCCAAUAAAUAACAACACUAAUCUCUAAACCCUAGACUCUAAACCCUAAACCAUAAAACUAGAAGUGAUUUUAUGACUCAUCAAAACAAUUUUGUUUUGGAUGGUCAUUUUAAAUUUUUGUUAUUCAAAAUGAAUUUUUUCAAGGUUUAUGUGGAAGAAAAUAUAUCAAUGACUUCAUAGGAGUUGACUUUUCAAUUUUCUGAUUUAUUUUAUAUUUAUUUUGAAUAUUUUGAUAUAAAAAUAAUAAAAUAUUCUUACCACAACAACAAACCACGUCGGUGUUAAUAAAUUGUAGACGUUGUAAAUUGUAAUAGACUACUAAGUCGUUAAAAUGACGUCGUUAAAAUGAGAAACCAUGGCGGCUAUUUAACUAUACGACGUAAAAUAUAUAUAUCAACGACUUAACCGCUGUCGUUACAUAAACGUCGUCGAUGAUACCCUGAACCCUUAAGAAAUUGAAGAUGUUGUAAACCAUAAACGACUCAAUUGUUCAAAGAACGUCGUCUAACUAUAUUUUUACGUCGUAAUUGUUUAAAACACGAAACAACAAAAUACGACGGUUUGUGACUUUAUUAGGUCGUUGGAAAAGUAUUACACGUCGGUUAAGCAAUUUGUAUGUUUGUUUUUUUUUUAAUUUAAGAAAACCUCAACAAAUUUUUACAUUACAUAUUAUAGAGAAAAUUUGUACAUUAUACAUAAAUAUCAAGUGUUCAAUAAUUGCCCUGUUUAAUAAUUUGGAAAACAAACUCUGCCCAUUCAUUCCGGACUUCAUCAAUGGCUUCUUGGGGGUAUGAAGCUUCCUGGUUUCCCUUGGCAUACUGCAUAAACAAUGACUAUUAGGGUUUAUAAAUAAAAAGAAAUUCAAUCACAGACGACGAUAUUUUUCAUAACCGACGUAGUAUAUCCAUUCAACGACGUUAAUUUUACACGACCGUCGUUGAUAAUACAAAAAACGACGUGAAAUGUAUGAAGGUAAUUUCUUCUUACCUUAUUCUCAAACCCCAAGGAAGGAUCCAUGAUGAUGUCCCUCAUGAAGCGCAUUACAUAAUACCCGCAUUCGACAUUGCUGGGUUGCUUUGGUGUGCCUGAGAGAGUUUUCCAAAUUACAUUUUUACGUCCUGCUCGGGCUAUGUGGGUAUUAUAUAUUUUUAAAGCACUGUUCACGAUGUUUUUGGCCUCUUCAUCGACCACACGAUUUCCUGGCAGAGGAUCCAGAAAAUAGACGGUUUCUCUCUUUGCUCUUACAAUCAGCAAAAUCCAAUGACGGCUGCACAAAAUUAAUAUAAAAACGACGGUUAUUUACAAAAACGACGUAUUAUAGUAUUUCACACGACGAAGUAAAGUAGCUAACGACGACAUUAUAUAUUUAUCACGAUGAUAAAUAAAUACCGACGUGGUUAGUAGUUUCAAACGACUAAAUAAAAUAAAACACCGACGUGGUUAGUUUAUAAGCUGUCAUUUAUUGAAAAUCUUAAAAACAAAAUCCUAAGGAGACUAACCCUGGAUUGUAAGGCAUCAUGAAAAUCUGUUCACCGUCUGUCUUCUGAAGUCGAGCUGCUACAAGUCGUGAUCUUGCAGUUAUUGUGCCAGAGUUGGCACUAACUGUAGCAGGGUCGAUAAAGCCAACCAUACUGCACAUAUUGGCUUUUUUCAAAACAUCGUGUAAGUACCUAAACAAAAUAAAAUAAUAUAAACAAGUCAGCACACAAAACACGACGGGUUAUGUAUAAAAAAACGACGUAUUAUAAUAUUUCAAACGACGUACUGAAAUAGAUGAGACGUUAUAAUAUAUUUAUCACGACGGUUGUUAGUUAAGACGACGUGNNNNNNNNNNNNNNNNNNNNNNNNNNNNNNNNNNNNNNNNNNNNNNNNNNNNNNNNNNNNNNNNNNNNNNNNNNNNNNNNNNNNNNNNNNNNNNNNNNNNNNNNNNNNNNNNNNNNNNNNNNNNNNNNNNNNNNNNNNNNUAUCGCGCUCACCACGCUACACCUCCUUAUCAAUUGUAAAUUGGACUGUCUUAUCCUCAGGCAGGAGUGUCGUUUCCACAAAACGACAAAGGGUUUUUAAAGAAGAUGGCGCCUCCAUUUUUGAAUAAGCACCAACUUCAAUAACCUGUUUAAAGAAAUAAAAAAAAUGACGUGGUAAUUCAAUAAAGACGACGGUUUAAGGAAUAAAACGUCGUUUUAAAAGUAUUUAAACGACGGUGAAAAAAUUGUCGUGGUAAUUUAAUAAAGACGGUGAAAAAACCGUCGUUUAAAUAUUUUAUUACGUCUUAAAAAAAUUCCGCCGUCUAAGUUGUAAACAAACGACGGAUUAAAUAAAAAAAUUCCGCCGUCUAAGUUGUAAACAAACGACGGAUUAAAUAAAAAUAUCGACGUCUGAAAUUUUGAAAAACAAAUAAAAAUUUCUUCUUCCUUCUCUUCAUCUCUUUUUUCUUCUUCCUUCUCUUCAUAUCUUUUUUCUUCUUCCUUCUCUUCAUCUCUCUUUUCUUCUUCCUUCUCUUCAUCUGGCUGAUGUUUCCCCAUUUUGGCAGUAUCAUCCUCCAAAUGUAGGGAUCUCACAUCACCUCCAGAGCAGCUAGCUUUGUCAGACAUUGGAUUUUUGGGGCUUUGGCUAAUUCUUGGUUUAAGCAUGCUUGGAUCAAAAUUGGGAAUUAAUUGGGAAAGCUGACUCAGGAAAUGCUCCCUCUCAGCCUCUACCAAUUGUUUUGUCCUAGCCUCCAUCCUUAAGGCCUCUUCCCUUGCCUUAGCCUCCAUCUUUUUAGUCUCUUCUUGAAGGAGAACUCUUAAACUCUCCUUCAAACGGUCGUCAAAGCUCACCCUCUGUGGUUUGGGCAAAUUGAAAUAUUGCCUUGGGGAAACACCAGCACCAACUCCCCUCACCCUGCCUGGAUGCUCGGGGCCCAAAGCCAUGGUCAGCACAUCAUUGCUGCCAUCUACUCUGACUUUGCCUUCCGAGACUUGUUUCUGCAAUUCAUCCUAAAACAAAGAUAAACAAAAAAAUACACGACGGUUAUUUAUGUACAAACGACGUAUUAUAUAAUUUCACACGACGCAAUAACGUAUAAACCGACGUUAUUAUAACUUAUCACGACGGUAGUUAUACCGACGUGGUUAUUUAUUUAAAACGACGAAAUGAAUAAACAACCGACGUCUUAUGCUAUAAUUAAAGAUAACAGAGUAGUGAUUCCUAUUUAGACCGUUAACGACGUUUUUAAAAAAUUUUCGACGUGGUAAUAUCCUUCACACGACGCGAAAAUGAACCACCGACGUCUUAUGCUAUAAUUACAGAAAACAUAGUAGUGAUUCCUAUUUAGACCUUUAACGACGUUUUUAAAAACUUUUCGACGUGGUAAUAUCAUUCACACGACGAAAAAUAUAACAUACGACGUAAUAAGAAUAAUUCACAGUUUAAUAAAAAUUUAAAACAGAGUGAGUAGGCUUACAAUUAAUUUUGCCUUCUCUGCCACCUUUGGAUCAGGGAUGUUACCAUGUUUGUCCUGUCUAGCUCUCUUCCAUAAGGUAGAUCGAUCAAUUUCUACCCCAGGCAUGGUUUCCUCCAAUUGAUCCUCCAAUCCAGCAUAUCCUUUUCGAGACAAUCGAUGAUUGUACUCGAGUUUUUCCCUAAUCUGUGAAUGUUGAGAAUGCACAGACUGAAAAUCUUUGGAUAGCCUUGAAGCUACAAAGGCAUCCCAUUGUGCUUUCUCUAUGAAUUUAUAUGUUUCAGGGGGUUGGCUUAAUUUCUCCCUGUCAUUGGUGUAUGGAAGGAUAUAAUGCCUCGUUAGUGUAGACUUGAAAUCCUUCCAUUUUUUGGCAGCAGAAGAUAAAACAGAGGUCUUGCCCCCUUGGCCUACGACAAAAGCCAUGUCAACUGCUUCCCAAAUCUGCUCCUUUAUAUCCUUUGGGAUUUGGGACCAUUUCUUGUCCACAAGUGGGAUCCUGGAGCGUGCCAAGACACCAAUAUACGACUGCAUCUCAAUAUGUGCUUGGCCAACACCUUUCCCCCUUUUAUUGUACUCAACAAUUGGCCUCAGUUUCUGAAGCUUUCUCUUCACAACACGAGGCAUUGUGCUCAUACCUCGACCAGUCUUUGAAUCAUCAGAGAUUGUUGUCUGGCUGGUUGGUUCUGUCUCAGCAGAUGAUGAAGCAAACUUCAUCUUCUUCGAAGACUUCAUCUCCUUCGAAGACUUGUCUUGGGGAGCUACCACUCCAAGCUUCUUGGAGCCAGAAUCCUUAGUUUGUUGUUGAGAAACCAUUUUAACAGACAAAACUGCAAGUGAAAAUAUUUCAGGAAAACAUUAAGAACACAAACGACGGUAUUAAAAAAAUACGACGUAUGAUAUGAUUUUAGACGACGCAAUGAAAUAAUCUCAGACGUAAUAAAUGUUUAAAACCAUUAUUUAUAUAACGUCGUGGUAUAUAUGUUCACACGACGUCAAUAGUAAUACACCGUCGUGGUAAACUAUUAAUUAUAUAACGUCGUGGUAUUUAUGUUCAUACGACGUCAAUAGUAAUACACCGUCGUGGUAUUAACAUUCACACGACGUAAAACAAUAAGAUAUUUUGUCGUCUAUAUUAGAUACCAACCCUAGUUUCUUUUUCUUUAUAUUUUAUCAAAUAAGGGAAAAACAAAAACCAUUGUUCAGCGAAAUCAAACAUGCAAUUAAACAAGCAUAUAAAAAAAGACUAUUAUUUUAAAAACAACUUUGUCAAUUUUCAGACGACGCUAGAACAACUGACGAACCGUCGUGGUCUACCGUCGUCUUAUUUAGUUGAUGUAGUUGUCUUCAAAGUUGGAAACUUUCUCUCUUUGUCUGUAUAUUUUAUCAAACUUGGAAAGAAGUAAAAUGAUUUUGGCCAGAAAAAAGGUAAAAAGAUUUUUCAAACAAAAAACGUAUGAGCAUGCAAAACAGUAACCAAAAUAGUGAAAAUGAAAGCUUACCUUUUGCGUGCAAUGAAAGCAAGAGGAAGAUGAUCGAUGUUUAAGUUCAGAGACGACGAAGAAGACGAGAGGAAGACGAUGAGAAACUCUGACAAUGCUCUGACAAGGAAAAAAGACGAAAAGGUUUCUCUGGGAGAUUGAAAUUUUUAAUCGGGUUUGGAAACAGUGCAUGUGUAAGUCGAAAAGUUGCUUACAUAUAAAACCAUUUCAAAAAAAUAAUACGGCGGUUACAUUUAACUACGUCGUUUUUAACUAAAACGACGCAAUAUUUUUCAUUCGACGUGGAAUCAUUUCAUUUAACGUCGUUAGGUUUAAUAUAACCGACGUGGAUUUUAAUUUUUAAAUUAUGAAUAGAAUUUUUUUUCCCGUGACCUUUCAGUUUAUUUUUCAAUUACAGUGCGUUAUAAAUAGAGUUUUUUUUCCGGAGGAAAUUUAAAACGAAGGAAAUUAAUAUUCUGCAAUAUGUAAAGUUUCUUUUUUGGAUGACAGAUUUAAAUAAAAUAAGAAUAUAAAAACAACAAAUGUGUAAGUCAAGUAGACGAAAAGUUGCUUACAUAUAAAACCAUUUCAAAAAAAUAAUAUGGCGGUUACAUAUAACUACGACGUAUAAAUUACAAAAUACGACGGUACAUUUAACUUCGGACGUGGUAAAUAAAUACGACAGUAGUUUGUAGGUACCGUCGUAGUAAACUCAAAAAUUAAAGUACAUAAGUAAUAACUCGCGUCAUGGUAUAUUAUUUAACACGUCGUUUUUAUUAAUUUACCGACGUGGAUUUCUGUAAUAUACGUCGAUCAUACCGACGUUGAUUUUACAAUUUAAACGGCGGUUUUUUUGUAAGGACCGCCGUUGGUUUUAAAAAUUUAUUCUAUAAAUUUGUCGCUUUCAUUCAUUUUCGGUUUACAUUUAAGGUUCCAAGUUCUUCCUCUCUCAGUCUCUCAUGUCUCAAAGAUAAUAAUUUGGAUGUUUUCUCAAAGAGAAAUUGAGCUUACUCGCAUCAAAUAUAUGUCCACAAGAAGAAGCUUGUCAACUAGCCUUCUCACUUCCUUGAUCAAGCCUGAUAGGACACUUAGUGCUUCUGAAUACUCCUUGCUUUCCAUCAAAAGAGAUGCAAGCCUGGCCUCCACUCGCUGUCGAAGGAAAGUUCGCUUCUCAGGGAAAUCUGAAGAUCAGAUGUGCCUGAUCCUCUGCUUGAUUUUCUUGCCUAAGAAGAUCCGUCGGAUUUAUUGUGAUAGCCUCUUCCUUUAUCCGUAGAGCUUCAGAAGAAGAAGAUGGGUUUCAAGAAUGCGAUAAAGAAUAGAAAUGGCUUCAGAUGGCCUCUAAAGCAUGAGCAAUUGAAUCAGUAGUUUCUGGGAGAUAUGAUGAAGACAUUGUCAAUGCUUUGAACUACACAAGUCCUGCAGAAAGAUAUGUUAAAGAAACUGAAACAACGGCGGUUUUCUGUUCUACCGUCGUCUUUUCUCGUCGUCUAUAUUAAGUUACGAUGGCGGUAGAUUUAUAAUUACCGACGUAGAUUAUUUUGUUAAACGUCGUUAAGUGUACUACAACCGACGUGGAUUUUAAUUUUAAAUUAUAAAUGGAGUUUUUUUUCCCGUAUUCUUUCAGUUUUAGUUUUCAAUUCCAAAGCGUGAUAAAUAGAUUUUUCUUUCCCGAGGAAAUUUAAAAUGAGGGAAAUUAAUGUUCUAGAAUUUGUAAACUAACACGACGCAAUAUUUGCAAAUCUGUGUCAUCUGUUAAGAUUAUGAUGUGGAACAGAGUUCCAUCUGGUAAGAUUUCGUAACCCUUGGGAUCUCAGACAAAACUGAUUAUGUCGGCGGUGUUCUAUAUAAACCGUCGUGGUUAUUUCAAUUCUUGUCAUUAAGUAGAUCUACCGACGUAGGAUAAGAAAAUCAAAGAAAAAAAUUGUUAACAAAAAUUCUUAUUAAGACGACCGUUAAAAUUAAAGGUACGACGUAUAAAAUGAAUAAAUACGACGAUAAAUUUUAUUGUACGAUUUAAAGAUAACGUAGUAGAACUAUACGAGAAUGACGUCGAUAUAUUUAUAUUUUCCGUCGUUGUAAAUUAAUUUAAUACGGCGAUAUUUUGUAUUUUAAAGCCGUGGAUUUGUUUGUAAUUAUACGGCGUCUUAUACGAAAACCUCGUCGUGUUAUUUUAUGAGUAAAAACGGCAGUUUUUAUUGAAAUCGUCGUCUUUACUUUCUACGUCGGUCGAUUCAUAACUUCUGCCGUUCUUUGUUGGCAUUGAUUUUACACUGAGGAAAUCUGUUUCAAAUAGACGUCGGUUGUUUAAUUAUGUACGUCGUUGUUUUUGAACAGCCAUUUGAAACUCCAUUUUUUAGUUGUCUAAGGUUGUAUUACACGACGGUGUUUUUAGAACCGUCGUCUUUUUAUAAACCACGACGGUUUUCACUUAGACCGUCGUUGUUUUCUGGUCGUCUUUUUCACUUUUUGUAGUAGUGAUGAUAACACUUCUAACCAGCUAGCAUGUUUAAUCCAUGUAAACGAUUUUGCUACCAUCUUCAUCUAGUUAGCUGUGGGUGGCUAAAUCGAGCACAUCAGUGUCAAAGUUCUUGCAGUCUCAAGUAGAAAGACCUCUCUUAAAACAAAAAUGCGUGUGUAGCAGAACAGUUUGGAAAGUCUCUUAAAACAAAGGCAAUGAAAAUGUAUUUGGUAUUCUCUAAAAAGAAAAAAAAGCUGUCUCCAAUACUAAUAUGUGAAUUGUAUUAUGCAGUAGUAUUGUGAGAAAUGAUAUGACGCUUGCAUGCAGCUGUAAUUGCUCUUAACUACCUGAGUUAAGAGCUCCUUUUUAUUUUGUUUUUUAAGAACCAAACUUAUUAUUGUGAAAAAACAUUACAAGUUAUAUUAAUUAAAUUUGAUUAAAAAGAUGGUGCAAUUGUUAAAUUGAUUUAUCCAAUUGUUUGUACUCAAUUUUGCAUCGUGUUCUACUUUUGCCCAAAAUAUGUGGUCUAGAAUAUUGUAUGUAUAAAAAAAAAAAAUCGUUGUCCUGAACAACCAAGUAACAACAUGAACAAAAAAAUAAAUAAUAAUAAUAAUAAUAAUAAUAAUUUUCAAGAUUAAUUUGAAGACCAAGGAUGGUCAGACAACUGCAUAGAUUCCUAAUGGAUGACAGAGAUUACUUAAUACACAACUUCUCAGCAGAUUUCAACAGAGUCCAGAAACAUAUCCCAACCAGAUAUCUUGAAAGAACACUACACAUGUCCUACAUUAUAGUUUUUAGCAUGAAUGAACUGAUUUCUUUAUAUGCAAUAUUGGUUACUGGUUUGUUAACGGCUUUUUGCUAUACUGAUUGCGUCAAUUUCAAGGACAUGUCUUUGUUAUUGUGAUCUUGGCAGAAAAACUUAUAUGAAAUGGAGACAACACUAUUUGUUAUUUUUGGCCAUUAUGCUAUGUUAAGUAGAAAAAUUAUUACGUGUGGCAUAGUCUGAUUGGUCAGGGAUAGCAAAACAGUGCUAUUCUUGUUAUACACAAGUGUUUCUCGAUCUUAGGGGUGUAUUCAAUUAAGAUUUUAAUGAAUUUUAAAUAAGUUCGGAGUGUCAUUUAAUUGAUUUCUUUUUCAUUGUUAGAAUCUUGAUCUUGUCAUAGAGUUUGAUAGAUUUUUAUAAACUUCUAUGAAUUCGAAAUAAUAGUAGGCCAUCAUGCUUGAUGUUAGUGGUGGUGGUAGAAAUAAUAGAUGCAUUAAUGGUGGUAAUGAUCGUGUCAAGACUCAAAAGUAAUUAGAGUUUAAACUGAUAUGUUUAUUCUUCUCUCAAGGAAGGAUAUAUAUACUACAUACAGUGGGUACAAAUAAGAAAUAUAUACAAAAUCUCCUAAUUCUACUCAAAUUAGAUAAUUACAAUAAAAUACAAAUUCUAUUCCUAAUAGGAACAUUGACUUUGACUCACGCCAACACUCCCCACAAGUUGGUGCAUAGAUAUCGCUAAUGCCCAACUUGUCAAGUGAGUCUUCAAAUUGGUGAUUUGACAUGGCAUGGGUCAACAUAGCUGCAAGCUGCAGCGAAUAAGGCACAAAAGGUAUAAAAAUUAACUUAUGCUCCAGCUUCUCCUUAAUGAAAUGCCAAUCAACUUCUACAUGCAUAGUUCGAUCAUGUUGCACCGGAUUUUUAGCAAUUUCAAAUGCAGACUGACUAUCAAAGUGGAGCUUUGUAGCAGCCAUCCAGUCUAAACCCAAUUUUAGCAAGUAACCACAUUAACCACAGUAUUUCACAAACCCCUUGGACAAUCCCUCAGUACUCAGACUUUGUAGAAGACCAAGACACAACAUUUUGCUUCUUAAUAGCUAGGCCACAUAACUAGGUUACUGCCAACAAAGGUGAAGUAACAUGAUGUAGAACGUCUAUCUGUAAUAUUCUCUGCAUAAUUUGCGUCAGUGUAACCUUCUAGAUCCAAGUGGCCAUUUUUCUUAAAUAAUAAACCUCUCCGAGAUGCAGACUUUAAGUAACUCAGAAUACGCAUCACAAUACCCGUAUGAUCAGGGUGUGUCAAUGAUAAAUAGAUCAAUCUCCCAACCAAUCUUUGUUGUCUUUCUUUAUUAGCUGGGACCUCAACAAUAGGUGUAUUAGCUGGUUUAUAGUCAAGCAUUCCAGUAUCUACUAGCAGGUCCAUGACAUACUUUCUUUGUGAAAGAAAUAAGCUAUGUUUAGAUCGAGUGACUUCCACUCCUACAAAAUAUUUCAGACUAGCAAAAUCUUUAGAAGCUAAACGCUUCUGUAGUUCCUCAAUUUCUAUAGUACCAUCACUAGUCAAAAUCAUAUCAUCAACAUAGAUAAUCAUCAAAGUCACCUUAUUGGCCCCAUGUUUAAUGAAUAGAAUAGGAUUAGUAUUGGACUGUUGGUAACCAAAUUUCUUCAUAGCUGCAGUAAAUCUGCCAAACCAUGCCCGAGGAGACUGCUUUAACCCAUACAACGUCUUUUUAAUCUGCACACGUUCAUCGUGUCACCAGUAUCGCUAUAUCAUGGUGGAAGACUCAUAUACACUUCUUCUUCUAAUUCACCAUGUAAGAAUGUAAUUUUUUUUUACAUCAAAUUGUCUCAAGGUCCAAUAUAAGUUUACUGUUAAGGACAUCAAAACUCUGACAGUAUUAAUCUUAGCCACGGGUGCAAAAAUAUCAUGAUAAUCAACUUCUUACGUCUGAGUGAACCCUUUAGCUACUAAUCUUGCCUUGUACCUCUCGACAGUACCAUAUGCAUUACAUUUAACUAUAAACACCCAUCUGCAUUCUACAGGCUCCUUUUGGUUGAUCAACAAUGUCCCAUGUAUUAUUUUUCUGCAACGCCUUCAUUUCAAUAUUCAUGGGUUCAACCCACUUUAGAUCCUUAAAUGUCUCCUCAACACGAGUUGGAAUUUUAAUACUAUCCAUUAUGGUAAAAAAUGCUUUGCACUCAGGAGAUAACCUGGGAUCAUACACAUAAUGGGCAAUAACAUAUCUUACUUUGCCUUCUGGUGAGUAACGAUUAGGUGGAACCUCACGGUUCCCUCUAAGCGGUAGAACAUAGGAAUUAUCAGCAGUAUGAAUAAGGAGCAUAAAUUAAGUCUGAAUCAUUUGAUAGAAACUCUGAAAGAUGUCGACCACAUCACUUUUAGUUUUCAUCUCAUAUAACCACAUUAUACGAGUGUAAUCAUCCACAUAUAACACAAACUAGUGAACUCCCAAGGCUGUAGAAAUAGGGGAAGGUCCUCAAACAUCAGAAUGAACCAUAUCAAAAUGGCAUAAGUCGUUUAUUACAACUUGGAGGGUAGGAUACCGGAUGACUCUUAGCUAAAAUACAAGUCUGAUAUUGGAAAGCAGACUCGUUGACACCACUAAAUAAUGUAGGGAAUAAGUGUUGUAAAUAUCCAAAGGAGGCAUGACCAAAUGGGCAAUGUAGCAACCAAAUCCGGUGAUGCUGAGAAGUUUCGGUGCUACCAGCAUGAAGAACUCGACUAGUUGCCACGUCAUCCACAUAUAAAGCCCCCCUUUUUUAGUACCAAGACCAAAGAUCUCCCGAGUCUGGAGAUUCUGUAGUAAUACGAAAGACGGAUACAUUAGUACAACAUAGUUUAGCUACUCAGUAACUUGCGGCACAGAUAAUAAAUUACUAGACAAAGAUGGAACCAAUAACACUUUAUCUAAUGGUAAAGCAGGUGUCAAGAGUACAGAACCAGCUCUCGUGACAGGAGUAGCAUCAUUAUUAGCAGUCAGAACAUGAUCACGAUGAGACGGAAGUAGAUGUGUCAAACAAGACGCGCUGACCUAACACGACCCGAGCCCAUCCCUUUUAAAUAAGACACGGCAUGACACGAGCACAAAUAUUAGUGGGUCGUGCUUGGCAUAACAUGAAAGCUUGGCCCGGGCCAGGAUCAAAAGAUGAGGUCCAAUAAAUCAGGGCGGCCCAUGGACCGACAUGGGCCGGGCUUGGGCCAAGCCCGCUUCAAGCACGGCCCGAGCCUAGCCCACUUAACCUUUUUUUUGGUCUCAAAAGUCAAAAUCCACUUAAGUGACUUAACAAUUACGUGAUCUAGCAUUUAUUGCAUUUGUUUCACUACCAAGUUUUGGAACGGCAAUUAAAAACUUGAGUAAUUAAAAUAAAAAAUAAAUAAAUAAAAAAGUGAUGCAAUGACCAAUGACGUACCUAUCUUGUCGUACACCCUAGCCUUAAGUGACUUAAGAAACAGACUUAGAGUUGGAGAGUUGGACUCAAACUCAAAGCUUCGAAUAAAGCCUAGACUGAAUAAUUUGAAAUAGUGAGUCGUGCAAAUGAAAGAAUUUGAAUAAAUACGUACACUGAUGCAUAAGUGUGGAAGAGUCGUAGGACUGUGCCAAUAUUAAAUGUUCAUUUCCCAUCUAUUUUUCUUAUUAUUUGUGAUUGUAUUUGAUUUGUUAUAAUUUCUUUUACGUUUCAAUUCGUUUUCCCUAUAUUAUACAAUGGAUCAUCCAAUUCAUUUAAAUCAAAAUGUUAAAAUCAUCAACAUGAUUGGACUCGAUUUUAGCCUUAGCUUUAUCAAAUUGGAUUGUAAAAUCUAAAACUUAAACUACAUUGGAUCAUAUGUCAAAUUUUGAAAAUGUUGGGCUAGUUCUUGGGCCCGAAUACUGCCCGAGCACGAGCACGGGCACAAUCUUAGUCCGGCCUGUUUCAAUGUGGACUUGGACUUUGGGCCGGGUUGGGAUUAAUGGUUUUAUUAAAUGGAUCAGCAUGGCCGACCCAAUAAAUUAAAUGGGCUGGUCCAGCUUUGCACGAAUAGGUUAAAGUCAUGAGUUUAAAUAGGGCAACCCAGCCCGGCCCGUUUGACACCUUUAGGUGGAAGAGUAGUAGAGAAAAGCAGAAUUAUACGUCAUAUGGUCAGUAGCUCCAGAAUAAGUAAUCCAACUUGUAUUGCGUGUAUCAUGAGAAUGGAAAGCCCUGGCAAAGUUACCUGGAGGUGGCAUAGGUGCAAGAGGUGUUAGAGUGCUUGAGACUGCUAUCACGGCUGAAGUAGGAGUAGCGGUAAGGUGGUCGUGCCUAGUGGUAACGUCAACCACAGAAGUGGUGGCAGCAAGCACAUGAGCUUUGCCGUUUACGCCAUAAUCAAUUGAGCAUGCCUAGCCUUAGAGGACCAACACGUAGACAGGACCCAUGGCCUACCAAAGGUAGAAGCACUUCUUAGAGAACUUAGGCACCAAUGACCUCAUAUUCUUAGCUACCAGAAACACCCUCUACAAUUUGCACAAAGUCCCAUAUCGAAACUUUGGACAAACUCCCACUUUCACUUUCCUAUAAAAGAGGAAUAGUGCCUAGGUGAAAGGGGUAACUGCUUUUUACCUAUACUGUUACAUUGCCAAAAUUACUACACAUCCCACAUUCGCUGACUUAGCAUCGGAGAGCCUCCGAUAGGUACCACACCAGUGUCUGAAGCUUGACGAUUGCUUCUUCAUCAUUAUCUUCUACAAGGUCCCUUCAUCCCAAAGAUUCGUACUCCUCCUGCCAUGCUGAGGAUCCAACACUUCUCCAUCUAAGUUGACUCUCCGAAAAUGAGUAUCAACAAUUGCAAUAGAUGCAAUUGCAAUAGAGGAUGAUAUAUGAUGAACCCUCUGUUGCACUUGUAAUAGACAGUUUCAGCUUUUCUCCAUUUGGGAAAGCACUUAACAAGAUGUAGUUGCAAUAGAGAUUUGGUUUGAACUGGUUUCGGUUCGGUUUCCAGUUUUUUCGGUUUUGGAUUGGAUUAUUAUUAUUAUUUCAAAAUUUUAUUUUAAAAUACAAAUUUAGACUAAAAUUUUAUUUUUUGGGCUUGAAAAUUUAUAAAUGAUCAAAUUUCAUGCAAAGAGAGAUAUUAGGCCUAAUGUUGAGGCCCAAAAAAUCCAAGGAGCUAAGCCUAGAUUAAUUCUUGGCCCAACUCGGAUAAUUGAAAGCAAAAGAAGCUCAAUUGGGACAAAAGGAGAAUUUGUAGGGUACGCCAAUACAAGCUACGGGCCAUGUAGCAUGUCAAGUAAGCACGCGUAAAAGGGCCAAGAGCAUGCCAACCCUACAUAAAUUCGCUCAUAUAUCCGUUCGGUAUUACUUGGCUCGAUUAUAGCCUAUUACGGCAUAAUAAAACUCAAGCACAAGCGUAGGUGUCAUGCAAGAAGAGCUAUUAUUCUAACACCGAACUAUGCCACAAGCUUAAGUGGGCCCAAGCCACAAAAUUACUCGGGGCUUGCUGAAAAUAUUGUGGUGUGGAUGGGUACAAGCAUUCACUAGGCCCAGUUAAAGGAUCAAGGAAUGAGAAUUUUGGGUUACUUGGGAGCACCAAAAUUUGAGCCCAUUUCUUGGCUCCAAAACAUGGGCUAGCAUGAGAGAGAGAACAUGACCUAAUGUCUUAGGAGAAUACAGUAGUUUGCUUAGAAAACCCAAUGUUAAUUAGAAUGCCCAAACACUUUGUUAAAAAUGCAACAGGCAAACUGCUUCCAGCAGCUUGAAGAAAGCAAGCUGACCAGUCGCUGAAAAGUAGAAUAUCAUCAACCCAUGGCCUAGGAAAAAGCCCAGCCUAACACUCUAUAAAAUAUCUAGCAGACAUGUUCAGCCUUUGCCUAAAGGAGUCAAUGGAAGCCAACACAAAAACCAGAGGAAAUCCAUGAGAGCAAGAGGUUUACCCGUUGGGUAAACAACAUGGCCACUCCCACCUUUUCCUCUGUUAGCUCCCAUAAGAAAAUCAAGAAGAAAGUCAGUGGCGCUUCAUCCCUAUGGAGAAAGGCCAGCCAUGUCAAAACCUUGGAACCACAAAGAACUCCUUACCUAUGCACCUUGGAUGAGAAAAUGUCACCAAAGAAGAUAAAGUGGAAAGAGGUAAUGAAAAAGGAAGGAAAAGGUUAGAUGAAAUUAGGGUUUUUUGUGGCUAUAAAAGAAGGCUUCUGCUACCCAGAUAAUCCAUCAUCCAGGGCCUGACCAAGCUUUGUCAAGUAUCUGGGAAUUUACUCAAGCCAUCCAAUCUUCUUCUUCGUUUGUUUUUCUUCUUCCCUUAAGAUAGAAAUCAUUCUAAUUUUCCUCUAUCUUACUGCAAACUUUCGUUCUCUGUAAGAGACCCAUGCUUCUCUCUCUCUCUCAAAUUGCUAAACUUGUUAAAGCUUAGCUUCCAUGCCACAAGCUUCUUAAGCUAAGCCAGUAAUCGAUUUAUCAUGUUUAUUUGGCUAUUGGUGAAAAGAACCUAAGAGUGUUUUUCUAAAGUUUCAUCAGACUUUUCAAAAACUCUUUUAAGGGCUUGGUUCUUGAACUCAGGCAUUUGGGGAAUUUUUGUUCGUUUUCUUCUUACGACAGCCCAAUCCCAUUCGUCAGGCUGCUAGGAACAAAGGACCCCUACAUAAAUUGGUGACUCUACUGGGGACCAAGCUGCCAUUUUCACUAAUGCCUCCAAGAAAGAAGACUAAGAGCAAUACUAUGGCUUCCCAAGAUGGGCCCGACCAUGGUGAUUCUGAAUCAAGGCAAAAUGCCUCAUCUAGGGAGCAAGAACGUGCAAGUGAGGGAGCUUUUACCCUCACAGAUCUCAUUACGGCUAUUCAGGCUAUGGGGGAAACUCAGAGGGAGAUGAUGGACACCAUCAAAGAAUUGAAAAGUUCUGUCUCUAAGCCACCCCUAGAUAUAACUAUUGAUUUGAAGUUAUUGAAUUAUACUAUUGCAAGUAAAACUGUAGUUCAAUUUAAUAGAUGCCAAAAUAGUUCAAUAAAUUAAACUAUUGUGUUGAACUAUUGAACAACUAUUGUGGAUGCUUAGGAGCUUGGGAAUGUGUUUCAAAUUGCAUUCCCAUGUUUGGUAAGUGCACUCUUGGGAAUGCAAUUAUGGACUCAUAGAUAAGGACUUCCUAUGUAGGGGCGAAGUUCAUGCCGUCGACUCACCGUAGGAAACUUUUUACCCCCACUUGGGAAAGCAUUUAAUUCUGAUUUUUUGGACUAACUUACCAAUGUUAUUAUUUUUAAAUACCACUUUUUACACCCUUAAAAAACUCUUCAUAUAUUUACCUUUAAUAAUUAAAAAAUCAAGGGUAUUGUUGGAAACUUAAUAACUUUUCAUUCUUAAUACUAUACUAAUUGAACAUGAGAAUGAGAAAUAGUUGCAUUUCCUAGUCCUCAUUUCCCAUCGUUUCCAAAAGUGAGAAUGAACAUCGUCCAUUCCCAUCUCGUGAGAUUAGAUAUUUGAAAUUUAUUCCUAAGAAGUUCAAUGGUGAACCAAACGGGCCCUAAGGUGACUGCGUCUUUUGAAUUUUUCUUUUGUUUGCCUUCGGCUUGUUCAUAUUCAUUCACAAAAUAAUAUCAUUUUUUCACCAUUAAACUUAGAUGGGCGAGCCCAACACGGUAUGUUUAUUAAACGGACUGACUCUAAACAGACUGGACUGGCCCAACACGGCCCAUUUGACACCUCGAAUUAAACACUUAUAGAAACUCAUGAUCUACUUUUGUUACAAUUUCUAUUAAUUUGAUCACGCACACAUGACAUAGCUUUCUUUUGAGAGAGUUUUUUUGUUCAUUCCUCCACUAAACUCAAACCCUAUUUGCAAUUCCCUCUCUUCAUCUCUCUCAUCCUCUCGUUUUCUCUGGUCACAAUGCUUAGCUAUUUCAAACAAAGACAAGAUAGACGAUAGGGGCGCAUUGGAACUUUUAAAGAGUUUUGGAAGAAUUUUCAUACAAACCAAACCGAAAGUUGAUCAUGAGGAGGACUGUUAACUUUUUCUUUUCCUUUUUUCCAAUAAAAGAAAUCUGUGUUCCAAUAAAACAAAUCUGUGUGGGGUUGUGGUUCGAAGCUAUGACGCUUUCCACUGACGAAGGGCUGACGACUAGUCAGAUAAAUGCUGUUGUGGAUCGGUGCCACAAUUAUUUUUAAAUGAUAAAAAAAUAUGUGUUAAAUGGCUUUUUCAGGUAAUAGGUCAAAGGUAUGGGUUUAAUGUAAUUGCAUUGCAAAAGGGAAUUCUUUACAAUUCAUUAAAUUUCGUCAAUUAUUUCAAUUAAUUCAUUUAUUUCACAAAACUUGCAAGUAUGGGGCUGAGAUUGGUGUUCAUGAUUCAUUCAAUUAUUUCACAACAUUUGUGACUAGCUUUUUCCAAUUAGCCAAACUGAAUUUCUUUUUGUUAACUUGUAACAAAAAACAAUAAAACUUUAUUAACUACAAAUUUAUCGUGUAUAAGAAAUUGUUUUGUUUGUCCCUGAAUAAUAAUAAUAAAAAAGAAUAAUUAAUUUUCAUUUCAUGGUAAUCUAGAAUUCUCUUUAUGUCUUUUGAUUUCCCAAAUAAUUUAUGUAGCUUUCACUUUCGGAAAAACAAAAUAUAACAAUUUUUAUAUACUUAUGACAAAUUAAGAUUUUUGUGGCCUUCCAAAAAACUUAAGUACAUUUCUUAAAAAUAAAAAUAAAAGUAAAGAAAAUCAAAUUCUUAUCUUUGUAGGAUUGUGGGUUUAUUUUUAUUUUUAAUUAAAGAGAAACUUCAUUAGAUAAAAUUCAACAAUACAACUAAUGACACCAAAAUGACAUCAAAAGCAUCAAUCCUUUGAGGGAAGCUGUAUUGUUUUGAAGAAAUAUAUAUAUAUAUAUUUUAAUGUUUUAAGUAAGAAGAAAUAUAUAUAUUUAUUUUUUUAAUGUUAUAAAUAAAUACGUUUUCUUAACUAGAAUAAUCCAUGGUAGCCCUAUGAUAGACUAGGCAAGAAAGAAAAUUAAUCUAAUGUUAAUACACAUGAGAGUAGUUUUUCAAAUUCGCAUCAUAACAUAGCCCUAGAGCAAGCCUUUAUUAUUAUUAUUAUUAUUAUUUCUUUUACAAUUGUUGAAGAUAAUAUUAUUUUUAUUUUUAUUUUUAAAUUUAAUACGAUGUCAAUUUUGUAUUCCUUAUCUAUAAGGAUUCUCUUUCGUUAAUUGAAUCCUAAAAAUGUAAAAGUGUGUAAUAUUAAGGUAGUUGGACCUUGAACAAGUAAAAUUAUUCCUUAUUCUUGUAAAAACAAGAAUUUACAAGAUUAAGGACAGAGGGUACCAUAGCGUUGUAAAGAGAAUCAUUAAACUCAUAACUUAUAAGUUUUGGGUAGCAGUUCACAAGGUUUUGCACUUGGAUUACAAUGUUAGGGUUCAUCCAAUCCAUAAUGUUGUAAAUCAUAUGUUUACAAGGAUAUGUAUCCAUAUUACAAGGAAUUGGUAAUGGUGGACUUUGGGGAUGUAAUUUGGGUCCUUAUUCUAGUAAACAAUGGUUUACUAGAUUAAGGACCAAGGGUACCAUAACAUCGUAAAGAGAAUCCCUAAACUCGUAACUUACAAGUUUUUGUUAACAAUUUGUAGGACUUGUUCCUAGAUUACAACAUUAGGAUUCACCCAAUCCAUAAUGUUGUAAAUCACACUUUUACAAGGAAUUGGUAAUGGAGGACCUUAGCGAUGUAAAAUGGGUCAUUAUUCUCGUAAACAAUGGUUUACAAGAUUAAAGACUGAGGGUACCAUAACGUCGUAAAGAGAAUCCCUAAACUCGUAACUUACAAAUUUUUGGUAACAAUUUACAAGGUUUUACUCCUCAAUUAUAACGUUAGGAUUCACCCAAUCCAUAAUGUUGUAAAUCAUAUGUUUACUAGGAUAAGGAUCCACAUUACAAGGAAUUGGUAAUGGUGAACCAUAGCGAUGUAAAAUGGGUCAUUAUUCUAGUAAACAAUGCUUUACAAGAUUAAGGACUGAGGGCACCUUAACAUCGUAAAGAAAAUCCCUAAACUCGUAACUUACAAGUUUUUAGUAACAAUUUAUAAGGUUUUUCUCAUGGAUUACAACUUAGGGUUCACCCAAUCCAUAAUAUUGUAAAUCAUAUGUUUACUAGGAUGUGGAUCCACAUUACAAGGAUUGGUAAUGGUGGACCUUAGCAAUGUAAAAUGGGUCCUUAUUCUAGCAAACAAUUUUGUUAAAAGUUUAAGGACCGAGGGUACCAUAGCAUCGUAAAAGAGUGUUCCUUAUUGUUGUAAAAAUAAGAAUUUAUAACAUUAAGGACUCAUUUGACAGUAUUUGGGACAUGAGAGUUCCAUAAUAUUAUAAAGUUGAUCUCUAAUCUUGUAAAAACAAGGGUUUACAACAUUAAGGACUCAUUUUACAGUGUUUGGGACAUGUGUAUUCCAUAAUAUUGUAAAGUAUAUCCCUGAUCUUGUAGGUUACGAGAUUUGGGUUCCAAUUUAUGAGAGUUCGCAUGGUGAUUACAACAUAAGGUUCACUUUAAUCCAUAAUAUUGUAAUGGCCUAAUUUACAAUGAGAAGGAUCUCAAUUACAAUAAUAAGAUAAUGUUGGACCUUGAAAAAGUAAUAUUGUUCCUUAUUCUUGUAAAAACAAGCUUUACAACAUUAAAGACUUAUGUUACACUAUUUUGGAAAUGAAGAUUCCAUAAAAUUGUAAAUUGUAUCCAUAAUCUCAUAGAUUACAAGAUUUUGGUUCAUUUACGAGAUUUCGCAUCUUUAUUAUAAUUUACAACGUUGAGGUUUGCCCAAAUACAUAAUGUUUCAAUAGCCGAAUUUACCUUUCGCAUAGGUCAUUUGGCAAUUUCCAAUUAGGCAUUCGGUUUUCACAAAUUGGACUGACAAUUACGUGGUGCAUGUUCAUCGAUUACAAACUUGACGUGGCUGAGCAAAAGCAAAAUAUGCAACUUGAUGUGAAUCAUGAUGGCAUGCUUAUUAAUUUAGCAAUGGCAUAAUACUUAACAUGUAAAAAUAUAAUGCUUCGUAACUUUAUUAAUUUCGAUCCGUAUUUUCAUUCAAAUACUUGUCAAUAUAGAGCAUGAAUUUUUUUAUUUUUAUUUUUGGUCAUGAUAACAACAAUAUAAAGCAUGGAUUUGUAAAACUUGUGUGUAUGUUAUUGAUUAACACAUUAAUUGCAUUUACAAAUGGAACUACUUUGUUUGUCAAAUGCACGACUGGAAUGCAAAGGGAACUGCUUUGUUUGUCAAUUGUAUUACUGAAAUGCACAUGACACUACCUGUUUGUCAAUUAUAUUGAUAAAUCACAUAUUGUAUUUACAUUCUUAAAAUUGAAAAGGGUGCCAAUAACAUAACAAUAUGCAUAUACUAAGCUCAAAAUACAACUCUAUGGUACAAUUGCAAACUGUAAAUGCAAGUUACGUGCUUAUCUCGAUGUCUAAUUUUUUUUGUUAACAAUAAAGAAGGGAGUAUACUAGUACUCCAAGUGUCACAACCGACACAAGGAAGACCAUAUUUGUAGUUUCCGCUGCAUCCCUUAAUGUGCUCAAUUGACUUGCAUCUCAUAUUUGUCAAAUAUCCAGCACUAUCUUUUGGUACAUUGAUCAAUGAACUGCAAACUUUGUGUUCACCCAUUUUGAAUUUGAUCCUGUGAUAGUAGGGGAAAGUUCUCCAUUGGCUUGAAAAUCAUUUGUGGUCAACAAGUCAACUUUCUUUUAUGUAUGAGCGUGCCACUGCUAACAAUAAAAAUCAUAGCAGACUUCUUGAAAAUAGAUAACUUGUGCCCCAAGUUAUUAACUUCUAGACAAACGAUUGUGAAUUUGGGUGAGGAAUAUCUCCCAAGUAAGUUCUUUUCUUGCCUCAGACUGGUGAGGACUUCACAAUUUUUCACAGUACAAAACUAGUAGUUCUGGCCAGAAUGAAUGAUAAGAAAGUGAACUGUUUUAGACAGAACUUCCUUUUACAAAGCUAAAAAGGGAAAGACUAACUCUGAAAAAGACAAAAGAAACAUUGGACUUUAGUUUCUGCCUGGAUAGCUGCUUUUGAUCCGGACUGGAUUGGAUAUGUCUGUGCUAGAUUGGAACCUCAACACCUUCAACUGUCAUGUUUCAGCUGUAAAUCGAUACCAACGUUCGAGUUUGUUAGAGCUUUAAUCUAUUUCAAGCUCUGGAAGGCUAUUUGAAUGGGCAGAAUUGGAGCCUUUUCAGUCUAAAAGGGGCAGAAGUGGCUGGAUUUGAUGAUUACUGAGCUGGAACUGCACUGUAGUACCUGUUCUGCUUGAUUAGGGCUCUCCAUAAAUUUGUUGAGGUUUUCAUAUUUGUAAAAACCCGGACUCUGCUUGAUUUGGCUUAUGCUGAACCAAAUUUGUAACGAGAGAAAUCUCGCUUUGUAUAACUAUUUCUCUGAACUAAACUGAAAUUAGAGAUUUUGAAUUAUAGCUGACUUGUUUUUUGUGGCUCAAUGAGCUUUGGUUGCUUCAGUGUUUGAAGGCUUUUGAGAUUAAGUGAUCAUUUUGUCAAUUGUGAUCUUGAGAGUUUUUGUUUUGAUGGAUUUUUUGGCUGUCAAGAUUGGAGAAGUCUUCCUGUAAGACCUGCCUUCAUAAAUUCCUCAUCAACUCCCUUGUGAUAGUUGAAAAUUUUGACUUGUCAAAGUUAGGCAAUCACGUGGGGCUCUUUCUAAAAAAAAAAACAUUUUUAAAGGAAAAGAAAAAUUGCUGACUUGCUUUUGAGAUCAAGUGGUGAGAUAUUUCAGAUGUUAAGCUUUUAAUCCAAUCUUUUUUAGAAGUUUGAUUUGCUUGGUGAUGAAUUUACCAAUUUCAUCGAUUCAUUUAUUCUUUGUGCUCUUCUAAACCUCUGCCAAUUUGCAAAAAGACAUGGGCCUCUUAAUGUUGAUUGGGCAGCUUUUCUGGAAUCAAGGCCCAUUCUUUUGUUUUAUGUUUUGUGGGUUUGUUUGUAAAAAUGGGCUGGCGUGUAGAGUUUUGGCCCAAACAUAAGGAAAACUUCGGUGGCUGCCAAAAAUUAACAUGGGCUUUUUGAUUUUGGAUUGGACGUGCCAAAUUAGGUCCAAACACUUUGAGAUGAUUUUAAGCCUCCUACAUAUUCCCAACCAAAAGAAAUUAAGAAAUACUUUAAAUAACAUAUACAUAUAAGAUUAAAACUGACACUAAAUUAUAAAACUGUUUAGCAGCUUCUAUUUGUUUUAGAAAAGGAUGUGACCAGCCAUAUGAUCUAAGAGAGGAUGUGAGUGACAAACUAGAGGAGUAAUGAAGAAGAGCUGAGAAGUUUUUUUUAUAUAUAAUUUUUAAAGAAGAAGAUUUGUGAAGAUAGUAAAGACAUAAAAUGAGUGUCUUUAAGUACUGCUCUAUCAGAUUUUUUUGAAGCAAUGCUGUAUCAUAUUUUCAGACACACAAUUUACACAGAGUUUGCUUAAGCAAGUAGCCUAAAAGAAAAAAAAAAAAAAACUAAACAAAGCUAAAAGAAAAAAAAUAGAGACGGCGAGUGUUAUACUACUUCCAGAUAUGAUAUUCUUUAUCGAAGAGCAGCAUUACCCAAAAUUCUUUGGUGAACAUUGCAUUGCCAUCAAAAAAAUUAAUAUACUACAUCUAUCUAGAACAAGGCAAACUUUGUGGCAGGUAAUUGAAUAUUUUUAUAUUUCAUCCAAUUGCCAUACAACAGCCAGGUAAUUGCAUAUGUGAAAUCUAAUUGCACAAACUUUAAGUGCAAAUGGAUUAACGAGGGAGGGGGAAGAGGGAGAUAACUUGGUCUUGUCUGGUGCAUAAGACUUUACAUUUCAACUUCAUUUAUGAAUAAAUAUGAUCUUUCAUCCACUGUAAGAGGCUUAACUGCCACUAUGCAUAGCCGUAGAAACCAAAAGAGGCAGCUCUUUCAUCAAAAGAAAAUCCGUAUUGAACAUCACAAUGCUAUUUCUAGAAAUAACAGGACUAUAAUCGGUAAGAAUACAACUCAACAAAAUAUGAACCCACCAGUGUAUUGCACACUAGUGAAUAUGAAUUCAGGAUGGAAAAUAUAAUUGAAAAAAGAAUUCAUAAAACAAAAACAAACUCCACUUUCAACUAAAAAUCCAGAAAACAAUUUCAGAAAAUAUGCCCUCAUUUAUAUAGAACUUAAUACUAAUAGAACGAGAAUUGUUACCUAUAGAAUGGUGGAAGAGAAGAUGAGGGAGAGGAUGGAGAGAGAGCACGAGACCGAGCUGGCCAGUGAAGAGAUAGAGCGAGGUAUUGAGAGAAAGAGCCAGCCGCCAAGAGAGAAGAGGAAGAGCAAGUGAACAAUUUCGUACCCAGGUGGUGGCGGGAAACCACCGUUCUUAGCUCAGCAAAACUUGACGUCAGCUGUUCUCGCUCUCUCUCUUCCCUUCCUUUCUUCUGUUCUUGAAUAAUCAAACCUUCAUCUUAACAAGCCCAACUGAAGAAGAGAGAGCAACCAUGGAAAAAAGACUGAUCUUGGCAAGAAGAAGAGAGACACGAGUCGUGCUAAGAAGAAGAAGAGAUAGAAGUCGCAAGAGAGCCUUCUUUCUUUUCAGAUUUCUCUCUUUUUCUUUUAUUUUUACCUGGAGCAACCCAUUUAACCGGUCACUCACUAUCAAUGGUGUAGAUUACCCCACAUCUCACAACAGCUCAUUCAAUGGCCCACAUAAUUGGAGCAUCCAUGCACCUGGCGCAUGGUAGGAUUUUCGUUUCUUACUAUAGGAUAGGACAUCCAUGUCCUACAUAAUCAAUUACACAAAACAAAUCAAACAGAUCAUAAGGCCUUCUCCAACCCAUUUGGGGCUAAACCCAAAUUUCCCCCCUCCAAAAAGUAACUAUUUGGAUUUUGCCUGGACUCAAAUCGUUUUUUCUCCCAACGCUCUAGACUCAAAUUUUAAGUCCGCAACUUUAUUAAAUUGUUCAAGAAUGAUUUAAGUCUAAUUUUUUUAUUAUUUUUUUUAUGAAAAACUUUUCUUUAUUUAAUCUUUUUAAAUAACUUCAUAAUUUAAUUUUUUUGAAAAAUUUGACCUAAAAAAAUUGAAAUUCCACAAAUAUAAUUUUAUUCCAAAAGAAAACACACAGCAUAAAAAAACACAAGAUAAUUGGAAAACAAAAGAAGGAUUGAAACAAUUGUCCACCUCAUUCACCAUCUCCAAAGCUCCUCCAAAGGUGAUCGAUCAAAUCAUGUCGGAGACUUUGAUGCACAUGUGGAGAUCAAACUCUAUUAUGACGAAUCAUGUAAUCAGAGAGAGUAUGCCUAUCUUGGUAGUACUCGUAUGUAAUGCUUGGCUCCAGCUCAUAUUGUCUUGUUUUGGCCCUCCUGGAUUGUUGACACGCAUCCUCAUCAUCAGAUUCCUCUUCAAUAUAUUCGUACUCAUCCUCCACAAUCAUGUUAUGCAAAAUUAUACACGUCAUCAUGAUUGAGUGGAGGUUAUCCUUGCACCACAUAUGUGCAGGGCCCCGAACAAUAGCCCAUUGAGCUUGUAGUAUUCUAAAUGCUCUUUUAACAUCCUUCCUGUACGCUUCUUGCAUUUGUGCAAAAAACCUCUUCUUUGGGUUAUCAAGAGAAGAGAUGGUCUUUAGCAAAGUAGCCUAACGGGGGUAGAUCCCAUCUGCGAAAUAGUAGUUGUGGAAGAAAAAUAUCUCACCCUAGGUCAAAUAAUUAGGCCAAUCAAUUUGGAAAUUAUUUGACCUAAUUAGGAGUUACCUAACCUAAUUGGGAGUUACCUAAAUUAAUUGGGAGGUUAUUUGAUUUAAAUGAGAUGUAUUUGAUUCUUGCCUUAAUUAGAUAUUUGAUUUAAAUCAAAUCUCUAAUUACACCAACCUCGCCAAAUCAGGGAAGAAUAAUUCCUUCCCAUUUAUGGAAUUAUUCUUCUGAAACCCUAGCCUCUAAGCCACCUAUAAAUAAAUGGCUAUGCACAAGGGUUUGAGGUACGUCUGAAUUCCUACUGAAACUCUGCAGAAAUUAUCCCUCACAAACCCUAGCCGCCAUACUCUUUCUCUCUGUCACACAAAGCUCCGGUCACCCGGUUUUCCUAUAAACACCUAACCUAACUUAGGCAUCGGAGGACGUUUGACCAACACCUCCCGGGUGUAGUUCUUUUACUCCAAUUUGUUUUGCAGGGAGAAAGAGAAGUGAAGAAGACGAAGGAAUCUUAGGUGAAUAUUCUUGUGGGAUGAAAAUCGCUCCCCCAAUAGCCUUAAUGGUAUUGUUUCCGUUGACAAUAUAUUCAACAUGAUGAGCCACUCCAUGUACCACAUCAUCGAACAAUGGAGAACGAGCUAAAAUGUUGACAUCAUUGUUGGAUCCGGUGUCUCCAAAAAAAGGUAUGCCAUAUCCAUGUGUCGUAUGAGGCCACGCCCUCUAGCAUAACAGUGGGGGGUUUUUUUUUUUGGUGACCGGUAAACUAGCUUGCCCAAGUAGAUGGGAAAUUCUUCCAUUCCAAAUACAUCCAGUCAAGACUUUUUCUAACAUGCCUGGGAAGCCUCGAUGGCUUGCCUUGUGCAAUAGCCUGUAAAGGUCAGUUGGAUUUAGAGACAUAAGGUACCAUUGUCCAUACACGGCUUCAACAGCACAACAAAACUUACAGAGUGAUUCAAGAGCUGUACUUUCACCCAAUCUACAAUACUCGUCUGUUGCAUUAGUCGAGCAUCCCCAUGCGAGCAUAUGAAAGACAACGGUUAACUUUUGCUUAGGGGAUACCCUUGUCGACCAAGCCCGUCUUUUUUUUUUUUUUGGCAAAAGUAUGGCUCGUGGUUGACAACAUCAUUCAAGAUGCGGUAAAACAACUCUUUCCGCAUUUGGAACUGCCUACGAAAGUUCAUAGUAUUAAAAUAUGGCAUUUCAACGAAGUAGUUGGACAUGAGAUUGCGAUGGCGAUCUUCCCUCUCACGGUUCUUGUACUCACGACCGACUAUCGACCCACCAUGUUUGGUGGCUUCAUUCUCUAGUGAAGUAUGGUGGAGAAUGUCUUGUCUCACUCUCUGAUGUUCUUCCUCAUCAUCUGAAUCAUCAUCAAACAUAAAGGAAAAGAUGGCCUUGCCGCGGUUAUCCAUUGAAAGCUUGAAAUGAUAUGAAAAGUAUGAGAAUGAAGAAGAUGAUAUACUUGAAAUAAUAUGAAAAGUAUGAGAAUGAAAGGAGAUAGAUGAAAUUGACGAAGGAAAAAUAAAUUGAGAAAUAGAAAAAAUAAUUUUGGUAGAUUAAUUGAGAAAUGAGUGAGUAUUUAUAGAGUUUGGAGUGAGUUUUGGAGUUGGAUCUAAUUUAGAUUAAUUUAAAAUAUUAUUUUGAUCGUUGGAUUUAAAUUUCAGCUGUUGGAUCUUUUUUUUACCAUUAAAAUAGCUUAGAUUUAAUCUAGAUCGUUGAUUUAAGUUACUAUUAGAAUUUAAAAAAAUAAAAUUUAAAUUGUUGCCGUUGGAUUGGAACGGAAACAUAAUCUAGAUGCGACACGUGGCAAACUGCUGCGUCAGGGAGCAGAAAAGUGCAGGGCGCGGGCCCCAAUCUAAUUUCUUGCAUAAGGACUUUGCUAGUUGUAGGUGGGCUCCACUGAAUUUUUUUGGGUCCAGGCAAUACUUGGACUGCUAUUUGGCCCCAAGUUUAGGUUUUCCCAAAUUUUGGCCCCUUCAUGUUCUUGGGUCUGGAGAGGUUUUGGACUAUAUUUUGGGUUUGGCCUCAUGGGUUGGAGAUGGCCUUACACUACUAGAAAACCAUAGUAUAUGCGAUGAUUGGUGAUGAAUUUAUUGUAUCAGGUAAUUUUACAUGUGGAUCAAUCAGUGAUGACAUUAGCAUGAGUAUUUGAACAUCCUAAUCACUCAUAGCGGGAGGAACCAAGUCUUUAUGGCUCGUUUGCUACACCGUAUUCGACUCUGGUUGGAGUAAAUAGUCCAUGUCAGGUGUUUGGUGUCAACUUGUAUUAUUUAAUUACCUGACUAUUUUAAACGGGUUGGGCUUUUAAUACUCUCCUUACCCGACUAAUUAAUACAAUCCACACACCCCGGUUUAGAUAAUACAUGCUUAAUUAUACAGCCAAAAAAAAAGAACACACACGUUCACAUGAAAAAUCCGACGACGUUAUGUUCAUCUUCUUCUCCCUAUGGGUUCUUCUCUGCUAUCUUCUCCAAGGUUACAUAUUGAUUGGCUCGCUUAAUUCUCUCAGAUUUUGUCUAACUCUAUUUUUGUUUUUGUAAAUGUCAAACUAUAUUUGUAUUGGUCGUUUAUUAUUAAUAUCCUAUUGCUGUUGGUUUAAAAAAAGAAAAUUUUUUUUGAUACAAUCAACACCUUCGUACAUGCAUAACAUGUAUAAUUACACCAAUAAUUCAUGUGGAGAAAUUCAUUUGACAACAAAAAAAUAUAUUUAAAACUCAUUUGACAAAUGAAGACUUGUUCUAAAGUUAGUGGAGACCAAGCCCACAUAUUGGAAAGAAGCAUCAUGAUGCCUCCCUUUUAUUUGCCUAUAAAUAGGUAUCCUUACUACUUGCAAACACACACACAAAACCAAUGAAGAAGAGAACCUAGGAAGAAAGAAGAGAAGGAAGAAAGAGGGGGAGUGAGAGGAGAGAAAAAGAGAGCAGAGAGAAAUUCUCCAAGAGAGAAAAUGAGUCACAUAUAUUGUAAACACUGAAGUUGUAGCCCUAUUAUUUUACAUAGUGGAAAAGUUACUGCUGCUGCUCUCUGAGGAUGUAGGCAUGGCCGAACUUUGUUAAAUAUUGUGCUUUAUUUACUUUAUGUGCAGCUUAAUAUUCUUACAUAUUCCAGUUCAUUUUACAACAUAUUGUCAGCAUGAGAAGCUCUUAGGUAUAAUUUGAGAGAUUUGAUGUGGUUAUUUGAACCUAUAAGGCACACGGUUCCAAACCGUCAUUUUGAAAAGACAUGAAAACCACUAGUGCAAGGUUAAGAAUUUACCCAAUUAUUAUAACAGGAAGGGGGCAUACAACAGAAAGAUUCUUUUCACCUGCAAGGAAGGAGCAGGCUCUGUAAAAUCUAUAAAAUUUCAUUAUAUUCUGGAAGCCUCUGAAGAAAGAGGAUGGCACCUCUUAAGCUUAGCCAUGAGCCUCUCGUGGUCUCCCAAAAUCUUUUCAUUGGAAAUCUGCAGCAUGUCAAGCCUUGUUUGUGUAUCAAUGGAGUAUGAACUCACCAGUUUCAAUAAGGCCUUAUUUUCUUCUUUAAGUUUCUCAACCUCUUGUUGAGACGCAUGAAGCAUUCUUUGAAGAGAUGAAUUUUCAGUGUUCAGUUUCUGAAUCUCGUUUACUCUGGCAUGCAAAUGAUCAGCCAUGUUAAAAACAGAAGCAACACUAUGGAUACUAAAAUCUAUUAAGUCAUCAAUAGCCUCUUCGUCAGACCUUUCUGUUAACAGUGUUUCAUCUAUAGGAGUAAAGAAAUUCCUAGCUACUAUGAUAGCAGUCGUAUCAUUCAUCAUCACAUAAUCAUUAACCGUGAGAUGACGAUUUUGGGAUAUAAAGGAUGGACGCCAGACUUUGGCAUCACGGGUUGUUUGGGGAGCAACAUUUAAAUCAAAAUGCUUUGGGUGAGAAGAAGAGGAAGCCAUUUUACGAAGGUUUCGAGGAAAGUCUUAGAAAAGCUGAAUUUUCAGAAAAUGGAAGGAAGUUGAGUUGAAACGCAGUUACUCCAAUUAGGCUUUACAAAGGCAAUAUCUAUAGAUGGAAAUGUGGCAAUGUAUCCAGGAUCCCAAUAUUUUCUCGGAUCCCCAUAUUCUCUUUUUAUCUUCCAGAUUCCAAAACUUCACGUGGCUUUCAUUAAUGUAUGUCGGCACUUUAAGGGUUUCAAGGAUUAUUUUGGUCAAAGCCGAUCUUGGUUUGCAGAUUUCACGGAGUUACUUUUUCAAAAGUAUCUCGAGAACCUCACAAUUUUCUGUAGUUAAUUUGAGAUUCACUGGAUCAAACGGCUCCUCUAAUUUGUGUAUAAAUAUGUUACUAAAGAAAUUUUCUUUACAUAAUACAUCCAGUUUUCUCCAUAUCUAGUGGUGCAAUAUCCACUUGUUUUUCCUAUCAGUGAGUUCUCGACGUACUUGAGAAGCGAGACUAUCUCUGAUCAUCCAUUCAGGAAGCAAGAUUAUCCCUGAUCACUUUUCAGCGAGAUCAGGAAAUUGUAAGGACGACCACAUGCUCUAAUCUCUUGAAGUUCUUCUAUGCUAGGAGAAAUGAGAGUUUGUUGUCUGUUACCUCACUAGUUUCCUUCCUUGAUUUCUUGCCUACCUUGCAAUCAAUAUCACAAUUCUUUGUAUCUUUUCUUUCUUUUUAUAACUCUCUGUUCAUAAGGGAUUUUGUCUCUUUAGAACGAAGAUCUGAAGAACAAAUCCAUGUAGUGAACCUAACAUUAAGGGUUAUUUUUUUUGACAGAGACAUAAGAAUUGUGAUUUUUGCUCAUGCAGGAUAUAACUAGAUCAUCAGGCAUUACACUGUAUUUGCUGAGCCGAUACGAGCUUCAAUGAUAUUUGAGCAAAGUUUCUCUCACCUAAGGAUGUAAGCAAUACUUGUAUUAUUUCACGCGUGUACUCUUAUUUUGAUAUUUUGUACGACAUCCUUAAAGGUAACCAAAUGGGGAGAUAAGGCCAUUCCAAAAGAACAUCCCAUUCCAGAAGAAUGACUUGCAUUAUAGAUCGUUCUAGAAGAACGACUUGUAUUAUGAACAUUCCAGAAGAAUGUCUUGUAUCAUUCUGAUAUGUAUUCAUGAAUUAUUAAUGCAAAUUUCACAGAUUGCAAGUUGGAUACAUUGAUAAUACACUGCAUAGAUUAAAGUCCCAUAAGAACAGAAUAUGGGUAUAGCAGUGAUCAAUAUGAUGCAACCCUGUUGCGUAGCAAAUGAUAUGGAUUGAAGCCCUGGAGGGACAUUCCAUUAACAUGUCAAUAUUAAUACGGUGCACGCCUAAUGCAUAGCAAAUUAUAUGGUUUAAAGUCCUAGAAGGACAAUUAAUUGACAUGUAUGUAUUAAUCUGUGCAUGCCUGCAGCAUGACAGAUAUAUGGGUUCUAAAUGUUCCAACUCUCUACUAUAAAAUAAAGCUCCAUUGGAGGUUAAGAUCCACAUUCUCACAUAAUUCAUCUGAUAAGAGAUGUCUGUUUGGAAAGAGACAAUAAAGCCCCCUUGAGUGGCUUACGAAGCAAAAGCAAAGAAAUGCUAUAAUUAAUGCAUGCACAUGCACAUGCACAUGAGAAUAAUGGGAUCAUGAAAUGAUGAAUGACAAUUUUUGAUUUUGGAGUAGCUACUCAAAUCAUCAAUGAGUUGUGUUGAUUGGAACCACGUUCUAUUAUUAAAUGUAGACAAUAUCAUUGGCUAAAAAUGGAAAGAGGCAAUUCCAUUACGGAUGAGAAUGAACGUGAAAGAACAAAGAACCCCAAAAGAUGUUAACCCUGAAGGUUAUACAUGGGUUUUUGGAAUAAAGAGGAAUAUACUCACUUUAUAUGACACAAAUUCUGGUAGAAACAAUGAAUGUUGAGGUUCUCCAUAUUUACAGAUACAAUUGUGCCUUCUUGUUGUACAUUUACGAAGACCAACAUGUUAUCUUCAAGGGUUAUUAAAUGCACGAAGCAUAUCGCCAGAAGCGAUUCCCUAAAGGUGUACAAGCAGGACAAAUAGCUCGAUAUAAAGCUAUAUAAUGUGUCAUAAAGUGUAAUCCCUUAAAUAAAAUCCCUGAAGGAUUGUAAUUGCAUGAAGCAAGUCUUUGAAGGACAUGUGCUUGAAGCACAAAUUUUGUACUCAAUAUUAAUAUGUAUAAAUUGCCUCAGUGAGUGCAUUAAUUAUAAUAUGGUUGCAUUACAUUACAACUCCUGAAGAGUUGAUAAUUAAUUAAAACUCCUGAAGAGUUGGUAAUUAAUUAAAACUCCUGAAGAGUUCAAGAAAUAUUUGUCUCGGCCUGAAAAUCAAGCAUUAUACCAACAAGAUUCUCGCUUAUACUAAGAAAGUAUUGAAGCAUUUUUAUGUGGACUAAAUGUUAGGCACUUAAAUGAUUUUUAGGAAAUAUUCUAGACCAAACAUUGUAUUUUCCAGAUAGAGCUCAGCUCCAUCACCACCACUUUGGAAUGAUGUAACACAUAUUUGAUGUCAUCUCCGCAUAAAAUAAUAUACGAGCAUAUUCUGGAAAUUCUCUAUCAUUUACAUAGAGAUAGCUCACUGGAAGUAUAUUUACUUACUCAUCUAAGUAAUUUUUGAUGGUAGCAUCCUCCACUCACUCCGAAAGAUUUUUCCUCCAGAAAGUUAGUCAUGAAGAUUUUAGGGGGAGAUAUUCAUCAUGGGGAGCAUCCAUAAGUAUGCUACACUAAUUUCUGUACUAUUAUUCUUUCAACCAGUUUCCUACUUCACUAGGCUUUCUCCUAGCAAGGCUUAAUUAAGCAACCAACAUGUUACUAGUGGUCUCCAAGGGGGAGUGUUGUAAAAUUAGUGAAGACUAAGCCCACAUGUUGGAAAGAAGCAUCAUGAUGCCUCCCUUUUCUUUGCCUAUAAAUAGGCAUCCUUACUACUUGCAAAGACACACAGAACACCAACGGAGAAGAGAACUCAGGAAGAAAGAAGAGAAGGAAGAAAGAAGGGAAGUGAGAGGGGAGAAAAAGAGAGCAGAGAGAAAUUCUCUAAGAGAGAAAAAUCAAUGAGUCAAAGAUAUUGUAAACACUAAAGUUGUAGCCCUAUUAUUUUACGUAGUGGAAAAGUUACUGCUGCUGCUCUCCAAGGACGUAGACAUGGUCGAACCUCGUUAAAUAUUUUGCCUUAUUUACUUUAUGUGCAACUUAAUAUUCUUGCAUAUUCCAAUUCAUUUUACAACAAGACUAUAUAUUUCGUUUAGUGGAAAAAUUAUUGUACUGUCUAGUUUUGGUCUUAAUCAACUGAGUGCGCCGUACAACACUAUACCUUUUACUAAAGAAUGCUUUUUUGUUUGGUUCUUUAAACAAAAAAAAAAAAAAUUGAUUGAAUUAUAUGUUUCUUGAAACGUAUUUAUCAUGAUGUCAUGUUCAUGUCCUUGUGUCUUGCUCCUUUUUUUCCCCUAUGUUUUUCUAUGAUUUACCAGUCUUUCUCUGUUAGGCAGAGGUGAGGUUUGCCUUUACCUACAGCAAACUAGCUACCUUCGUUGGAGAGCAGAGGUCCCCUUCUUCUUUGUUUUUUUUUUUUUUUUUUUUUUGUCUUUCAAUUAUAUCUGACUCUCAGAAAAUUGGAGGAAAGAGAACUCAAACUGAUUCAGGAAGCAGAUCGUCAAGCUCAUCCAUUUUACAAGAUGAUCAAGAAGGCUUUUCACCAACCUCAUCAAACGCACUGGUACUUGUCCAAAACCCACCAAUUGUCUCCUCCUACAAUGAGAGAAUCCGCCCCAUGCUUGAUGCCAUUGACAAGCUCCGCAACCUCAUGGUUAUGGAGGAAGGCAUACAGCUACCCACCAUUGUUGUUGUGGGAGACCAGUCAUCUGGCAAAUCCAGUGUUCUUGAGUCCCUCGCCGGCAUCAGCCUUCCGCGUGGAUGGGGAAUCUGCACAAGGGUUCCUCUCAUAAUGAGGCUUCAGCACCACUCUGAUCCUGAACCAGAGCUUUCACUGGAGUACAAUGGCAGAGUUGAGCACAUUGAUGAGGACAAUAUUUCUGAGGACAUUGUGAAUGCCACCAAUCUGAUUGCGGGGGACUGUAAGGGAAUUUCAGACACCCCAUUGACCUUGUUGGUGAAGAAGAAUGGUGUGCCUGAUUUAACCAUGGUUGACCUCCCUGGAAUCACUAGGGUUCCAGUUCGUGGACAGCCUCUGAAUAUCGCUGAUCAGAUCAAAGAUAUGAUCAUGAAGUAUAUAAAACCAGAUGAGAGCAUCAUUUUGAAUGUUUUAUCUGCUUCUACUGAUUUUAGCACAUGUGAGUCAAUUAGCAUGUCGCGGAGUGUGGACAAAACUGGUGAGAGGACUCUGGCUGUGGUUACAAAGGUUGAUAUGGCACCAGAGGGGCUGCUGGAGAAGGUUACAGCUGACGAUGUGCAUAUUGGUCUUGGCUAUGUCUGCGUAAGGAACCGGAUUCGAGAUGAAACGUAUGAGGAGGCGAGGACUAUUGAGGAUCGAUUAUUUGAAUCUGAUCCUUUUCUUUCAAAGAUUGAUAAGUCUGUGGUUGGAAUUCAGGUUUUGGCUGACAAGUUGGUCCAAAUUCAAGCUGCUAGCAUAGCUAGAAACUUGCCUGAUAUUGUAAAGAAGAUCAAUGACAAGCUGAAUUCUUACCUUUCAGAGCUCAACAAAAUGCCGAAAAAGCUGUCAUCUGUUGCUGAGGCCAUGACUGCUGUUAUGCAGAUCAUUGGAACAUCCAAAGAAUCACUUAAGAAAAUUCUUGUGAGGGGAGAAUUUGAUGAGUUCUCGGAUGAGAAACACAUGCAUUGCACGGCUAGGCUUGUUGAGAUGCUCAAUAAGUGCUCAGAUCAGCUUCACGAGUGCAAUGAGAGUGACCCCAAAAGUAAUUUCCUAAAGGAGGAGAUUGCAAUUUUGGAGGAGGCAAAAGGUAUAACCCUUCCCAAUUUUGUUCCGCACAAUGCUUCUCUUAUAGUCUUGCAGGGUAAAGUUAGGGGGAUUUUGAGCAUACCUAUUGGGUUUGUUGAGCAGGUUUGGAGUUAUAUUGAGGAUGUGGUUUUGUCUGUGUUAAUAAGAAAUACAGAAAACUACUACCAUGUUCAAUUGUCUGCCAGAAGAGCAGGCCAUAAUCUUAUUGAAAAGAUGAAAGAAAGGUCGAUUAAUUGGAUGGCGGAGAUAGUGGAAAUGGAGAAACUAACUGAUUAUACAUGUAAUCCGGAAUAUAUAUCCGAAUGGCAUAGGCUCAUGACUGAACAAGAAACAUUCAUAAAAAAGGUCUUGCAUGAUUAUCUGAUACUUGGACCCAACGCUAAGAUAAACAUAAAUGUAGAGGGAAUUGGGAUGGUUGAAGUUGGAGGUCUAAGGAAGUACCCACAUGUCCUAUUGUCUCAAGCUUUCGACUUGAAAAUGCGGAUGACUGCGUAUUGGAAUGUUGUGCUGAGAAGGUUGAUUGGCAUCAUGGCUUUGCAUUUGCAGCUGAGUGUUUCAAACCUUGUGAACAAGGACGUGGAGAUUGAGAUUAUGAAUGAACUACUGGGACCUAGCCAUGGUGGUGGGAUUGAGAGGAUGCUGGAGGAACCUCCAUCAAUUGCAGUGAAGCGCGAGAAGCUCAUCAAGAGCAUCAAAAAGCUGAAGGAGUCUAAAGAGGUUGUGUGUAAGAUCAUGGACGACAGGUUUACUCACGCAGAUUACCUUGUGUGAUAGAUAACUAAGGGGUCCAGUUAAAUUAUGGUUUGUUUCGUGUGAAAGAAGGCAUUUUGCCAAUGAUGUGUGGUUGAUCUGUUUGUACUUAAUUAUGGAUCUGCAAUUUGUUUAUCAUGUACCUGGUUUGGUUGAUGUUCUUGUGUGGAUGAUCUGUUUCUACUUAAUUAUAAGCACAUUCUGUUUUUGUCUUUGGGUUGCUAAACCUUCCCAGGCUUGUUCCUGGAAUAGGAGGAAAUUUCUAUCCUCUGUUCCUUCCUAGAUCUCUACUUCACGACACUGAGGGUGAUGAUAGAAACACCUUCCUUUGUCAUGAUCACAAUUUGAACCUUUUUGGGGGCUUUUCUCUUUGAGUUGGGACCCUUGUUAGUCUUCCAUUUGGUCAAUAAGUAAACUCAACCAAGUAGACAUGUCAAUAUGGAUCGGAUUUUGAACCGAAUCCAAUUGGAAUUCGAUGUAAUUAAUAGGAGAUGGAUUGGACUUCUCAAUCUGAUAAUUUGAUUACAAUCCGAUAAUCCAAUUAUAGAUGGAGACGAAUAUGGAUUAUAAUUGAUCAUAUAUGAUAAUAAUCCGAUAUGACUAAGUAUGAAGUACAAUUUAGUUUUUCUAGGCUUUAUAUUAAUAUUUUAUAUGUAUAAAUGAGUAAUUUUAGUGUUAUAUGCACUAAUGAUACACUUAAAACUAAUUAUUAUGGUAAAAUAUCACAAACUGAUAUAAAAAAAAAGUAGAUAAAUACAAUAAAAGAACGAGUCUACUGAUGAAAUUUUGAUUUUUUGUACAUCACAAAGUAAAUCAGAUAAUAAUCCGAUCUGAUCUGAAUUCGACGUGUAACAAAUAUGUAUUCAUAGGUGCAAUCCGCUAGUCCAAAUACAAUAUGAAUCCGAUAUUCCGAUUAUAAAUGAAUUCGAAUAUAGAUCGAGGUAUAUCCGAUCUGAAUCCAACCCACUAAAUCCCAAAGAAAAACAGUGUUUCUUUUUAUAAUAAAAAAAUUACAAAUUCGUUCAUUAUAAAAAAUAUUGUUUUAAAAUGUUCAGUAUUACAUUAAUUUUUUUUUUUUUUUUUAAAAAAAGAAGAAGGUGUUGUAAAAGAAUAAACAUGUGGAGCCCACUAACUAUUCAUUACUAUUCAUUUGGAGACUUUUGGUAGAGUUUGUCUGUCACGGGUGAAUAGUGAAUAGUGAUGAAUAGUGAUUAUUUCAGCCUAUAAAUAAGAAGAGAAACGGAAAGAGAAGAGAAGGAAAAAAAGAAAGAAAGAGAAGAAAGAAGAGAAAAGGAAAGGAGGAAAGAGAGAAGAAAAGGAAAGGAGGAAAGAGAGAAGAAAGAGAAAGGAGGAAAGAAAAGAGGAAAGAGAGUCAGGCAGAGAAGAGGAAGAGAAGGAAGAAAUAGGGUGAGUGAGCAGAGAGAAAAUUCAGUGAGCCACACAUAUUGUAAACAUUAAAGUUGUAGCCCUAUUAUUUUACAUAGUGGAAAAGUUACUACUGCUGCUCUCCGGGGACGUAGGCAUAGCCGAACCUCGUUAAAUACUGUGUCUCAUCUACUUUACGUGCAGCUCAAUAUUCGCACAUAUUCCAGGUCAUUUUAUAACACGUUAUCAGCACGAGAAGCUCUCAGGUAUAAUUUUUGUGCUGCACUAUUAUUUAUACUACUAACCAUUAUGUUGAUGUAAAGAAGAAAAGCCAACGCAUCUAGCUUUCCACUAAUAUAUCAGUAUAAUAUAUAUAUAUAUAUAUAUUAUAUAUGAAAAGUUGAUGGUAAUAUAAUAUACUAUAUUUAUCUGCUUUUCUAUUACUAACCACUAACAAAAAUGGACCCUUGGUAAUACUAAACAUAUUAUCAGUGGGAGACCGUUACUAAUACUAACAUUUUUCUUAUUUUAUUCGGUGGUGGUUUUAACCCCAUAUUUAUUUUAUUUACUGUAUGGUGUAGGUUUAUUACCCAUACAACAGUAUUUAUUUAAGAGGGUGGUGCGGGUUUAUCGCCCAUGCCUUUGCUUUUAUUUAAAUGUAUGGAGCAGAAUUAGUGCCCAUACAAGCACGUUUACUUUAUCGCAAAUUUACUUUUACUUAAAGUAUUAUUUAUGGUAUGGUGUAGGUUUAUUACCCAUACGGCAAUAUUUAUUUAAAGGGUGGUGCGGGUUUAUCGUCCACGCCUUUGCUUUUAUUUAAAUGUAUGGAGCAGAAUUAGUGCCCAUACAAGCACGUUUACUUUACCGCACAUUUAAUUUUAUUUAAGGUAUGGUGCGGGAUUAACGUCCAUACAGCAAGCGAUUUAAUUUAUUUAAGGUAUGAUGCGGGAUUAACGUCCAUACAGCCAGCAAUUUAAUUUAUGAAUUUAAUUUACUGCACAUUUACAUUUAUUUAAAAGGGUGGUGCGGGUUUAUCGUCCACGCCUUUACUUUCAUUUAAAAGUAUGGAGCAGAAUUAGUGCCCAUACACGCACGUUUAAUUUAUGAAUUUAAUUUACCGCACAUUUACAUUUAUUUAAAGUGUAAGAUCCCACAUCAAACCAACGGAGAGGGGGGUGAUGUGCCUUAUAUGGCACACCCGCAUCCAUCUAGCACGAGGCCUUUUGGGAGCUCACUGGCUUCGGAGUUGUAAGAACUCCGAAGUUAAGCGAGUGGGAGGCUGGAGCAAUCCCAGGAUGGGUGACCACCCUGGGAAGUUGCUUCGUGAGCUCCCAGAAACAAAACCGUGCGGGCAGUGAGGGAGGCCCAAAGCGGACAAUAUCGUGCUACAGCGGAGUCGGUCCGGGGUGUGACAAUUUGGUAUCAGAGCCACUCUGCCGUGUGGUGCGAGUGUGCCGACGGGGACGUCGGACCCUUGAGGGGGGUGGAUUGUAAGAUCCCACAUCAAACCAACAGAGAGGGGGGUGAUGUGCCUUAUAUGGCACACCCGCAUCCAUCUAGCACGAGGCCUUUUGGGAGCUCACUGGCUUCGGAGUUGUAAGAACUCCGAAGUUAAGCGAGUGGGAGGCUGGAGCAAUCCCAGGAUGGGUGACCACCCUGGGAAGUUGCUUCGUGAGCUCCCAGAAACAAAACCGUGCGAGCAGUGAGGGAGGCCCAAAGCGGACAAUAUCGUGCUACGGCGUAGUCGGUCCGGGGUGUGACAUAAAGUGUGGUGCGGGUUUAUCGUCCAUACCAGUAAUUUAUUUACCAGCAAUUUAUUUUAUGGAUUAAUUGUGCUGUAUGAUGAGUUUUUACAGUAUGCAGAUCAGGACCAGAAGUUCCUUGAUCCUCAUCAUACAAUUACAUCAGGACUUGAAGAUCCUUGAUGAUGAUAUUAAUAUGAGAGCUGACAGUCUCUCCGGUACUGUAUUUGUAAACAUGUGAUCGAAAUUAAGGGUCCUUGAUCCCUGACAUGUAAAUAAGGACCUAGAGUUCCUUAAUGAUGUAACAGUACCGUAUUGGUUCAUAGUGCCGUACACAUUGAUGAUAACUGUACUGGCAGAUGAAUAGAUACGUAUUCAUGACUUGAUGAAUAGUACUAUUCACAUGAAUAGUGACGUAUGCAUAAAUAUGAACCAUUUUGGGUAAACCGUCACUAUAUACAAAAAGGAACCUGCAGUUUCAUGGUGCCGUACACAUUGAUGAUAACUGUACUGGCAGAUGAAUAGAUACGUAUUCAUGACUUGAUGAAUAGUACUAUUCACAUGAAUAGUGACGUAUGCAUAAAUAUGAACCAUUUUGGGUAAACCGUCACUAUAUACAAAAGGGAACCUGCAGUUCCUUAAACUCAUGGAUGAGCAAUUAAAUGAGAUGCCAGAAGUUCCUCAAAAUAUGGACAAUUAUGUAAGGGCUUGAAGUCCCGAAAUAUGUACAGAAAAAUGUAAAAAUGUCCAUACCAUGAGAAUAUGUGGCUUUGGCCUGAAGUUCAAAAUUUAACAGUGUUGAGAACCUGAAGUUCCAACAAUUAAAUGGACAACCCUUGAGGUAUUAUUGCAAAUUGUGGUAUGCCACAUAUUUCUUUGGCAUAAGAAGAUGAUGAAUUUAAAGUUCGAUUUUGUUAUAAUCGACACCUCAAGGAAGAAAUAUAUUUUGUGAAUUCCGGUUGUUAAGAAUACACCGCGAAAUGGAUAAUAUCAAUAUAAACCUCAAAUAAUGAAUUGAGGCUCCCCACAUAUUUUGUUAUAUCUGGGCCGGAAGCCCAUGGAUCCAAAUAUAUGAGAGAUCCUAAACUUGAAGUUGUGGGUAUAUAGUAGUUAAUGCUCUUCACUACUAUAUUGCGAUAUUAUCAUGGCUUUUACUCAAUUCACAUUUCAUGUCCAUUUGAAAAGGGCAAAUAAAUUCUGAGUUUGUGCCCAGGCCAAAAGUUCCGGGCUACCAUGCAAUUUGGGAGAGACAAUGUGGUUAUUUGAACCUAUAAGGCACAAGGUUCCAAACCGUCAUUUUGAAAAGACGUAAAAACCACAGGUGCAAGUUUAAGAAUGUGCGCAAUUAUUAUUACAGGAACAUACAACAGAUAGAUUUUUUCCACCUGCAAUGAAGGUGCAGGCCCUGUAAAAUCUAUAAAAAUUACAUUAUGUUCUGGAAGCCUCUGAAGGAAGUUGAGUUGAAACGCAGUUGCUCCAAUCAAGUUUUGCAAAGGCAAUAUCUAUAGACGAAAAUGUGGCAACAUUUCCAGGAUCCCAAUAUCUUCUCGAAUCCCCAUAUUAUCUUUUUCUUUCCCAGAGUCCAAAACUUCACGUGGCCUCUAAUAAUGCCUGUCGGCACUUUCGGCAUUUUCAAGUAUUAUUUUCAUCAAAAGCCGAUCUUGCUUUACGGAUUUCACGGAGCUACUUUCUCAAAAGCAUCCCGAGAAUCUCGCAAUUUUCCUAUGGUUAAUUUGAAAUUCACCGGUUCUACCUAUUCAUUUUAUUUGUGUAUAAAUGUAUUACUAACGAAAUUUUCUUUGCAGAAGACAUCCAGUUUUCUCCAUACCUAGUGAUGCGAUAUCUACUUGUUUUUCUUAUCAGUGAGCACUCAAUAUGCCUAAGAAGCAAGACUAUCUCUGAUCAUCCAUUCAGGAAGCGAGACUAUCCCUGAUCACGUUUCCACCACAUCAGGGAACUGUGAAGGCAACUUUAUGCUCUAAUCUCCGGAAGUUCUUCUAAACUAGAAGAAAUGAGAGCUUGUCGUUUGCUCCCACCAGCUUCCUUCCUUGAUUGCUGAGCAUGUUGUCUGCUCCCACCAGCUUCCUUCCUUGAUUGCUGAGCAUGUUGUCUGCUCCCACCAGCUUCCUUCCUUGAUUGCUUACCUUACCUUGCAAUCAAUAUCACAAUUUUUGUAUCUUUUCUUUCUUUUUAUAACUCUCUGUUCAUAAGAGAUUUUAUUUCUUUAGAAUGAACAUCUGAAGAAAGAAUCCAUGAUGUGAUCCUAACUCUGAGAGUUAUUUGUUUUUGACAGAGAAAAGAAUUGUGAUUUUUGCUCUUGCAGGAUAUAACAAGAUCAUCAAGCGAUACUUUAUAUUUACUGGGCCGAUACGAGCUUGAAUGAUACUUGAGAAAAGUUUCUCCCACCUAAGGAUGUAAGCAAUACUUGUGUUAAGCGAUACUUUAUAUUUACUGGGCCGAUACGAGCUUGAAUGAUACUUGAGAAAAGUUUCUCCCACCUAAGGAUGUAAGCAAUACUUGUGUUAUUUUAUGCUUAUAUACCUAUUUGAUAUUUUAUUUUGAAAGGUAACCAAAUGGGGAGAUAAGUCCAUUCCAAAAAAAUGGCUUAUAUGUAUCCAUGAAAUAUUAACGCAAAUUUUACAGAUUGUAAGUUGGAUACAUUGAUAAUACACUGCACAGAUUAAAGUCUCAUAAGAACAGAAUAUGGGUAUAGCAGUGAUCAAUAUGGGUGCACGCCUGUUGCGUAGCAAAUGAUAUGGAUUGAAGUCCCGAAAGGACAAUCCUUUGACAUGUCAAUAUUGAUAUUAUGCAUGCCUAAUGCGUAGCAAAUUAUAUGGGUUAAAGUCCCAUAAUAUGGGUUAAAAUCCCAUAAAUUAAUUGACAUGUAUGUAUUAAUCUGUGGCAUGCCUGCAGCAUGACAGAUAUAUGGGUUCUAAAUGUUCCAACUCCCUAAAUGGAGAUUAUCCACGCCCUACUAUAAAAUAACGCUCCAUUGGAGGUUAUAAUCCACAUUCUCACAUAAUAAAAGCCCUCUGAAGUGGCUUGGGUACCCAAAAGCAAAGAAAUGCUUAUAAUUGAUGCAUGCGCAUGCACAUGAGAAUGGUGGGAUCAUGAAUUGAUGAAUGACAAUUUUUGAUUUUGGAGUAGCUACUCAAAUCAUCAAUGGGCUGUGUUGAUUGGAACCACGUUCAAUUAUUAAAUGUCGACAAUAUUAUUGGCCAAAAUGGAACGAGGUAAUUCCAUUAUAAAUGAGAAUGAACGUGAAAGAACAAACCCACAGUACGAACCCCAAAUUUGUCAAUACUGAAAGUUAUACUUGGGUGUUCGGAAUAAAAGGGAAUAUACCUACUUUGUAUGACACAAUGUUUCUGGCAGAAACAAGGAAUGUUGGGUUUUCUCCAUAUUUAUAGAUUCAAUUGUGCCCCUUUAUUGCACAUUUACGGAGACCAACAUGUUAUCUUUAAGGGUUAUUAAAUGCACAGAGCAUAUCACCUGAAGUGAUUCCCUAAAGAUGUAUAAAUAGCUGGGUUAAAGUUAUAUAAUGUGUCAUAAAGUUUAAUCCCUUUAAACAAAAUCCUUGAAAGGAUUGAAAUUGCAUGAAGCAAGUCCCUGAAUGACAUGUGCCUGAAGCACAAAAUUUGUACUCAAUAUUAAUAUGCAUAAAUUAACUCAGUGAGUACAUUGAUUAUAAUGUGAUUGCAACACAUUAAAACUUCUGCAGAAUUCAAGAAAUAUUUGUCUCGACUUAAGGAUCGAGCAUUAUACCAACGAGAUUAUUGCUUAUACUAAGAAAGUAUUGAAGCAUUUUUAUGAGGAUUAUCCGUUGGGCACUUUAAGGAUUUUCCGGAAGUAUAUUGGACCGGACAUCAUAUUUUCCAGAUAAGGCUCAACUCCAUCACCAUC